rnacentral:lncRNA from 1 species
UCCGCCGCAGCGACCUUGCCGUGGUCAAUGCCGUGCCACCGGCCAUUGUUGUGAGCCCGCACGCCCGAGCUCAGGGAGGUGGCGUCGGGGGAUCAUCGGGGCGGCCGCAGCUUGUCUGCCUCUCCAUGGAGUGCCGGCGAGGGAGGGGGAGAUAGGUGGCCGCCGCUGCUAGGGCCAGGAGAGAGAGAGAGAGAGAGAGAGAGAGAGAGAGAGAGAGAGAGAGAGAGAGAGGCGGGAGGAGGAUGGCAGCAUGCUCGCCGGAGCAAAGACAGAUGUGGCGUGGAAGAGAAAGCCAGAGAUGUGGAAUAAAAAAGAAAAGGGGGAAAUAUGUGACGCUGACAGGUGGGUCCCUCGUCCAUGUCAGAUUUUUUGUCCACAUAGGCAUGCCAACUCAGCCUGACAGGUGGGCCCAACCUAUCAGUUUUGCUGUUUUCUCGAGGAAAUCAAACAAUCAGUGCUCUUCCAGAUUAGGCAUAAUUUCGGUGGUUUUUUGUGACUUGGCUCAAAUCUGAUACUGACCUGUUACCCUAGCCCGAAGUGUGAUGGUUUGGGUAAAUAACUCGCGGAUUCGCAUGGGCCGGGGUUCCCCCUCCCCUUCGUAUACGAGGCGUUCUAGGUGGUGCUUCGUCUGAUCCAGUCGGUGCCGGAGGUGGAGCUGCUGGCGACAAGGGAACGAAGAUGGAUGGAGAGGGCGUAGAGGAUCAACAACGAUUCCUUCUCAUGGUUGGAAUGCGAGAGGGAAUGGAGGGAAGAGAAGGCGGUAGCAGAGGCGGAAUCAUAUCCGAUACUCAGAUCCAGAAGAGAGAGGUAUGUUCAAACUUGCCGGAUCCAGGCAGAUCGAGAGAUGAAGAAUUUUGCAAGAAGGAUUCACUUCGAGGGCACCCCUAAGGAGAGAGCGCAGAUGCCGCCCUUCCAACACUCGCCGCCGGUGGACUUCAUUCAUUGGGCGAGGGGAGAGGGGAGAUCAAGCGAUCCGAGGAGGAAAGAGAGGUGGAUUUGUCUCGUGGGACUACGCUCAGCAAGCGUUCCAUCGCUGCCGGAACCAGUGGAUCCUCUGCCGUACUUGUCGCCAACAAUUUGAAUUCCUCUGUAGUUUCACAGUCUGUGACAGAAGAGAGGAGGACGAGCUUGAUGAACAGACGGUUCAAAUUUGACCCCGGUGGAUGUAGGCAAAAGGAUGAAGCUGGAUAUGCUGAUUGCGUAAUUGGAUCUCGACCUGGAGGCAGAUUCUGGGCGUUGGAGCAAAUUGAAGAAGAUGAUGAAAAAUGUUCAGAGGAGAGUGAAGCUGGACAGAGUCCAUAUAUAGCGACUUUAGCUGAUGCUUUUGCUUGUGCUAAGAGGGAAUCAAAGGCAAGCAGAAGGGGGACAGAUUAUGCAAAUUGGGUGCCGUUGACCGCAUUUCAGAGAAGAUUGUGGCUCCUGUAUUUAGUUAUGUAAGUGUUCCUCCUUGUCAUAAAUCCAAUCAUGUGUUUCCUGUUGAGUGUGAUUCAGUUAGUAAGGAUUGUUGGUACCAAAUUAUUGGUGGUAAGCCAGUUGAUGUGGGUGUGGGUUCUAAGCCGAAUUGUCUGUAGAUGGGACAUGGCGGGAGAGGUCGUUAUCUACCAGCAUGCAUCUUAGUUGAUGCGCCGCUCUCCACACGAUUGCCAGCAUGCCAGGAGGAUGAAUCUAGAGAUGAUUUAGAGUUCAGGGAGGAUUUUUUUUGUUUUGAUUCGAACUAUGGAUCGGAAUGGGCCGGUUGGUGGUGGGCUGGGCCAGAAAUAUGGGUGCAUAUUGGAUCCCAAAAAGGGGAGUGGGGUGGGGUGCUACAACCUGGUCAGAGAUAGGUCGUUAACCCUAAUCACGUUUUGCACUCUAGGAUUUCCCAUUUGUGGUGUCCGCCCUCAGCCGCCGCCGCUCGUGAUAGCCAAAUCAUGGGAGGAAAGAUGGGUGAGUUUUUGGUUCUGGACGUGGAAAUGGAGGGAGGGAUGGUGGAGGUGGUGGAAACUGGAGACCAAAUCAAGGUUAUGGGAGAGAAUUCCAAUUCGACAAAUACGAUCAGGGAAUGUCUGGUAAGGCCGGUUGCCUUGCAGUUUCACCUUAUCCCCGGGAGAUGAUUUUACUCGAUAGGAUCGUGGCACUUCAAGGUCCCCAGGCCCGACCCCGACCGCCAUUUCAAAAUUUCCAAGGUAACCAGCACCAGAACUUCCCGUGUAGAGAGCCAGGAUAUGGGGAUUGGGGACAAGAUGGUGGCGAUCGAGGUAUAUAUCAAUACCCUCAUCGGCCACCGCUGCAAAACACUAAUCCGCCCCUGCUACUAGCAAAUAUCAACAGAAGACGUGUACAACCACUAUCAAUGGUGGAGGAGGGGGUAGCGAAGUUUAGACUUCCAAGCCUAAUUCCGCUGGGGCAGUGGUGACAGGGAAUCAAAGCUCGGGGGUGAUUUCUGAUAGCAAAAUUUCUUCCGUGGACAAGGCUAUCUGUCAUAAGUGUGGUGAGAAAGGUCAUAACUCUAAAAGAUGUGAGGCAAAAGUAAAGUGUGUGAUCUGUACUAAGGGUUCUCAUGUACCUGAAUUCUGUGCUUGGCUUCAUCAGAAAAAACCUGUUGCUACUCUGGUUGGUUUUGGUGGGGAGGGGCUUGGAUUGUUUGUGGCAGAGCAUGCAAAGGAGAUUUCCAGUGCUAGUAAAAAUGAAGCUGUGGCUUUGGUGAGACCGAUGGAGGGAUGUGAUUUAGAAGUGGAUGCUGACAUGUUAAUCAAAAGCUUGGCCAAAACUUACCGAUGAAGGUGGGACCGGAAAGCUAGCAAGGUUUUUGAAGGAGUUUUUUUGUCAACUUUCCAUCAGCGGCUAGAAUUAACGAAGCUGCUAUAUAUGACUGGGUCCCUUUAAAGGGAGGAAAUAUCAUGGUGAAUGUGAAAAUCUGGAAUGAUGAUGCAAAUGGCUGUGGUUUGGGUCAAAUUCCGCUGGAGCAAAAGGGGUACCAAAGACUAUGAAGAAUUUCCAUGGGCUAUGUGAAAUUGGCUUAAUGAUUGGUUACACUCAGGCUGUAGAUAUGGAAUUAGUAAGUAAAAUAGGCUUGGUUAUAUUGAAAGUUGUUGUGGUGGAUUACAGAAAAAUUCCUAGAUGGACCAAGUUAACCACUCCCAAUCUCAUGGUUUACAGAAUCUUCUUUGAAAUGGAAGAAGUAGUAGAUGAAGGCUGGGCUAAGGAAGAUGAUGGAUUAUCUCAAGGCUAUGAAGAGUGGAUGGACUUUCAGCAAGAGGAGGAGGAUAGCAGAGAUCCCAAAAAAGCAAAAUACAAUGAAGAUGAGGCAGACAAUGGACCAUAGAUUUUCAGCAAGAUGCUCGGUUUCAGCAUAGGAGAUGAGUUGUUUGAUUUGAUUGAUAAGUAUCAUGUGGAUCAACCAUAUAUCUUCAUGCUGAAACAGUUUGUGAAGAAUAGAUAUCAUUACCCCGCAAAAAAAAAAGAAUAGAUACCAUCCACAAUUACUUACUGGUGCUAUAAAUAGUGUAUACCUGCCGUUCUUGUAUACAGGCCAUCAGUGAAGAAUUAGGAUGUGUAAGAAGGUAGUCACGCAAGGGAUAAUAUUUUGAGCGUAAAGCCUACAGAAUUUUCCUGGGCAGCAUCAGAUACUAAUCACAUGCGCAUUAUAGCCCUUUUUGUCUUUCAUGAAAUGCGCACUUUUAAAAGGGGGCGAAAUUAAUCAUUAAGAAAAAGCAGAAACAACGAAAGCAUCAUUUGGUUUUACAGCUAAAAAUAUUUGUUCUGUGCAUGGAGAUGGAGUGAUGGCAUACAAAUGAACGUAUAAUGUAAGCUUACAUGUGAAUUCUCUUCAAUGUGGGUAAAUGGAAUUAUUUACACUAGCUGCAGCCUGCAGGGCUGGAUGCAAAUGCCUAGCUUGUAAGGCGGACUAAGAUUAAGGCUGCAUGCAACAUAUAUUCUGCUUGGAAAUGCAUGGACUUGAUUUAUUUAUUUUUGAGGAUUGAAAUACAUGAACUUCACAUGAAGAUGAGGCAGCCAAGUUUCUACAAACUGGGUGCAAUCAGCACAAAAUCCUCACCUCACCUUUGUAAUCUUGCUCAGUAAAUUACAGGUGCUUGAUUAGUCUUAGUCAUGGCUCCGUGUUGAGCUCGUGACACGCGUUUGAUUGAUUUUUUUUGCCUUUGAUUGAUUUCAGUUUCUAAUGCCAGCUGAUCUGACAAGCCGAGGUUAACUUGGAUUAUUUGACAGUUAUUUUGUUUGCCUAUGGGCAUGCUAAUCUGCAUCUCAUCCCGCAUAAAGAUCAUCGGAAUCGGAUCUAAUACCUUUCUUUGGUCAGUCACGCACUCUAGCUAGGGUUCUUCGACGCAGGUUGCAUGCAUAGUUUUCCCUUUUUUUUUUUGAGAAAUAACAUGGACGUACACGCACACACACGCGCACACAGUCACCCCACCACACACACACACACACACACACACACACACAAAUGCGUACUGAAGGCACGAUCAAAGUUGUCGAGUUCAAAAUUGACGCAAUCGCCACAUGUUCCUCGCUAUUUGAUAUUUAUUUAUGAGUUAUUACUAAAUCAUAUGAAAAACAAAUCUUAAGGAUUUUUCAAACCACACUUGACAGGAGAUGCUCCAUUCGGUUCAAACAUUUUAAAAUAUCAAUUUUUUUGUCUAUCUUUUUGGUGCAAUCGACUUGUGUCAAGUUAAUCAAAUCGAAUGAUUACUACCUUCGUCCUGAUUUAUUAGUCCCUUUUGUAUUUUGUGCCAAAUUUUCACCUUAAAUUUAACUAACAAAAUGUUAAUACAUGUCAUAGAAAAUAAUACUAUAAUUGAAAAUUAUGUUCAAAUACGAAUCCAUCAAUAUAAUUUUGUGACAUGCAUUAGUACUUUAUUAGUUAAUUUUUUAGUCAAAAUUUGGCACAAAAUGAGACUUAUAAACCAGGAGUGAGGUAUAUUCCGGUGAACCCGCGUGUCAUCACCGCCGAGUCCGCUCUCCCUUUCUCCCCAGUCCACCUCCGCUAUAAAUACCACUCACUUAAAAUAAAAUAAUGAGCUCGACCGACGGCAGCAGCAGCUCGCGUUCUGCUCUCAGUCUAAUCCUCGUCGUCGUCGAGCGGCGCCGCGGCAGCAGCAGCAGCCAGCGUCCGAGUGGAGGCCGACAUUUCCUCUUGGCGGGGCCCGAAUCCAAUCCGUAAGUCGAAAUCUCUCUCUGUACAUGCUCUCGGAUCCCCACACAUCUUCUAGUACAGUCCUACACUAGAAUCCCCACCCCACCCAUCUCCUACAGUCCUACAGUACUUCCCUGCUGCGGUGCUGCCAGUGGCAUUCAGGCCGCCAUUCCCGCCGUUUCUUGGGGUCUCACUGAGGAAUCCGAGGGCACUGGUUGUGUAUUGAUCCUCCCCGGCAAGUAAUGGCGGCUCCGGUUGCUGUUGCCGCUGGGUGUGGGUCUACUCUUUGCAUGCAUUGCCCGUCCGCAAGGUGUUCGAUGGAUUGUGCAGGGUGUACGUCUGUCCGGGGUCUCGUUCCAGUCCUUCAGGUUCCGGUCCGUUUACAGUCAGUUGCUGAAAUUGUGCACGGAACGCAUGAAAAUGCAGGGAUUUGUGCUCAGGUUCUGCUCGGUUGCUUGGCAUUCCAGGCAUUGGUUCCUCUUUGCAGGAAGCAUCCCAUCAUAAGCAUAUACUAGUACUAUAUAUAUAGUUAUAUGUUCCCACUUCAAAAGAAAAAGUUGUAUGUUCUGUUUGUUUGCUUGCUGUCUGCUUCAAUGUUUGUUCCAUUUUAAGCAUAGUUGUACAAGUAUAGUUGUUUGUUUCGUGGGCAUAAUUCAAAGUUUGUCGGAAGCAGCUUUUGUUCUCUCUUGCAUAGCAAAAGUGUGUGGAAACUGGAAUCUGUUGAGAGUAGUAUGGCCACGCCAAACGUUUUAGCUUUCACUUAAGGACCACACAUUGCUUCUUGACUUUGUUGGAUGCUUGUCGGCCCAGCCUUGGAACUGUACCUUCCUACUAAUGGUAUGGAAUAUGGUUAAUAUAAAUGAGGCACAGACCAAACUUUUGUGUUGCUUACUAGAAAUGAGUGUAUUUCCUUAAAAAAAUGUCAAAUCAUCUGUCAUUGUUCUCUCAAGUUACUUUCAUUGCGAUGUUCAAUCCAGUUUUUAUUACUGCAAUUGCUUCAUUCGAAUUGAGGUUUCAGUCCGUUUACCGUCAGUUGCUGAAAAUGUGCACGAAACGGAUGAAAAUGCCAGGACGUGCGCUCUUUGUUUACCGUUUACCGCCAUUUGUUUGGUUGCAGGAAGCACCCGGUCUUAAGCAUAGUAUAUAUAAAGUUGUAUGCUCUGUUUUGUUUGUCUGUUUGCUGUCUGAUUGAGACAAGGGCAUAAUCCAAAGUUUGACACCUGCACUUGCACCUGCUCCUGCACAUUUACGUGUUGGAAACUGGAAUCUGUUGAGAGUAGUAUGGCCACGCCAAAUGUUUUGGCUUUAACUCAAGGACCACAUUGCUUCUUGACUUUCUUGGAUGCUUGUUGGCCCAACUUUGCAACUGUACCUUCCUAAUAGUAGUAUAAAUCAGUCACAUACAAUUCUUUUUGUGUUGCUUGAGAUUUUGUGUAUUUACUUAAUGUGUUUAGUCGAAUCAUCUGUCAUUGUUCUCCCAAGUUGCUUUUCCUCGUGAUAUUCAAUCCGUCGGGUUUUUAAAUACUGUAACUUCUUCAUUCAAAUUGAUAUUUGCUUCCUUGUUGUUUUCCUUUCAACGUUUGGACUGAGGCUUCAAAUAAUGGUGCUCUUUAACAUGGGCUUUGUUACUUUAGAGAAUACAAGAAUUAUGCAUUGGUAUCAUGAUAACAUCUGCUCUAUGUUUUUUCUACAGGGGGUUUCCAACACAUAAGUAGUUUACUAACAUGAAGACAAGCAUCCAGUAGACUUUGCACCAUUUGAGGCACAAUGGAGAUAUCUUUUCUCAUGUUGUUGGUUCUCUCUCUGCUUCUGUUUCCUAAUGGCAUCUGCAAGAGUUUAGCUGCGAGGCCUCCUGUUGUGAAUAUUGGGUCUAUUCUUCAAUUUAACUCCACCACUGGAGGUGUUGCCGCGGUUGCCAUCCAUGCAGCCUUGGAAGAUAUCAACUCUGAUCCAACAAUUCUAAAUGGAACUACACUAAAGGUUCAAAUCAAGGAUACAAAUUGCUUUGAUGGUUUCCUUGGCAUGGUUCAAGGUACGCUAGCUUUAAUGUCACGCAUUCAUUUGGCAUUGUUGAAAUAGUUUUUGCUUCUCUUGUGGAAUUGUGACAAUGAUACCGUAUUCCUUGUAUCAGCUUUGCAGUUCAUGGAGACUGAUGUUAUUGCACUCAUUGGCCCUCAGUGCUCUACAAUUUCUCACAUCAUUUCAUAUGUAGCAAAUGAGCUUCGAGUCCCUUUGAUGUCCUUUGCUUCUGAUGCAACUCUUUCAUCCAUACAGUUCCCGUUCUUUGUCAGGACUGGUCCCAAUGACCUCUAUCAAAUGGCGGCUGUGGCAGAAGUUGUUGACUACAACCACUGGAAGAUAGUGACUGCCAUUUACAUUGACAAUGUUUAUGGUCGAAAUGGCAUUGCUGCUUUGGAUGAUGCACUCGCUUUAAAGCGCUGCAAAAUCUCCUACAAGGUUGGGUUUCCUUCCAAUGCUAAAAGAAGUGAGCUCAUAAAUUUGUUGGUUAGUGUCAGUUAUAUGGAGUCUCGUGUUAUCAUUCUCCAUACUGGAGCUGAACCUGGACUCAAGCUUUUCUCUAUGGCAAAACAACUGAACAUGAUGGGCAACGGCUAUGUGUGGAUUGCAACUGACUGGCUGUCUGCAUAUCUUGAUGCUAAUUCAUCAGUUCCUGCUGAGACUAUAUCUGGCCUGCAAGGUGUUCUUACUUUACGGCCACAUAUCCCCAACUCAAAGAUGAAGAGUAAUUUGGUCUCCAAAUGGAGCAGGCAAAGUAAAAAGUACAACUAUAGUGAUCUUCGUGUAAAUACUUACGGUUUUUAUGUUUAUGAUAGUGUCUGGGUAGUAGCUCGGGCUCUGGAUGCCUUCUUUGAUGAUGGUGGUAGGAUUUCCUUUUCAAAUGACUCGAUGUUACAUGAUGAAACUGGAGGAACACUUCACCUUGAAGCAAUGAGCAUUUCUGACAUGGGAAAUAAAUUAUUGGAGAAGAUUAGAAAGGUAAACUUCACUGGGGUGUCUGGGCAGGUGCAAUUCGAUGCUGGAGGCAACCUAAUUCAUCCUGCAUAUGACAUCAUAAACAUCAUCGGAAGUGGCAUGCGGACCAUUGGUUUUUGGUCAAAUUAUUCUGGCUUGUUGUCGACUGUCUCUCCAGAGGCUCUAUAUUCAAAGCCUCCUAAUAUUUCUCUGGCUGAUCAGCAUCUCUAUGAUGUUAUUUGGCCUGGGGAGACUGCACAGAGGCCUCGAGGAUGGGUUUUUCCUUCUAAUGCCAAGCAGUUGAAAAUUGGUGUUCCCAACAGAUUUAGUUUCAAAGAGUUUGUCACGAAAGACAAUUCUACUGGGUCAAUGAAGGGUUAUUGCAUCGAUGUCUUUACUCAGGCAUUGGCUUUGCUUCCUUAUCCUGUUAGUUACAAGUUUGUACCUUUUGGGAAUGGUACUGAAAAUCCUAAUUAUGACAAACUCGUACAGAUGAUUGAAUCAAAUGUAAGUAUGGAAUGCCUUUUUUCUUCCUCUAACCAUUUCAUCAUCUUUAUCAAAAAAACCAUUUCAUCAUACCAUGCUGACCAGGGGGGGUCUUAUCCUGCAGGAAUUCGAUGCAGCUAUAGGGGAUAUCGCAAUUACAAUGAGGCGAACAGUAACUUUUGAUUUCACCCAGCCAUUCAUUGAAACAGGCUUGGUUAUCUUGGCUCCGGUUAAACAGCAUAUAACAUCGUCCUGGGCAUUCUUGCAGCCAUUUACUUUGGAGAUGUGGUGUGUUACAGGGUUGUACUUCCUUAUUGUGGGUGUGGUUGUUUGGGUUCUUGAACAUCGGAUCAAUGAUGAUUUCCGUGGUUCAGUACGUCAACAAAUAAUAACUAUUUUCUGGUAAGGAGCUGACUUGCACCUAUUGUAUCGUCUUUUUGUAGUAUAUCAUUCCUUUUUUCUUAGAAAUGUUGAUGUUUCAACAAGUCUUGUGCAAUAUGUUUGCAUACAGCAAGCACCUCAGAACAGUUGCCAGUUAACAUACCCAAAUGAAGCAUCUACUGAUUACCAAGGAACUAUUAUCUUAAUGAUCUUGUGAAACGUAUAUAUGCACAGUAUAUAUAUUCGCUUAAUGAUAUUUAUGAUGCAUUGCUCUUUUUUUUUCUGUUUUCACAUACUUCUCCACAUGUAUUACAAAUGUUCUUAUCAUGGCGUGAUUCCUUGCUCUCAGAUGUGAUUAUAAUUUCUAUUUUGAUUGCCUGCAGGUUCAGCUUUUCGACGUUGUUCUUCUCACACAGUGAGUAAACCAACCUUCUCUAUUAUGUGUUUUUUUGGCCAUAGGUAACAUUUUGUUCUGAGGCAUGGCUCGUGAUUUCAUCUGUAUCUGCCCGCAGGAGAAAAUACUAUGAGCACCUCAGGGCGUGGUGUCCUGAUCAUAUGGCUAUUCGUUGUUUUGAUAAUUGUAUCCAGCUAUACCGCGAGUCUUACUUCCAUCCUGACCGUGCAACAACUUGAUACUUCUAUAAAAGGAAUCGAUGACCUGAAAAAUAGUAAUGAUCCUAUUGGUUUCCAAGUUGGUUCUUUUGCACAAGACUACAUGGUCAAGGAGCUCAACAUCUCACGUUCAAGGCUAAGAGCUCUCGGUUCAGCACAAGAAUAUGCUGAAGCCCUCAAGCUAGGCCCUAAGGAAGGAGGUGUUAUGGCCAUUGUUGACGAGCGACCCUAUGUUGAACUGUUUUUGUCAACCUACUGCAAGAUUGCGGUAGCUGGUACAGAUUUCACCAGCAGAGGAUGGGGCUUUGUAAGUACAUUUGAACCAUAUUCUUUAAUGUAGAUUAGAAUAUAAGAACAAAAUAUUUUGAAGUUAAUAUCCUGGAAUAGCAGUUUUAACUUUGAACAAGUUGUGUCAACUAUCUAGUUUAUUAUGCAACUUUAUUUGCACUUUUCUGCGGCUGCAAGUCUAAAAUCUACACCUACUUUGUCUCACAAAUCAAAAUGUAGCACCUUACAAGUUCAUUCUACCAGGCAUUUCCAAGGGACUCCCCUUUGCAAGUAGACCUCUCCACCGCAAUCCUGUCAUUGUCAGAGAAUGGGGAGCUGCAGCGGAUCCAUGACAAGUGGCUCAAGACAGGGGAGUGCGCAACUGACAACAGCGAGUUUGUUGACUCAGACCAGCUCCGCCUUGAGAGCUUCCUUGGUCUGUUCCUAAUCUGUGGCGUGGCAUGCAUCCUCGCGUUGCUAAUCUACUUUGGUAUCAUGCUACGCAAAUACCUGAGGCAUGAACAGAGGAAGAGCCUGAGAAGAUUCUUCUCAUUCGUCCAUGGCAAGGAUCCACCAAAGAACAACGAGAGGCGGUCCAUGAGCCUGCUUGGAAGCUCGACGCCGGCAACGCCAAUGAGCAGCCUUUCUACCCUUGAGAUAGAAAGGCCGUCCAGGGAAGUCAGAAACGACAGCGUUAUUGAAAUGGAAAGCUAGUUCAUGUGUACAAAGCUAGUUCGUGCUUUAUCUCUCAAGGCAGCUGGGCAACUGUUUUGUGUGAAGCAACAAUGCGGCCGACUAACCUUGGUCCCGGUAACCUAGGUUGUAAAGCCAAACACCAGGGAUGUAUAGAGGGGGUUCAAAUACUUCUUAAAGGAAGGAUUGAUAAUAAAAAUUAAAAUAUCGAAAUGCUCCUCUCUCCCACGUAGAUCACUUUAUUCUUUGCAUGACUAUAUUUUUUGGGGAUAUCUUGCCACUACAGAAUUGGCGUUUGGCGGUGUGAUCUGUUCAUGUGUUCAAUUGCGCGUAGUGUGGUUAUUCCAAAUCAGUAGGAUUGUGUCACUUCAGUUUGAUAGUAUGCGGCGGACUGAACCUGCCGGCUGCAGCUAGUACCGUUUGAUGUGUGACGAUGCCUGUAGAUUCUAGUACUAAACUUUGAUGCUUGUUCAUAAACUAGUUUAGAUGGAGCCACCCAAAAGAUAUGAUAGUUUUUCUUUUUUUGUCUUAUAUACUCUGUUUUGUCUGAGUUUUGUUCCGGGCAACUUUGAAGCUUAUGUUAGGGUGGUCGGUAGAAAAAUGUGUAGCACCUUCCACAACUCAUAAAGAAGAUAAUUAAAAAGAGCAUAGGAAGAAAUAGUUAUGAUCUUAUUAGGAUAGUUAAGAAGAAAUCCAACACUAGGUUUUCGUUUUUCUAACUCUAUGGCUACACUGUAAAAUAUUUAUGGAUUAGCUCCAAUUGAUGCAAAUCUUUUUGGUGGUUCUGGGAUGCGACUGAGUCAGAUUAAUCCCAAGUUACUCCCUCCAUCCCAUAAUAUAAGGUGUUAUUACAUCUAAUAUGUGGGACGGAGGGGGUAGCUACUUGUCUCUCUCAAAUCUUACUGGAACACUGAGCCACUGGUCUGAAAAGUGGAAAUUCCUGCAGGUUUGUAAUGCAUCUGUUUUGGUUCUUGCGGGCAUCACAAGUGUUGUUAGUAGUGGAGUAGUAGGCAGAUGCAAAACCAAGCCAUCAUUUUCCUUCUAAAUACACUUGUAAAAGAAUCAUGAGUGUCUAUUCUAAUGGAGUGGUAUACAGACAUAUAAUUAUUGCAGGGAUGCUGCAACUUCCUGGAGCAAGGCCUUAGUGGUACUAGGUUUGUCUAUUCUAGUGAUACUGGGUUUUCUUUUCUGAUUUCUUCUAAUUUAAUAGUUAAGCCAGGCUACAUUAUGACUGCCAGCUCUGCUGUAACUUUUCUUGCGAGGCAUAACAAUUGGAUUAUUGUUGAUGCAGCGAAAACAGAAACGAGUAUCAGUGCCUUUUUAUUUAAUUUAGUCAUAAUAGUUGACUUAACAUAUCAUAUAUUAAAUGUGGGUAGGAGAUUCCUGUAUUUUUCUUGAAUACAGAAGAGCAACAAUAGGGAGAGUUCUUUUACACGAUGGAGCGAUUAUUUUCCUAUGAAGAAUGUAUAAUGUAUAUAUAUUUCUCAUUCUGUUCAAUACCUGGUUUAGGAAGAGCUCUUUUUCCUAUGCAAAAUGUAUAACAUGUAUGUUUAUAAUUUUGAUUGCAGGCAUAUUCGUCGCGCUCGCCCUGCGUUUUGACGUUCCGCGAGGGACCAAGUGGGAUACGCCACGGGUUCCGACAGUAAAGAUAACAAUGAUAAACUGGUUUCAAGCCACUCAGGGCAGUUUUGCUGUUACUAAGAUACUGCGGCAUCUUGUCUCUCUCGGUCGAUGUCCUGUCAUCUCUGAAAAUAUCAGUGGCACCUGUUCUGUUUACCUGUCUUUUGUGUUGUGACGCACAGCCUGCUCUGCUAUACAUCGUUCCUGGCAUGACUGGUUUCAUCGCCGUUCGCUCUGUGUGGAAUGGAGAAGUAGAGCCGAUAAGUAAGCCUGCUUACCUAGUCCCUUUUGUUUAGUCCUGGGAUGAGAGAAAAUAACUGACAAUCUGGACGAGCCUGCCUUUGAAGUGCGAAACUUGUUUGUCACUGACAGUUUUCACGAUUGGCAGUUGCUGGAGUUCACUGAGUCGAUAGUCGGAGAGGACGCAGAACAUGAAGGUCCCAACCAUGAGAGCAAAAUGGUGGACUAGGGCUUUCCCUAAGGUGUGCUUUCAGGUAUUUUCAGUUUUCUUGUUAAGGAAUCAAGGUAGGAUUUUGUCUGCCAAGACCCUAUAUUCAUGGAGUGAGACGUUGUUCUGAAUUCCGAGGCACUCAGAAAGUUUCGUCGUGGAAUUUCUUCUGGAAAACAUGUGUAUGUAUUCCAGUUGUAUCAUUAGUAACCCAAGGCCAUAUAGCACAAAGAAUGUUUGCUUGAUUCGUUCUGCCUGACAAGACAUAAACUCCCAUUUCUAUAUUGCUGCCAAACACGCUGUAAAAUGAAGUUUCCGAAUUUUUGCGUUUUGAUGCGCAGCUUGCUCUGUUGUAGUAAAUCAUUCCUGUUGUGUGGCUGGUUCGUCGCCGUUCAACCGACUGAGCAGUCAGUUUGGUGCGUUCUCGGGGAGCAAGAAGAACAUAGCACACGCAUCCAAACAUACGAAGAGCUGAGUAGUCAGGAGAGCGACCAGUAAGACACUCCAUAGGAAUACCACCCUGCAGAGCAGUCGAUGACUAAAUGUUGAUGAGAUAGGUGGAUGCGGAAACAACCUCGGCCCAAAAAUGGGGUGAAAGGGAAGCAGCAAUCAUUAGCGCACGAGCCGUCUCAAGCAAAUGACGAUGCUUUCGUUCAGCAACGCCAUUCUGAGCAUGAGCACCAGGACAUGAGAACUGGGCAAGAGUUCCCUGUUCCGCGAGAAAACCACGCAACAGCUGAGAGAUAUACUCUCCAGCGGAGUCAGCACAAAAAGUAUGAAUGGGCGUAUAUAGGGAGAACCUCGCUACGAGAUUUCAUGAAGUAGAGCCACGUGUAGCGAGAGAAAUCAUCAAUAAACAAAACAUAGUAGCGAUGACCACCUUUCGUAUCAAAGGGAGCAGGACCCCAGACAUCAGAAUGAACUAAGUCAAAAGGACGCUGAGAUACAGACUCAUAGUAGGAUAAGGUAAUUGAGUCUGUUUGCCAAGUCUGUAACCAUUACAAUGUAAGGAGACAUCUCUAGAUACAUACCCUAAGAGGCCCUGACGAACUAAAGAAGACAAGCGAGAGCCACAGAUGUGACCAAGGCGAUGAUGCCACUGCUGGAAGGACGCAGACGAAGAGGCAGCAAGAGCAUGAGAGCUGGCAGAAGUGGUGGCAGCGGAAGGAACACAAAGCCAGUCAACCUCCCAAAGGCCCUCUGACUCACGGCGCCGGGGGCCAGCACCAAUCAAAGCCUUGGUGUCACGAUCCUGAAUGGAGCAAGAGUCGGUAUCAAGAAUGACACGACAACCAGAAUCAGUAAGUUGGGCAGCGGAAAAAAUAUUCAUGGUAAGGCGAGGAACAUGUGAAACACUUGGAACAGAAAAAGAUGGAGUGGAAAGAAUACCACCACUAGCCACAGGAAGAGAUGUGCCAUCGGCAGUAAGAACAUUAACAGGCGAAUCAAGAGGUUGGAGAGAAGACAGCGCGGAAGAAUCAUAAGACAUAUGAAAGGAGGCUCCAGAAUCCAGAACCCAUGAAGAUGUACCUGACUGUGUAGAUGCCGGUGAUGAUGAGGAAGGGGAUGAAGUCAUAGCAGCAGCGGAAGCAGUCGACGAGGAGCCUGAGGAAGCAAGAAGACGCUUGAGGCGAACAAUGUCCUGGUCAGUGAGUGACAGAGUCAAGGAAGACACAGGAGUCCCGCUGGAGGAGGAGCGCCUCUGGUCUCGCUUCUUCUGGCGACAAUCAGACUCUGGGUGACCUGGCCGGGAGCAGUAACCAUAGACGGUGUCACGGCACGACGUGCCCUUCUCAGCAUAAAGAGGACGGCUCACCCCCCUGGAGGAGUAGGCAGGAGCGGCGGAGCAGUAAGGCGGGCAGACGACACAGGAGCCCGGGCAGCCAAUACCGACGGAACCAGAAGCAACCCAGCAGAGCGAAGGCGGGUCUCCUCAGCACGAAGCUCAGCAAGUAUCUCGGAGAUAGGAACACGACCAUGAGCAAGCAGGUGAGCAUGUCGAGGCUCAAACUCAGACCGGAGACGAGAUAAGAACUCAUGGACCCGCUGAAACUCCAGAUCAGACCGAGUAGUCUGACAGCAACGACAGGUUCCACAAACAACUGUCCGAAGAGAGUCAAGCUGGCGCCAGAUGGCAGAGCGCUGUGAAUAGAACUCAUCAACAGACGAAUCACCUUGUUGGAGUGCGUGCUCCAGGCGCACCACAGAUAGGUAGAGAGCAUCACCAGAGGGCUGAUAGCGCUGACAGAGAUAAGAGCACAUCGCUGCAACUGUGCCAAGGCCCAUGAACUCCGAAGCAAACUGAGGGAGGACACUCGUAGUGAGAACAGCAGCAGCUCGAGCAUCAUCAUUGCACCACUGAGUGUAAGCAGACAGAUCAUCCCGGUACACAGAGAGAGCAUCGGAAUAAGCGGAUACCUGCUGAUCAUAAGCAUCAACUGCAGCAUCAUCCAGAGCCUUGGCAGCAUCCCGGUCAGCCUGAGAAGCAUCAGCAGCAAGGACCGGCGGCACUGGUGGGAUUGGGGCCACUGGCGCAACCGGACAUGGCGGACAGGGUACCUCGCCAGAGAGCACGCCCCACAACAGAAGGCCGCACAUAUGGAUAUGCAUGAAGCCCACAAACUCAACAUAGUUGGUGCCAUCAAAGAUCACUGAGCAGCGAGAAACAACCACAUAUCCCGAAAAAGACAUUGGUGAGCUCCCUUUUUUACAAAGUCAACCUCAUUGGGCAAACAGCCCGAGCAGCCAGAGAGCCCGAGCGCCCGUAGGCAGGCCGAGCGAGAGGGCCAGCCGAGCACGGGCCGGAUCCAAGGCCAGGAGGACCAGGCGGAACAAGGGGGCGGCGGAGGCGCAAUGGAGGAGGUAGCCACUCAGCGGGGCGAAGGCGAGCGCCUCUGCCCUCACGCGAAGCAGAGCAACGACGCGGGGGCGGUGCGGUAGCUUGAGGCGGGGGCUCCGGCAACACGGCGGAGUCCAGCAAGGCGGGGACGGCCAGAUCCGGCCGCGGGACACCGAUUCCCGGUGAGCCUUGCAGCGGGUGGGCCGGGCAGGCGAGCGCCUCUGCCCUCACGCGAAGCAGAGCAACGACGCGGGGGCGAUGCAGCAGACAGGAAGAGGUGGCCGUGAUCGGGCUGGAGCAGCAGGAUCCGGAUCCGCGACGGGGAGGGCCGGACGGAGCUGCUCGCCGGGACCGCCAGCAAGGCAGGAGGCGCCGGAUUGAGAGCAUCGAGAGAGAAACUAGUACAGUGUUGCAGCGUGCGGGAGAGAGGGGAACCUAACAUCUAAUACCAUGUUGGAGAGAUAGCAACUCGUAUUUUCUGAGGGCCAAAGGCCAUUACAUAUACAUGUGUGACAAAGUGCAGACAACCCCUCAUAUAACAAGGAUAUACCGAAAAGGAACUAUACACAUCUAACAUAUUCCUUGUCCCUUUUGUGUAUUUUUGUAGUUAUACAUUAUUCAGGAGAUAUGUUCAUAGAACAACCACGUCAUCAUUCGGUUACCAGCUGUAGAGACCCACCAAGCCUCCACAGUGUAAACCAACGGGGUAUAGAACCUCAAAGAAGAACAACGUAUAGACGACGUCCAUGGCGGUUGGAUGAAUGACACAGAGGAGGGAGGAGGAAGAUGAUGUCAGAUCGAAAACCACGAAAAUCAUAAUCAAAAUCGCUUUAGGGGCACAUUUAUCUGGUUUUGAAAUUUUUAGGGUGUAAAUUGUACCAAAAGCAAUCUUUAGGGGGGUAUUUGUCCAUUGAACCACAUUUGAUGUUGAAAAAUGAACUUCUUUCUAUCCAUUAUGUUGCAUUGUGCCCCGGGAGAACGGAACAUCCAGAAAAACGAAUCCGCUCGAACUCCCUGGCUCCUCAGCGAUUUGGGCCUCCUAUCCGUCCGAUCGGUUCGCUUGAUGGAGUUCCGGCCGUCGGAUCGAGCCGCCGACAGAUCUCAUCCGUCGGAUCGAAUCCCCCUCCCUUGUAGCAUGGUUGAUCCCGUCUGGUUCGCGCCGUCGAUUACUCCUUUCGUUUGACCGGUUGUUGCUGACUUGUGGGGUCCCGGCACGCGGGCCGCGCCCGUCAGCAAGCGGGUGUGCGGGUGCAGCCUGUGCGUUCAGUCAUGCGCGCGCCUGCGGUAAAUAUCCCGUGCCACCGCAUGUAAAUCUUGCACCCCGCCGAGGGCUUUUUCAUCAUUUCCUGUCCAAGCCGCGUGCGUGGUGGACGCUGGUUGGCUCCGUGCGGCUAUGUGGUGGGGGAGGGCGGCUGGCUCGCUUCUCGCUCGCCCCCUUCGUUCCCUUCUCUCUAUCUCUCCUCCCCCCUCCCCCUCAAUCCGAAUCUUCCCCCGGAACCCAAUCCAUGGCACCGCAGCGCUCGCUGCCCUCGGCCUCCUCACGCCGCCGCCGCCGCUCGUCCUCCUCGUCUUUGAAGGAAAUAUGCCCUAGAGGCAAUAAUAAAGUUAUUACUUAUUUCCUUAUUUCAUGAUAAAUGUUUAUUAUUCAUGCUAGAAUUGUAUUAACCGGAAACAUAAUACAUGUGUGAAUACAUAGACAAAUAAAGUGUCACUAGCAUGCCUCUACUUGACUAGCUCGUUGAAUCAAAGAUGGUUAAGUUUCCUAGCCAUAGACAUGAGUUGUCAUUUGAUUAACAGGGUCACAUCAUUAGAGAAUGAUGUGAUUGACUUGACUCAUUCCGUUAGCAUAGCACUUGAUCGUUUAGUUUGUUGCUAUUGCUUUCUUCAUGACUUAUACAUGUUCCUAUGACUAUGAGAUUAUGCAACUCCCGUUUACCGGAGGAACACUUUGUGUGCUACCAAACGUCACAACAUAACUGGGUGAUUAUAAAGGUGCUCUAUAGGUGUCUCCAAAGGUACUUGUUGGGUUGGUGUAUUUCGAGAUUAGGAUUUGUCACUCCGAUUGUCGGAGAGGUAUCUCUGGGCCCUCUCGGUAAUGCACAUCACUUAAAGCCUUGCAAGCAUUGCAACUAAUGAGUUAGUUGCGGGAUGAUGUAUUACGGAACGAGUAAAUAGACUUGCCAGUAACGAGAUUGAACUAGGUAUUGAGAUACCGAUGAUCGAAUCUCGGGCAAGUAACAUACCGAUGACAAGGGAACAAUGUAUGUUGUUAUGCGGUUUGACCGAUAAAGAUCUUCGUAGAAUAUGUGGGAGUCAAUAUGAGCCUCCAGGUUCCGCUAUUGGUUAUUGGCCGGAGACGUGUCUCAGUCAUGUCUACAUAGUUCUCAAACCCGUAGGGUCCGCACGCUUAAAGUUUCGGUGACGAUUGUAUUAUGAGUUUAUGUGAUUUGAUGUACCGAAGUUAGUUCGGAGUCCCGGAUGAGAUCGGGGACAUGACGAGGAGUCUCGAAAUGGUUGAGACGUAAAGAUCGAUAUAUUGGACGACUAUAUUCGGACAUCGGAAAGGUUCCGAGUGAUUCAGGUAUUUUCAAGGGUACCGGGGACUUACGGGAAUAAGAGGAAGAAGUAAUGGGCCUCAUGGGCCAAGUGGUGGAAGAGAGGAGGCAGGGCGCGUGGCCCCCCUAGCCCAAACCGAAUUGGACUAGGGCCCCCCCUUUCCUCUUCCCCCCCUCUCCUUCCUUCUCCUUCUCCUCCUUCCUUUCCUCCUCCUAGUAGGAGUAGGAAAGGGGAGUCCUACUCCUACUAGGAGGAGGACUCCUCCUCUUGGCGCGCCCAUAGAGGGCCGGCCGGCCUCCCCCUUUCUCCUUUAUAUACGGGGGCAGGGGGGCACCUCUAGACACACAAGUUGAUCUGUUGAUCUCUCCCAGCUGUGUGCGGUGCCCCCCUCCACCAUAUUCAACCUCGGUCAUAUCGUAGCGGUGCUUAGGCGAAGCUCUGUGCCAGUAGCAACAUCAUCACCGUCAUCAUGCCGUCGUGCUGACGGAACUAUCCCGUGAAGCUCUGCUGGAUCGGAGUUUGCGGGACGUCAUCAAGCUGAACGUGUGCUGAACUCGGAGGUGCCGUGCGUUCGGUACUUGGAUCGGUCGGAUUGUAAAGACGUACGACUACAUCAAUCGCGUUGUGCUAACGUUUCCUCUUUCGGUCUACGAGGGUACGUGGACAACACUCUCCCCUCUCGUUGCUAUGCAUCACCAUGAUCUUGCGUGUGCGUAGGAAAUUUUUGAAAUUACUACGUUCCCCAAUAGUGGCAUCCGAGCCAGGUUUUAUGCGUAGAUGUCAUAUGCACGAGUAGAACACAAGUGAGUUGUGGGCGAUAUAAGUCAUACUGCUUACCAGCAUGUCAUACUUUGGUUCGGCGGUAUUGUUGGAUGAAGCGACCCGGACCGACAUUAUCCAUACGCUUACGCGAGACUGGUUCUACCGAUGUGCUUUGCACAUAGGUGGCUGGCGGGUGUCAGUUUCUCCGACUUUAAUUGAACCGAGUGUGGCUACGCCCGGUCCUUGCGAAGGUUAAAACAACACCAACUUGACAAACUAUCGUUGUGGUUUUGAUGCGUAGGUAAGAACGGUUCUUGCUAAGCUCAGUAGCAGCCACGUAAAACUUGCAACAACAAAGUAGAGGACGUCUAACUUGUUUUUGCAGGGCAUGUUAUGAUGUGAUAUGGUCAAGACGUGAUGAGAUAUAAGUUGUUGUAUGAGAUGAUCAUGUUUUGUUGAAGUUAUCCGCAACUGGCAAAAGCCUUAUCGUUGUCUCUCUAUUGCAUAAGAUGCAAGCACCAAAUAAUUGCUUUACUUUAUCGCUAUGCGAUAGCAAUAGUUGCAAGAGCAAUAGUUGGCGAGACGACCAUGUGAUGACACAUUGAUAUAGAUCAAGAUGAUGGAGAUCAUGGUGUCAUGCCGGUGACGAUGGAGAUCAUGACGAUGCUUUGGAGAUAGAUAUCAAAGGCACAAGAUGAUGAUGGCCAUAUCAUAUCACAUAUUUUGAUUGCAUGAGAUGCUUAUCUUUUAUACAUCUUACUUUGCUUAGUUAUGACGGUAGCAUUAUAAGAUGAUCUCUCACUAAAUUUCAAGAUAAAACUGUUCUUCCUGAGUAUGCACUGUUGCCAAAGUUCGUCGUGCCCAGAAACCACGUGAUGAUCGGGUGUGAUAAGCUCUACGUCCAUCUACAACGGGUGCAAGCCAGUUUUGCACACACAGAAUACUCAGGUUAAACUUGACGAGCCUAGCAUAUGUAGAUAUGGCCUCAGAACACUGAGACCGAAAGGUCGAGCGUGAAUCAUAUAGUAGAUAUGACCAACAUAAUGAUGUUCACCAUUGAAAACUACUCCAUUUCACGUGAUGAUCGGUUAUGGUUUAGUUGAUAUGGAUCACGUGAUCACUUAGAAGAUUAGAGGGAUGUCUUUCUAAGUGGGAGUUCCUAAGUAAUAUGAUUAAUUGAACUUUAAUUUAUCAUGAACUUAGUCAUGAUAGUAUUUGCAUAUCUAUGUUGUAGAUCAAUAGCUCGCGUUAUUGCUUCCCUAUGUUUUAUAUGUGUUCCUAGAGAAAACUAAGUUGAAAGAUGAUAGUAGCAAUGAUGCAGACUGGGUCCGUGAUCUGAGGUUUAUCCUCAUUGCUACACAGAAGAAUUAUGUCCUUGAUGCACUGCUAGGUGACUGACCUAUUGCAGGAGCAGAUGCAGACGUUAUGAACGUUUGGCUAGCUCAGUAUGAUGACUACUUGAUAGUUUAGUGCACCAUGCUUAACAGCUUAGAAUCGGGAUUUCAAAGACGUUUUGAACGUCAUGGACCAUAUGAGAUGUUCCAGGAGUUGAAAUUAAUAUUUCAAGCAAAUACCCGAGUUGAGAGAUAUGAAGUCUCCAACAAGUUCUAUAUCUAAAAGAUGGAGGAGAAUAGCUCAAGCAGUAAGCAUGUGCUCAGAUUGUCUAGGUACUACAAUCGCUUGAAUCAAGUGGGAGUUAAUCUUCCAGAUAAAAUAGUGAUUGACAGAAUUCUCUAGUCACCAUCACCAAGUUAGUAGAACUUAGUGAUGAACUAUAAUAUGCAAGGGAUGACAAAAACAAUUCCCAAGCUCUUCGCGAUGCAAAAAUUGGCGAAGGUAGAAAUCAAGAAAAAACAUCAAGUGUUGAUGGUUGACAAGACCACUAGUUUCAAGAGAAAGGGCAAAGGGAAGAAGGGGAACUUCAAGAAGAACAGCAAACCAGUUGCUGCUCAAGUGAAGAAACCCAAGUCUGGACCUAAGCCUGAGACUAAGUGCUUCUACUGCAAAGGGACUGGUCACUAGAAGCGGAACUACCCCAAGUAUUUGGUGGAUAAGAAGGAUGGCAAAGUGAACAAAGCUAUAUUUGAUAUACAUGUUAUUGAUGUGUACUUUACUAGUGUUUAUAGCAACCCGUCGGUAUUUGAUACUGGUUCAGUUGCUAAGAGUAGUAACUCGAAAUGGGAGUUGCAAAAUAAACAGAGACUAGUUAAGGGUGAAGUGACGAUGUGUGUUGGAAGUGGUUCCAAGAUUGAUAUGAUCACCAUUGCACACUCCCUAUACUUUCGGUAUUAGUGUUGAACCUAAAUAAAUAUUAUUUGGUGUUUGUGUUGAGCAUAAAUAUGAUUGGAUCAUGUUUAUUGCAAUACGGUUAUUCAUGUAAGUUAGAGAAUAAUUGUUGUUCUGUUUACAUGAAUAAAACAUUCUAUGGUCAUACACCCAAUGAAAAUGGUUUGUUGGAUCUCGAUCGUGGUGAUACACAUUUUCAUAAUAUUGAAGCCAAAAGAUGCAAAGUUAAUAAUGAUAGUGCAACUUAUUUGUGGCACUGCUGUUUAGGUCAUAUUGGUGUAAAGCGCAUGAAGAAAAUCCAUGCUGAUGGGCUUUUGGAAUCACUUGAUUAUGAAUCAGUUGAUGCUUGCGAACCAUGCCUCAUGGGCAAGAUGACUAAGACUCCGUUCUCCGGAACAAUGGAGCGAGCAACCGAUUUGUUGGAAAUCAUACAUACUGAUGUAUGUGGUCCGAUGAAUAUUGAGGCUCGCGACAGGUAUCAUUAUUUUCUGUUCUUCACAGAUAAUUUGAGUAGAUAUGAGUAUAUCUACUUGAUGAAACACAAGUCUGAAAUAUUUGAAAAGUUUAAAGAAUUUCAUAGUGAAGUGGAGAAUCAUCGUAACAAAAAUAAAAGUUUCUACGAUAUGAUCGUAGAAGUAAAAUAUUUGAGUUACGAGUUUGGCCUUUAGUUAAAACAAUAUGAAAUAGUUUCACUACUCACGUGCAACGCCCUCGAUGCGGCUAUAUCUCCCACGUGUCAAAGCACGACUUAGAGGCAUAACCGCAUUGAAAGCAAUGUCGCAAGUGAGGUAAUCUUCACACAGCCCGUGUAAUACAUAAGGGAAAAAGAUAUAUAGUUGGCUUACAAUCGCCACUUCACACAAAUACAUGGAUAAAGCAUUACAUCAAACAGAUACAAUCAAUGUCCGACUAUGGAACCAAAAUAAAAGAAGAACCCCAAAUGCGACAAGGUCCCCGAUCGACCCCAACUGGGCACCACUACUGAUCAACUAGAACGAAACAACACAAAGGACAAGAUCUUCAUCGAGCUCCUCCUUGAGCUUGGUUGCGUCAUCUGCACGGUCUCAUCGGCACCUGCAAGCUGGUUUGAAAGUAUCUGUGAGCCACAGGGACUCAGCAAUCUCGCACCCUCGCGAUCAAGACUAUUUAAGCUUAUGGGUAAGGUAAAGGUAUGAGGUGGAGCUGCAGCAAGCGACUAGCAUAUAUGGUGGCUAACAUACGCAAAUGAGAGCGAGAAGAGAAGGCAAAGCACGAUCGAGAAACUAUGAUCAAGAAGUGAUCCUAGAACAACCUACGUUAAGCAUAACUCCAACAACCGUGUUCACUUCCCGGACUCUGCCGGAAAGAGACCAUCACGGUUACACACGCGGUUGAUGCAUUUUUAAUUAAGGUCAACUUCAGGUUUUCUACAACCGGACGUUAACAAAUUCCCAUCUGCCCAUAACCACGGGCACGGCUUUCGAAAGUUCAAAUCCCUGCAGGGGUGUCCCAACUUAGCCCAUCACAAGCUCUCACGGUCAACGAAGGAAUAGACCUCCUCCCGAGACAUUCCGAUCAGACUCGGUAUUCCGGUUCUACAAGACAUUUCGACAGGGUAAAACUAAACCAGCAACACCGCCCGAAUGUGCCGACAAAUCCCAAUAGGAGUUGCGCAUAUCUCUUUCUCAGGGCACACCGGAUCGUCCAAACUUUCGGUAGGCCAGCCCAGAGUUGCCCCUGGUGGCCACCGGCGGCUGACAAGUUGGACCAACACUCAGAGGAGCACUGGCCCGGGGAGGGUAAAAUAAUGAUGACCCUCAGGAGCGCGACUCCCAAGGGAAAAGAAAAGGCUAGGUGGCAAAUGGUAAAACCAAUGUUGGGCAUUGCUGGAAGAGCUUUACUUAAGGCGAACUGUCAAGGGGUUCCCAUAAUAGCCCAACCAUGUAAGGAACGCAAAAUCCGGGAACAUAACACCGAUAUGACAGAAACUAGGGCGGCAAGAGUGGAACAAAACACCAGGCAUAAGGCCGAGCCUUCCACCCUUUACCAAGUACAUAGAUGCAUUAAUUAAAUAAGAUAUAUUGUGAUAUCCCAACAAGUAAACAUGUUCCAACAAGGAACAACAUCUCCAUGUUCCAACAAGGAACAAACUUCAAUCUUCACCUGCAACUAACAACGCUAUAAGAGGGGCUGAGCAAAGCAGUAACAUAGCCAAACAACGGUUUGCUAGGACAAGGUGGGUUAGAGGCUUGGUUCAACAAUAUGGGAGGCAUGAUAGGCAAGUGGUAGGUAUCGCAGCAUAGGCAUAGCAAAAGAGCGAGCAUCUAGCAAGCAAAGAUAGAAGUGAUUUCGAGGGUAUGAUCAUCUUGCCUGAAAUCCCGCAAGGAAGAAGAACGAGUCCAUGAAGAAGACAAACGGACGUAGACGAAUGGGUCCUCACAAACUCGACGUUACCGAAACCAACCCGAAGAAGCAAACACCGGAAAGGAAGCACACAACAUAGUAAACAACCAACACAUGAACAUGGUAUGCUAUGCGGGAUGCGGUAUGCGAUGCAUAUGCAUGAUUUGACAAGGAAUUAUUGAACCUGGCCUCAACUUGGGAAUCCAAGUGUGCCACUGGAAAGGUGAGAUGAAAUCGCUUGAAAACGAUAUAAAGAACGCCGGAAUCGGAGUUACGGUUUGGAAAUGGCAAGCGAUUCAAAUAUGACCACGUUCUGCGAUUUACAGCAAGUAGUCAUCUAAAUGCAACAAGAUGAACAUGCUACAACACCCAAACAUGGCAACAAAAUACAUGGCAGGGAUCCACUCAAGAAGCUUAACAAAAAACUAGCACUGAGCUACGGUCAAAUCAUCCAUUAACAGGUUCAAACAAGCAUGGCAAAAAUGAAUAUGGUAAAACAGAUCUCAGACUUAGUGAAAUUAACACUUGUCUGGAAUUUCAGAUCAGAUAGCACUCUUCGGAGCAACAAAACUACAUGCUACAGGACCUGAACAUGGCAAAGUAAGGCAUGGCAUGGAGCUACUCAAAGAGCUUAACAAAAGUCCCUUAGUGACCUUGAGCCAAAAGGGAUCAGAAAAUACAUUUGCAAGCAUGUGAACAUGGCAAAAACAUAAUCAGUUCUCAGACUUAGUGAAAACUGGAGCAUGCAAAUCGGAUAUCAAGUAGGCAUGUUUACGAGCUCGAUGCACUCACUACGGAGCGAGGCAUGACAAUCUAAGCAUACACCCAUCAAGAAUACACAUUACACAAGCUAGACAUGGCAAGAACAACAACAUAGCACGCACGGAUCAACUACAACAUCCUCGGCAAAAUCGCUAACAAGUAGACAAUCUGCCCAGAUUCACGAAAUGACAAAAGUAGAGCUCGAUUGACUCAAGCUAGGGUGCUCCAUAAUUGCAAACAAAGGCAUGGAUGGAUAGGGCACUACAAGAUUAACAAAAGAUCCUUACUAGUCAUCCUCAAAAGAGGCACGAAUCACUAGGAAACAACAUGAACAUAUGGCCAUAUGAGAUAAACAGUCCAAGGACUUAGUGGAAAUGCUAAGUCCCUGAAAUCGGCAUUACCAAGUGCACCACUUUGCAAGCUCGUGCUAGGCACCACACACAUCACAAAAUACAUGGGUUGCACCUCUAGAAAGAUGGCAAACCCUUAACAAAACAUAUGUAGAGCUCAUGGGCAUAUCAUGCACACAAUAAUCAUGGCAAAAAUGACAAAUAUCUAAAUGGAGCAGCAGAUCUGACAAUUAUCUCAAGUAGCACUCUUCUAACAGCAUUUCGGGCAUCAAGAUGAACUCAAAUGAAAAUGAUGCAAUGAGAUGAAAUGAUGUACUCUCUGAGACGAAUAUUUUGAUAUGCUAUAUGCCCAAAACGGAUCUACGGAUGCGGAGAUAUAGCAUGAUGAACAUGGGCAGUUGAAACAUGGCAAUCUCGGGGACUUAGGGAAAUUCUACCUCCGCGAAAAGUCAACGGGACGGAGGGAUCCGGGAUGACGAGAUCCGGAUCGAGCGAGGGUGCGUUUGGUUCGGGGGAGUGGUGGAUCUCAUCCCACUCCCCGGACCGGAUCUGGCCUGCUAGGCCGGCGGGAGGCCUCGGCUCGCUCCCGAGCAAGGCCAUGGCGAUGGGGCGGCUGAAUGGCGGCGGGAACGGGCUCGUUCGGCCGGCCGGUGCCGGAUCUGGGCACGGCGGCGGUGUGGGCCACGACUCGCCGGAGUCCGGCGAGCGGGGAAAGGCGGAGCAGCGGACGGCGGGACCGGCGGACGGAGGCGCGCCGCGGCGGCGCUGGAGACGGCCGCUGGAGAAGAAGGGCGGCGGAGGUUGCUGCCGGCGAAAGGAGCCAUGGGCUCGGGCGGCGGGCGACGCCCUGGCGGGGGAGGCGACGCGGUCGGGCUUGCGCGGGCCCGCAAUGUGCUCGGCGGGCCGCGCGGUGGAGGAGGGAAGCAGCGACACAUGGCGGCGCGCGAGUGGAGGAGGGAGGCGGCGGUGCUGAGGUGGCGGCUCCCGAUUGGCCCGGGUGAGGUAAUGGCGGCGCGGACAUGUCCGCCGACCGGAUGGACAUGUCCGGUGAUGCGAGAGGAGCGGGGCUAGGGUUCAUCCGCGAAAAUUUCGGGGAUGGCCACAUAUAUAUAGGUAGAGGGAGCUAGGAGAGUCCAAAUGAGGUGCGGUUUUCGGCCACGCGAUCGUGAUCGAACGACUAAGAUGAUAGAAGGGGUUUAGGUGGGUUUUGGGCCACUUUGGAAGGGUGUUGGGCUGCAACACACACGAGGCCUUUUCGGUCCCUCGGUUAACCGUUGGAGCAUCAAACAAAGUCCAAAUGGUACGAAACUUGACAGGCAGUCUACCUGUAGUAAACCAAGGCCGCCUGGCAAGUCCCGGUCCAAUCUGGAAAUGUUUAAUCCCACACACGAGAAGAAGGUAGAAAUGACCACCAGAGGAGAACGGAAUGCCGGAUUGCAAAACGGACAACGGGGAAAAAGCUCGGAUGCAUGAGACGAACACGUAUGCAAAUGAAAUGCACAUGAUGACAUGAUAUGCAAUGCAUGACACGCAAGCAAUGACAAGGCAACAACAACGAAUAACUAGAGGACACCUGGCACAUCGGUCUCGGGGCGUUACAUCACGCCACCUGGAACACCACAGUGUAAUGGUGUGUCCGAACGUCGUAACCGUGCUUUAUUAGAUAUGGUGCGAUCUAUGAUGUCUCUUACCGAUUACCACUAUCGUUUUGGGGUUAUGCAUUAGAGACAGCUACAUUCACGUUAAAAAGGGCACCAUCUAAAUCCGUUGAGACGACACCGUAUGAAUUGUAGUUAGGCGAGAAACCUAAGCUGUCGUUUCUUAAAGUUUGGGACUGCGAUGCUUAUGUGAAAAAGUUUCAACAUGAUAAGCUCGAACCCAAAUCGGAGAAGUAAAUCUUCAUAGGAUACCCAAAAGAAAAUGUUGGGUACACAUUCUAUCACAGAUCCGAAGGCAAGAUAUUCAUUGCUGAGAAUGGAUCCUUUCUAGAGAAGGAGUUUCUCUCGAAAGAAGUGAGUGGGAGGUAAGUAGAACUUGAUGAGGUAACUGUACCUGCUCCCUUAUUGGAAAGUAGUUCAUCACAGAAAUCUGUUUUUGUGACUACUACACCAAUUAGUGAGGAAGCUAAUGAUGAUCAUCAUGUAACUUCAGAUCAAGUUACUACUAAACCUCGUAGGUAAACCAGAGUGAGAUCCGCACCAGGGUGGUACGGUAAUCCUGUUCUGGAGGUCAUGUUACUUGACCAUGACGAACCUACGAACUAUGAGGAAGCGAUGAUGAGCCCAGAUUCCGCGAAAUGGCUUGAGGCCAUGAAAUCUGAGAUGAGAUCCAUGUAUGAGAGCAAAGUAUGGACUUUGAUUGACUUGCCUAAUGAUCAGCGAGCCAUUGAGAUUAAAUGGAUCUUCAAGAGGAAGACGGACGCUGAUAGUAGUGUUACCAUCUACAAAGCUAGAAUUGUCGCAAAAAGGUUUUCGACAAGUUCAAGGUGUUGACUACAAUGAGAGUUUCUCACUCGUAUCUAUGCUUAAGUCUGUCAGAAUCAUGUUAGCAAUUGCCGCAUUUUAUGAAAUCUGGCAAAUGGAUAAACAAAACUGCAUACCUUAAUGAAUUUAUUAAAGAAGAGUUGUAUAUGAUGCAACCGGAAGGUUUUGUCAAUCCUAAAGGUGCUAACAAAAUAUGCAAGCUCCAGCGAUCCAUCUAUGGACUGGUGCAAGCAUCUCGGAGUUGGAAUAUACACUUUGAUAAGUUUAUCAAAGCAUAUAGUUUUAUACAGACUUGUGGUGAAGCCUGUAUUUACAAGAAAGUGAGUGGGAGCACUACAACAUUUCUGAUAAGUAUAUAUGUAUGACAUAUUGUUGAUCGAAGAUAAUGUAGAUUUAUUCUGCAAAGCAUAAAGGAAUGUUUGAAAGGAGUUUUUCAAAGAAAGACCUCGGCGAAGCUGCUUACAUAUUGAGCAUCAAGGUCUAUAGAGAUAGAUCAAGACGCUUGAUAAGUUUUUCAAUGAGUACAUACCUUGACAAGAUUUUGAAGUAGUUCAAAAUGGAACAGUCAAAGAAGGAGUUCUUGCCUGUGUUACAAAGGUGUGAAGUUGAGUAAGACUCAAAACCCGACCACGGCAGAAGAUAGAGAGAGAAUGAAAGUCAUUCCCUAUGCCUCAGCCAUAGGUUCUAUAAAGUAUGCCAUGCUGUAUACCAGACCUAUUGUAUACCCUGCCCUGAGUUUGGCAAGGGAGUACAAUAGUGAUCUAGGAGUAGAUCACUGGACAUUGGUCAAAAUUAUCCUUAGUGGAAUAAGGAUAUAUUUCUCAAUUAUGGAGGUGACAAAAGGUUCGUCGUAAAAGAUUACGUCAAUGCAAGUUUUGACACUGAUCCAGAUGACUCAAAGUCUCAAUCUGGAUACAUAUUAAAAGUGGGAGCAAUUAGCUAGAGUAGCUUAGUGCAGAGCAUUGUUGACAUAGAAAUUUGCAAAAUACUUACGGAUCUGAAUGUGGCAGACCCGUUGACUAAACUUCUCUCACAAGCAAAACAUGUUCACACCUUAGUAUUCUUUGGGCGUUAAUCACAUAGCAACGUGAACUAGAUUAUUGAAUCUAGUAAACCCUUUGGGUGUAAUGUGAACUAUGGGUGUUAAUCACAUGGUGAUGUGAACUAUUGAUGUUAAAUCACAUGGCGAUGUGAACUAGAUUAUUGACUCUAGUGCAAGUGGGAGACUGAAGGAAAUAUGCCCUAGAGGCAAUAAUAAAGUUAUUAUUUAUUUCCUUAUUUCAUGAUAAAUGUUUAUUAUUCAUGCUAGAAUUGUAUUAACCGGAAACAUAAUACAUGUGUGAAUACAUAGACAAACAAAGUGUCACUAGUAUGCCUCUACUUGACUAGCUCGUUUUGAACCAAAGAUGGUUAAGUUUCCUAGCCAUAGACAUGAUUUGUCAUUUAAUUAACGGGGUCACAUCAUUAGAGAAUGAUGUGAUUGACUUGACCCAUUCUGCUAGCAUAACACUUGAUCGUUUAGUUUGUUGCUAUUGCUUUCUUCAUGACUUAUACAUGUUCCUAUGACUAUGAGAUUAUGCAACUCCCGUUUACCGGAGGAACACUUUGUGUGCUACCAAACGUCACAACGUAACUGGGUGAUUAUAAAGGUGCUCUACAGGUGUCUCCAAAGGUACUUGUUGGGUUGGCGUAUUUCAAGAUUAGGAUUUGUCACUCCGAUUGUUGGAGAGGUAUCUCUGGGCCCUCUCGGUAAUGCACAUCACUUAAAGCCUUGCAAGCAUUGCAACUAAUGAGUUAGUUGUGGGAUGAUGUAUUACGGAACGAGUAAAGAGACUUGCCGGUAACGAGAUUGAACUAGGUAUUGAGAUACCGACGAUUGAAUCUCGGGCAAGUAACAUACCGAUGACAAGGGAACAACAUAUGUUAUUAUGCGGUUUGACCGAUAAAGAUCUUCGCAAAAUAUGUGGGAGCCAAUAUGAGCAUCUAGAUUCUGCUAUUGGUUAUUGGCCGGAGACGUAUCUCGGUCAUGUCUACAAAGUUCUCGAACCCGUAGGGUCCGCACGCUUAAAGUUUUGGUGACGAUUGUAUUAUGAGUUUAUGUGAUUUGAUGUACUGAAGGUAGUUCGGAGUUCCCGAUGAGAUCGGGGAAAUGACGAGGAGUCUCGAAAUGGUCGAGACGUAAAGAUCGAUAUAUUGGACGGCUAUAUUCGGACAUUGGAAAGGUUCCGAUUGAUUCGGGUAUUUUCGGGGGUACCGGAGAGUUACGGGAAUACGAGGAAGAAGUAAUGGGCCUCAUGGGCCAAGCGGUGGAAGAGAGGAGGCAGGGCGCACGGCCCCCCCUAGCCCAAACCGAAUUGGACUAGGGGGGCGGCUCCCUCUUUCCUCUUUUUCCUCCCUCUCCUUCCUUCUCCAUCUCCUCCUUCCUUUCCUCCUCCUAGUAGGAGUAGGAAAGGGGAGUCCUACUCCUACUAGGAGGAGGACUCCUCCUCCUGGCGCGCCCAUAGAGGGCCGGCCGGCCUCCCCCUUGCUCCUUUAUAUACGGGGGCAGGGGGCACCUCUAGACACACAAGUUGAUAUGUUGAUCUCUCCCAGCCGUGUGCGGUGCCCCCCUCCACCAUAUUCAACCUCGGUCAUAUCGUAGCGGUGCUUAGGCGAAGUCCUGCGUCGGUAGCAACAUCAUCACCGUCAUCACGCCGUCGUGCUGACGGAACUCUCUCGUGAAGCUCUGCUGGAUCGGAGUUCGCAGGACGUCAUCGAGCUGAACGUGUGCUGAACUCGGAGGUGCCGUGCGUUCGGUACUUGGAUCGGUCGGAUCGUGAAGACGUACGACUACAUAAACCACGUUGUGCUAACGCUUCCGCUUUCGGUCUACGAGGGUACGUGGACAACACUCUCCCCUCUCGUUGCUGUGCAUCACCAUGAUCUUGCGUGUGCGUAGGAAAUUUUUGAAAUUACUACGUUCCCCAACAGACUUCCCCCGCGUGCGUUCUCCUCUUCCUCUCCUCUGCGCCACGCCGGCUUCCGAUCCCGCGCCUCCAACCCCUGAUCCAUCGACGCUGCCGGAGUGCCCUUCGGCGGAGAGAAGGCCCAGGGCGACACCGGCCCCCAAUCCCAUGUGUCGAGCCCCUGCUUCGUGCAUGGUGCUGGAGCACCCUUCAUCGCCGAGGAGGCGCAGCGCGACAAGGCCACCGCCGGUGCUCCCUGGCGCGACACGACCUCCGCUGGCGUUGGUUCUCCAAGCACAUCCACUCCGACGAUGCCCAGGUGAUCCAUUCUCCUGCCUAGAGAUGCUGGUCUAUCUUCCCUUUCGGUUCUAGGUUUUCGUGUUUACAUUGAUUUUGUGUCGGAUUUAUCAUUGCAGGUCCUCUGUAGUUGUUGUUUGUUUCGUUUGUCGAAGCUUCGGCCAGCCUGCUGUCCGUUGCCGUGUCAAGAUGUUGCAAGGUUCGUGGUUGGCGAGCUCUUCCUUUUCCUUCCUGUCUAGCAGAGUUAUUAGUUGUUAUGUGCAGCUCCUGUAGCUUUUUGGAUGUGUUGACUGCCCGAAUCUUUUUCUUGGAUGCAUUGGUUGCUCGAUCCUAGUUCUGAUCGGAUUCCUUUGGAUGGAUUAGGUGUUCGGUUCUGUUUGGAUCCCUGGUAUUUGUUGUUGCUUUGCAGGAGACUAGGCCUCGUGCCUAUAUCCGGGGUAGAUUUUUGUUGCCUUUCUUAAUUUCUCUGGUGCUGGGAUGCAUUAGGUGCUCGAAUAUUGUUGUUGUUGUGUAGGAGGUUGUUGCGGUCUGCCUAGAUUCCUAUAUUUUUGUUACCUUUUUUUUGUCUGCUGCCUGAUUUGUCCUUAUCAGUGGUGACAAGGGAAGGGAAAGGUUUGGCACUGGCUCGCUAAGUUACUUACCUUGAACAUGAUAAUAAAUAUAACAUGGUUGUAGUUGUUAGUAAUUAAUUUCACCCAUGUAAUAAUCCAUUUUCCUAAAGCUAAAUGUUUUAUCUUCCAUAUUGUUGGUGUGUGACAGGUUAAAAUGGCAUGGACGAGUACUCAUUUAUUCAUGGAGCUAGCGCAGAGCAUCCUUUUUCGAUAGAGGGAUUUCGGCAUCAAUCCUUGGCCUUGCUCCUGAUUAUGUAUGGGAAGUGGGAGUGCUAAUUAGGCAUUGGAUGUAUACUUUGCCUAUGAAGCUUAGUGGAACUGCUCAAAUUUACCUCAAAUAUAGUUAUAAGGUUACAUUCUUCUUCACUCAUAUAUGAUCUUUUUUAUGCACUCUUGUUUCAUUUAUGGAUUUGGUGUAUCCUCAAGUAUGUAAAUCCACAAGGUAUAUAAUUAGUACAGGAUUAAGCACAAAUUAUUGAGAGCUGAUGUUGAACAAUGCACUUGAACUUUGAGCGAUCUGUCAGCCAUUGUUCAAAUCACAUCUUUAUGUGCUUAGGAUUAGGAGGAUAUAUAUGAACCCAACUUCGACACAGGUUUUGCAUUGGCUGCAUAGGCCGCUGCCCCGCUCAUUAAGUUUGCUAUCCAUCUUACUCACAUUGUUGGUUGUGGUUGCCAUCAUCAAUAUAUUACAGGUUCUUCAUUUCCUUCUGUUGUGCCACCCUGCAUUCUUAACUAUAUGCUCUUUAUGGAAAUCAUAUAGGUUAAUGAAAAAGGCUAUCUCAUUGCAGGAGACAUGUUCAGUUUUUUUUUUUAAGGAUAAACUCUUCAUGCCCCUACUACAACAAGAGGAGAUAGCUCAAGGUAAAUAAAAACUCAAAAGAUUCAGCUUCUAGGUGUGUUCCACCUGGGUGAUACUAAUUCAGGUAGAAUUCCUCUAGGUGUAUUUUGUAUGUUUUGGUGUUUUGGAAUAGUAGUAUCUAGCACCGUGAUAAUACUGCAUACUGAUUAUACCUCCUUUGAUACUUGUCUUUAGCUUUGUACAUCAGAUGAUUCAACAUUUUAUUUUGUAUUCUAGGCAAUUUAAUAAUUAUAAGAGUAAAUCCUACAAUUGCAGGCUUACAAACAGUUCAUGAGGCUUCCUUCGAUAUUUAUUUUUUGCACAUAUCUCUGAAUCUAUAGCAGUUCAGAUGUUUUCGCCAUGCUAGGCCAAGCAGACCAAUGGCAUUCUUAACAGUAUAAUAGAAUGCUGAAUGGGAAUGUCAUAGUUUAGUCUUAUGCCUUAAUUUAUUUCUUUGUUUUUCAUAUCUGUAUUGUGAACAAUGUUGACCGGCACCAUCACCUGCUACAGGAGCUUAAUUUAUUGGGAACUGCAUGUCCGUAUUGGUAAAAUCUCUAAUCCAUUUUUCAGAUGCACUUCUGGUAUUGUUCUGCAAUCUGUUUACACAUCCGGGACUGCUGUUGUUGUUGCUUGUGGUUGUCUCAUGAUCUUGGCUGUUGGUGGCUGGUACCAGCUCAGGUGCUACUCUAUUCUUGUCGCUUCCUUCAUGCCUUUCUAUACGCACGCUCGAUCUUUUUUCUUUUGUAUGAUGUUAUCGUAGGAUAUUGUUGUUGGAACUGCUGUUAUUGUUGCUACGGGUUGCUCAUGAGCUUAGUUACUUUUUUAGGUUGCCCUGCUGGAUGCCAUUUUUAGGUUGUUGUGUACCUACGGAUAGUUCGUUGUUCUGCAAUACCAUAUUUAGUCGUACUUUGUUUACAUGAUUGCUGCUACAUUCCAGAAACAAUGGUCUGUUGGUUGCAGAAUUAUGGUGGCUAGCUGGGACAACUAAUUCAUUUCUUGAUCUUGAUCAAAGAUAACUGGAUUAUUGCACUGCUUUAUCCAGAAAUAUGAGACAAAGGGAGCCACCGGUGCUCUCAGCGAUUGGCGCAUUUUGACCGUCGGAUCAAUUUGCUUGAUGGGUUUCUGGGCGUCCGGUCGAGCGGUGGAAGGACGUCGGCCUUCGGAUCGAAUCCCCCUCCCCUGUAGCAUGGUUGAUCCCGUUUGGCUCGCCCCGUCGAUUACUCCUUCCAUUUGACCGGUUGUCGCUGACCUGGGGGGUCCCGGCAGGUGGGCCGUGCCCGUCAGCGAGCGGGGGUGUGGGUGCAGCCGGUGCGUUCGGUCGUGCGCGCGCCUGCGGUAAAUAUCUCGUGCCACCACACGUAAAUCUUGCCCCCCCCCCCCGCCGAGGGCUUUUUCGUCAUUUCCUGUCCAGGCAGCGUGCGUGGUGGACGGUGGUUGGCUCCGUGCGGCUAUGUGGUGGGGGAGGGCGGCUGGCUCGCUUCUCGUCCGGCCCCUUCGUUCCCUUCUCUCGGUCUCUCCUCCCCGUCCCCCCCCCCCAAAUCUGAAUCUUCCUUGGCCGCUUCGGUGCCAUUGGUGUUCGUGCUCGUUGGUGGGAUGUGUUGGGGAACGUUGCAGAAAACAAAAAUUUUCCUACGGUUUCACCAAGAUCCAUCUAUGAGUUCAUCUAGCAACGAGUGAUCGGAUGCAUCUACAUACCUUUGUAGAUCGCGAGCGGAAGCAUUCAAAGAACGGGGAUGAGGGAGUCGUACUCGACGUGAUCCAAAUCACCAGAGAUCCUAGCGCCGAACGGACGACACCUCCGCGUUCAACACACGUACGGUCAGCGUGACGUCUCCUUCUUCUUGAUCCAGCAAGGGGGAAGGAGAGGUUGAUGAAGAUCCAGCAGCACGACGGUGUGGUGGUGGAUGCAGCAGUACUCCGGCAGGGCUUCGCCAAGCUCUAUGGCGGAGGAAGAGGUGUUGGAGAGGGAGAGGGAGGCACCAAAGGGAUGGGUGUGAAGCCCUCCCUCCCCCCACUAUAUAUAGGGGGCCUAGGGGGGGCGGCCCUAGGAGAUCCAAUCUCCUAGGGGGGCGGCGGCCAAGGAGGGUGGAGUGCCCCCCAAGGCAAGUGGGGAGCCCCCCACCCUAGGGUUUCAACCCUAGGCGCAAGGGGUGGGCCUUGGGGGUGCACCAGCCCACUAAGGGCUGGUUCCCCUCCCCACUUCAGCCCAUGGGGCCCUCUGGGAUGGGUGGCCCCACCCGGUGGACCCCCGGGAACCUUCUGGUGGUCUCGGUACAAUACCGGUGACCCCCGAAACUCCCCCGAUGGCCGAAACUGCACUUCCUAUAUAUAAUUCUUCACCUCCGGACCAUUCCGGAACUCCUCGUGACGUCCGGGAUCUCAUCCGGGACUCCGAACAACUUUCGGGUUACUGCAUAUUCAUAUCUCUACAACCCUAGCGUCAUCGAACCUUAAGUGUGUAGACCCUACGGGUUUGGGAGACAUGUAGACAUGACCGAGAUAGCUCUCCGGUCAAUAACCAACAGCAGGAUCUGGAUACCCAUGUUGGCUCCCACAUGCUCCUCGAUGAUCUCAUCGGAUGAACCACGAUGUCGAGGAUUCAAGCAACCCCGUAUACAAUUCCCUUUAUCAAUCGGUAUGUUACUUGCCCGAGAUUCGAUCGUCGGUAUCCCAAUACCUCGUUCAAUCUCAUUACCGGCAAGUCACUUUACUCGUACCGUAAUGUAUGAUCCCGUGACCAGACACUUGGUCACUUUGAGCUCAUUGUGAUGAUGCAUUACCGAGUGGGCCCAGAGAUACCUCUCCGUCAUACGGUGUGACAAAUCCCAGUCUUGAUCCGUGUCAACCCAACAGACACUUUCGGAGAUACCCGUAGUAUACCUUUAUAGUCACCCAGUUACAUUGUGACGUUUGGUACACCCAAAGUACUCCUACGGUAUCCGGGAGUUACACGAUCUCAUGGUCUAAGGAAAAGAUACUUGACAUUGGAAAAACUCUAGCAAACGAACUAUACGAUCUUGUGCUAUGUUUAGGAUUGGGUAUUGUCCAUCACAUCAUUCUCCUAAUGAUGUGAUCUCGUUAUCAAUGACAUCCAAUGUCCAUAGUCAGGAAACCAUGACUAUCUGUUGAUCAACGAGCUAGUCAACUAGAGGCUUACUAGGGACAUGUUGGUGUCUAUUUAUUCACACAUGUAUUACGAUUUCUGGAUAACACAAUUAUAGCAUGAAUAAAAGACAAUUAUCAUGAACAAGGAAAUAUAAUAAUAAUGCUUUUAUUAUUGCCUCUAGGGCAUAUUUCCAACAGGAUGGUGCAAGGCGCAACUCAGACGUGGUUCCUCACCGGUUGGACGGCGUUCAGGCGAAACCCCGGUGCCCACUGAGUACUGCCUUGGCUACAACCUCCCUCGCUGAGGUCCAUCUUCCCCUGCUCUCCUUAGGCUAUUGUAUGGGACAUGGCCAGGCUAUGAUGAUCAGUUAUGGAUGAUAUAGGCAUGCUCUCGAGUAAUCGAGGCACUUGUGGGUAUUAAUUUGGAUCCUCCCUCGUUUCUUUGAAUUGUUUUGACCACGUUCUUAUUUUAGUGGCUCUGUCCUUGGAUGGUCAUUUUUGAUUAGUGAUAACCAAGGCAGUUUCACCCUCGUAAGAACAUAUUGAUCUGGUGAAACUUGUAAUAAUAAAUAAGACCCGCGGCAAGUUCCCUGGCUCCUCGGAUCUCAGGCACUUUUGGCCGUCGGAUCGAUUUCCUGAUGUGAUUUUGGCCAUCGGAUCUCGAUCCGGUUUGAUCUCGGCCGUUGGAUCGAGCCCGGGCUCCUAUAGCAAUGAAUAGUUACUCCCGCGGUGAGAUAUCUCGUGCCACCGCGUUUGAAUCACGUGCCCCGUCGGUCGGAAGCCAUUCUUGCUAGGGCGGUGAUGAUUAGCCAUGGCUGAAAUAAGUGUGCCUUUGAGCAAUCGAGGGACCUGUGGGUAUCAAGUUGGAUCCUUCCUUGUCUCUAGAAUCCUUUUUGAUCCUGUGAUACUUAUUGUUCUGUCCUUGGAUGGUCAUUCUUGUUGAGUGAUAACCAGGGCAGCUCCACUGUAUAAACAGAUUGAUCUGGCGAUAGGAGAUGAUGGGGGUAGAUUAUAUGAUCGAGGAAAGGCGAAUCUGAGCCCACUAUGCAUGGAACCUUGAACCCUUCUUAUUUGUAUUUAAAGGUGUUGCUUAUUUAUGCUCCAGUGUUUAUAGCCGUCUUAUGUAAAGAUUUCUUCUCUCUCAUACCUUUGUUGCAUAUACGUUGUUCUUGAUCUUUUAUUGUUUGUUGUUGGUCCUUGAUCUAAUCUGGUUAAGAGUAAGUUGCACUUUGUUAUUCUGGGAUAAGCGAUGGUUCGCAAUGCUAUUGGUUCUUCAUGAGUUCAGAGGAGGAUUUCUGAUAUGAGUCAUGCCAGUAAGCUUUCUUGCAGGUACCCACACUUCUCUCUUCCUCCUGAUUAGCCUGAUCUCUUUUCUAUACGUGUCUACAAGUUGUGUGUCUACAAGCUGUGAAUUACAUAUGUUAGUGAAAUGUAGGUGUUUGUAUUAGCACAAUGCUUUAAUCAGUAGGGUCUUUCCCAUCUAUGAUCAAGGUUGAUUGCGUCAGCUCUGUUGUGGCUUUCAUGUAUAUGACAAUGGAAUGAUGUUAAAUUAUGGUAUCGAGGCUUAUUUUUUAAGCAUGCCUAGGGUUUUGUUCCUGUUUGUGUUGAUCUGAACAUGUGCUCUGUUCAUGUAGAAGAACUCAUAUGAAUCUGUCUUAGGGAAAUAAUUGAGUACAUGUGAUCAGUAUGUUAGCCAAAACUGAACAUUUGAUCUCUAUUGAACUGAAAGGAUUGUAUAUUUGAUCUUUGUUUAACUGAAAAGAUUGAACCCUUACUUUUGAUCUCUGUUUAAGUUUAAAAAAUCAGCUGUUCCACAAACCUUCUAUAGUUCAGAAACUGAAUCUUUAGAUGUACUCUGUUUUAGUGCACAAACUGAAUUAGUACAGAAACUGAAAAGACUGAACCUUUACUUUUGAUCUCAGUUUAAGUUUAAAAAUUCAGAUGUUCCACAAACCUUCGAUAGUUCAGAUACCGGACCUUUACAUAUACUCUGUUUUAGUGCAGAAAAUGAAUUAGAAUAGGAACUGAAAAGACUGAACAUUUACCGUUGAUCUACGUGUAAGUUUAGAAGUUCAGCUAUUCCACAAAUAUUCUUUAGUUUAGAUACUGAAUAUUUAGAUACACUCUGUUUUAGCGUAGAAAAUGAAUUUUAGCGCACAAACUGAAUUAGCGCAGAAACCAUUGCAAAAACUGAUUUUUGAUUUCUUUGCUUUCUUUAAGUGCAGGAAUUUAUUUAUUUUCUUUCCGGAGCCGCGGCCGCCGCCCUGUGACCAGAAGCAUUGGGGAUCUCGAGAGGGAAUUUUGUAGUUGUGGCCAUUUUAAAAAUAGACCUCUGUGAAAUCUAUGUACUCCUGAUACUAUUAUAUCAUGCUACAUUUCCUGUGAUAUAUCAAAUAUCUAUCCUUUGUCCUAAACAAGAGGCCUUACGUUUAUACUGAGCAAUACUAAUUUGGUCAGUAUAUAAUAUUGCAAUGCUUAUAACCCUUUGGUCAGUGGCCCAUCUGAAUUGAGAUGCAUCAUAGUUAUCUUAAUAUUAUUUGUUCUGUUUCUUACUCACUGAUCCAUCCCACACAAUAAGUAUUCUUCCUGAGAACUAUGCUCAGAUAGUUGAAUAUAUUAUUUUGUACUUAAUUGUUGAAAGAUGGAUUUGUAUUACUAAUGCUGAGAUGGGCAUUACAAUUUUCUUUCAAGGGAACAGACCAAACCAAACUGCGACUUUAUUUGUAAAUAUUUGAAAUUUAUAUUAUGUCUCUUAUGUGAUCUCAGAGGACUUAAUUUUUGUGUGGGGACCUCAAGCUACCUUUAGUGACUUACAAGAUAUCAACCAACAAGAGUUUUCCCUGCUUUUGGAGCCUGCUAAGCUAUCAACAAACAAAGAGGUUGCCCGUUCUCUUGCUAAUGAAAUAUGUAUUUACUAGAAUUUUUGUUAUUAUCAGAAGAGGGUUAUAUUUUUAUGGGAGGCCGCAUUUGUAAUGGUUCGGUAUUUCUAAAGGGGUACAUUUCUUUGUAGGUACUAUGCUGAGACUGAAGAGGAUGCUAGCCAGCGGCCCAUCUCUCUUGCCAUCACCGCUGAGCCGCCAUGUCUCCUUCAGAGGCUUAUUGUAUUGCUACAUGUUUAUGCUUCUUAUCCACACACCCAUUGUAGUGUAGGUUUGUGUUCUUGGAUCUCUUUCCCUCCAUUUCUUAUUUUUGGUGAACGGGUGAGCUAAUCGGGCUAUUUUCCUCUAGGUCUGCCGCGGCAAUUGAAUGCUUCAAAGGAUUUUAAUGGAGUUCAUUGUGGCUGAGUCGCGAAUCUCCAGCUUGCUUCCAUGUCUUUUCUCACUAGAGACACCUCCUGCCGGCGACGGCGAUGACCGCUACCCUGCUCCUCUCCCGGCAAUGUCUACCUCUCCUGUGAAGUUAAGGCCAUCUUUGCCUCUUCCUUCAGUUUUUCCUCUGUUUUUUGUUACACGACUUUGUGGUGCUUAGUGUANNNNNNNNNNNNNNNNNNNNNNNNNNNNNNNNNNNNNNNNNNNNNNNNNNNNNNNNNNNNNNNNNNNNNNNNNNNNNNNNNNNNNNNNNNNNNNNNNNNNNNNNNNNNNNNNNNNNNNNNNNNNNNNNNNNNNNUAGCAAACUCCAUUUUUGUUUAUGUAGAAAAACAAAGGAAACUCCAUUUUUGUGUAUGUGGAAAAAACAAAGGAAACUGCGUUUUUGUGUAAUUACAAACAAAUGAAACUCCAUUUUUGUGUAAUUACAAACAAGAGACUUUUAGACGGCGAAGACUAUUGCCCUGAUCCUAAGAGCAUACUGACAUUUCACCAACUCUUGUUAUAAUUUUUUUAUCAGCAGCAGAUACUUUUAAAUUUGUCUUUACAAUUCCAAGUACAUGACCAUACUGAUCCUUCUAUUUUUUAUGUAGCGGAAUAAACGUUCGUAAUCCUGGCCGGUUGAUGGCUUUGUUAAUUCAAAGCCGGGCUCGACUUGAGCCUUCGUUCUAAAAAAAAACGUUCGUAAUUUAUACACCUAGGCUCAGCUUCUCUAUAUUGAUACGAAGGCCUGGAGCAUGUUUCUUUUGUUUUCAAGUUGAGGGGACCAGGUAGGGCCAUAUAGACACAGUAAAAGGCCAGUUUAUUUGUUCCACGCCUUACAAAACCGAGCAAGGCUGAUAUAAUAUUUCUGGUUCCCUUCUACCGUGUGCAAACAGAACCUGGCGGCGCAAUAGCAGCUCAACUACUAUUGUUAUUAAUCAGGAUAAAUGCUUCUGCCUGGCUGGCACACAUGCUUAGGCACAACAGUCUGCCCCAGCACCGCAGGGCAAGGCGCGCUGCAGGUCAUUUAUAUAGCAUCUCCUCAUUUGUAUAUUAUUCACAUAUAGCAUCUCAUUUCUUGGUUGAUUGCUUACAUGUAUUCAACUUCUGGCUCUUUCGCUCCCAAGCUGGCCUCCCUCUCCUCGGUGCUCAGCGGGAGAAGCAUGAGGUGAUGCACCUUUGACCCCGUAGUGCUCGGCUCCAAUUUAUCAGGGAGGUCACCGGCAAGCAUCAAGCUGCCCUUGUUGCUUCCUCGUCAUCAAGGAGGAGGAGGUCGGGUAGCACCGUCCUCAAGGUACGUCCUCGCUGCUUUGACCCGCCUCUUUCGUGCACCUGUCCUUCCCUAUUUCUCUUACUGUCGCGGUGCUCGUGCGGCUGCCGAUCCUAACCUAGGUCGCCGUCACUCCUCGGCGCUUCGCAGGACAGGCACAACCACGACACCGCAGAGACGGACGAGAAUGUGGUGCUGCUCCUUCUUAUGGUGUAUGCAUCGGCGUGGCUUGCGGUAGUGAUGCAUAUCUUCGUGGGCAAUGCUAUUUGAAGACCAUUCAAGUGAUUUAAAGGAGAAGAUGUCCAGACUGCAAGGAGGUUGAAGAUGACGAUCAAAAGAUUGACAUAUUAAGCGACUACCAAGAAGCCAAUAAUGCUUGCCCCUGCCAUUAGUAAUACCCUUGCUCUUCUUUAUGAAAUCUUUCCUAACUAUCGUUGCAGAUUGUGAGAUCCCUAUUUAAAUACAUCACUCAGCAGCUGGCCGGUACAGAGUUGGUGGCAGGCAUAUGUGUUCUCAGCCACCUUAUCAAUUGUAGGCUUAGAAUGAUUUGCUUCGUCCAGGUGUUGUUCGUCAACAAUUCCUUUGUUUGUCCAUGUCAAUUCUGAUUUUAGAGGAUUACAAGUUUUAGAGUGGUUGGGCUUUUUUAGAACCGUUCGUUGAUGUCGAUCUAACGGCAGACAAAUACGAAGUACUGGGUAGUACUCCGAUGAAAGUACGCGAAAGUACUAAAACGAGUGGGGCCGGUACUCGUGACAAGGUGGGGACGCGUUUUAAUCUAGGGGCAGUUUAGUCCUAGGAAAAUUUGCACGCGCCGCCCCUCUCGUCGAAUGAAUAACCGCCGCCAUGGUGCUACACAUUCCAUAAUUACUCAUCGGCGGCCAUCUCCUCCCUCUCCUCCAUGUCCACCGCAGUCAUCUCCUCCUUCUUGCCGCUGCAACUUCGCUCCACUCAGGCAACCCCCCCACCCACCCCCACCCCCUCUUCCACGGCAGAUCGAGCUGAUGGCCGGCGGCGAGAACACCGACUUCGUGCAGAUCGCCGGCGGCGACCAGGUCAAGUUGGCCAGGUUGAGGGAGAUCCGUUCUUGGUUUGACAACACAAGGCAGAUGAGCUGGACGGCAAUGGCCACUCNNNNNNNNNNNNNNNNNNNNNNNNNNNNNNNNNNNNNNNNNNNNNNNNNNNNNNNNNNNNNNNNNNNNNNNNNNNNNNNNNNNNNNNNNNNNNNNNNNNNAAUUUGUAGUAUUAGUUAGUUUGAAUGUGGAAGUACCUUAAUUUGUAGGAACGAAAUGUUGCUAUGUAUGAUCAAGGGUUUCAUACCUUAAUCUUUGGAUUAUUAAUUAUGUGAACUGUUGGAUGUGGCGCAUAACGAAACGCCUCUACCAUUGAUACUAGUUCAACAUGUCGGUCCAAUUAGAGACCAGCCACUUCCAUAUAGAACAGUUAGCAUUUCAUACUACAACCUAGCACGUACAAAACAUCACACAGUGGAAGCACAUCCCUAAGCACCUUGCAUUGUACAAGGUCUUAGAGACAAGCCUCUACCAUAUAUAACAGUUACCAUGUCACACUACAGCCUAUAAAACAUCACACAGUGGAAUAAUCAUAGCUAGUAGAGCAUUAGGUACCAGUUAAUAAUAGUUGCAAUCCAUCACAAGCAAUAGUACCUAGAUAUGAGUAGAUAUAGGUACGGUAAUACACGACAAGUACUCGCAAACAAGAGCAAACAUAACAAGUUCAUUUCAGUUUGAUACAUGGCCCACCGCAGUUCUAAAUGAGGUGGAUGGUGAUCAUCAUCCUCAAGUCAUGGCGACGGGUGUUCGCAACAGUGAGUAGGAUGGCCUGUCCUACCCGAAGAAUCUUGACACGAAGGAACUUCUUCCACCCUGCCCUGCUCAAGACAGUGCGACCGUCCGUGUCCACUGCAUAGGCACAGCUGGUGAUGGAGCCCGUUCUGGUAAGGUGUAGUCCAGCAGCCAUGCCUUCUUCGUCCGGGUCGAUGCCACAGCUAUCAAGUAACCUCUUAGGUAAUUUCUGAAAACAGUUGACAUGAUCAUAUACAUUAGUGGAAAUAGCAAAACAGUUGACAUGAUGUAUGAUCAUGUCACGUGCAAUUAUCAACAAAGCAUACACUUGAAGACACAUAUAUCAUUGGAUUCAACACUGAGCAUAUAUAUCAUCACAUCAGUAUACUAUACGCCAAGCAUCAAAUUACUACAGUAAUUAGGCAUAUCAUUAUAUUACUGCGUACACUAAGCAUAUCAUCGCAUAUUACUACACUACAUGCAUGUCAUAAAAUUCUUCACUAAAUGAAUUGUAAACUAGGCCUCUCAUCACAGUACUACAACAUGCAUAUCAUAUGAACUACUACACUAACUAAGCAUGUAUAUCAUGUAAUUACCACACUAAGUAACAUACCAUGAUAUGCCGUUUAACAUUAGUCCUUGUGAGGCGGGUCACGAAUGGCUUCCCUAGGUAGUCUUCACGUAGCGGAAGCAUGUCCCAGAGGUUGCCGAUUUCCUCGUCGCCCAGUCUUAGUCCUUGGGCAUACAGGUAUUCAACAAGUGGGUUCUCAUCAUCAUCAGAAUCGUCAUCAUCUGACUCAGCACCAUCUUCCUCAUGAACUUCAUCCUCACUAUCCGGAAUCAAAUUCAGAUAGAUAACAGAAAUCCCGGGCCUAUCUUUUCUGAAGGAGAAGCUGAUCAAUUCACCCCCACUAAGACGGUUGUGGGCGAUGAAACGAUCCCAAUCAUCUCCUCCUAUCUGGGUUAUCUUUCGCCCCUUCUCGACUUGCAUAGUGUAUGGGCCCCCAAGAGCAUCGAAGGUCACGGUGUCUGCGACGAGCUCAUUGAAUGCCAAUCUCACAUUGCAUGGUACGAUCUAUGUAAGAUAAAAACAAAUAACAGACACAAUACAUUAGUGGAAAUAGCAAAAAAACAAAAAGAAUGUACUGUCAGAAGGUUCAUAUAAAUUGUUACCGCUGUAAAAACAAAAGAAGGCUGGAAGUAGAUGCUGAACAGCGUGGCAGUAGAAAGGCUGGUCCGGCACCGUGAGUUGCAGCGUCCACAUUGUGCUUCCUCCAUUCUACACAGAACGUGUUGAACUCUAAGUUGAAUUGUACAUAGUACAAUACAAAGAUCAUACAUAUAAUAAAUCACAGUGAUAACCUAUACUGGCAAUGGCCAAUCAAUCUAUUUUCUAUCAUCUACGUAAUAAAGCAAUGGCAAUGACAAUUCAUCUAAACCUGGGAAUAGUUCGGCAUCCAAACUAAAACCAGUCCAAUCCACAGCACACAUCAAAACCAAACCAAUCCAGAUAUUUUCAUUUAGAAUCUAGACCAAACCGAACUAUACAUGCUCGUCAUCCAACCCAGUCCAAACCGUUUUCAACUUUUGGAUUGAAUCCAAAGGUUCAAACCGUGGACAAAGCCAUACACGAGGGCACGUCAUGAAUCUAGAUCAGACAUGGCGUCAAAGCUCGAGAGAGGCGACGAGCUCCGGCCAGCAACAGCGGGAUUUGAAGCAGUAGUAGGUGGUAGUGGUGGCUCAAACUAAUUGAUUGAUUUGGUCUCAAACCAUAGAAACCAAAUCAAGAUCCAAUCCAAAAACUAAGUUUCAGUCCAAAACCAAUCGGCUCAAAUCCGCCUCCGUAGGGAGACGCGGUUGGGGAAGGGAAUAAGAGGGGAGAUCUCACGUACUUGCCGGAGUUGGCGGCGGCCGCGCACCGGCAGCAAAGAGAGGGGUCGUCGAGAGAUGGCGGCGACGGCGGCGGCGCUGGUCGAGAAGGGGAGAAAGAAAAAUGUGGAGUGGUCGAGACGGGGAGAAAGAAAAAUGUGGUACAUGUGGUGGCUCGGUUGUGUGGAUGACAAGGGGACCCACUUGUGAGACCGAUAGCAAUUGAUGGCUAACCGCAGGAGGUGCAGGACCGCGUGCACGACCGCCACGUCCCCACGUGGAAUGGGGACGGCCGGGUGGGUGUGUCAAGUCAAAUUGGCACCCGCGGCUUCUCGGUAACUCCAAGAGGCAGGAGCAGUGCAUUUCUUCCCCAUAUCGGGUAGAAAACCCUCGUCCUCUCCCCACCCUCUCUUCCUUCGUCACCACCUCACCACCCUCUCCUCCUUCCUCACCACCCUCCUCCCUUCCUACGCCUCCCUCCUCCUGUCUUCGACCGACAAUGAAGCGCGGGCGUGAAGAUGCGGCGGACGAGCCGGAGGCAACCAUCGGAGCAGAGCAGUCUGCUGCCGUGGAUGCAGCCGUGGGUGGAGCGGCUGAGUCCGCCGUAGCGGCGGAAGCUGGCGGUGCAGCGACCGUUGUGCCUGCUCCCGCUGCCAUCGCAGCUGUCGAGGCACCCGUCGGCGAGCACAAGGUCGGGGAAGAUCUGGAGGAGGAGGAGAUGAGAAGGCAUAAGCGGAAGGUGCAUGACUGAAAGUGCAACUAUCCCUAGGUGGUUUUGGUAAUUCAUAACAACAUAUAGCUCAUUGAGCUAAUGCUAUUUCAAGAUGAUUAUUUCAGGAAAGCUCAAUGAUUGGCAUGGCAUGGAUGUGAAAGUGGAAUCCUCAAAAUGCGAAGGAAAAAGAAUUGGCUCAAGCUCAAAAGUUCAAGACUCUUCAUUUUAUAUUUUAGUGAUCCAAGAUCACAUUGAGUCUUUAGGAAAAGCCAAUACUAUUAAGGAGGGAUGAGGUGUUGCUUAAUGAGCCUCUUGCUCUAUGUGCUUAGUGAUAUGCUCCAAAAUCCUCAACCACUUUUCCAUAUCCACAAAUGACCUAAACCCUAAGCCAAACUCGGUCUUACCGAUUCUGUCAAUCCGGCGCCACCGAGUUUCACUUGUCAUUUGAGACUGCCAAACCCUAGCAAUUCGGUCCUACCGAUAAGGUUCUCGGUCUCACCGAGAUGGGCUUGCAAACUCUCUGUUUCCCUUUCGUAACUUUUUGGUCUCACCGAAAGAGCGAAUCGGUCCCACCGAGAAUGCAAGGUAAACUCUAUGUUUCCUUCUUGUAACGUUUCGGUCUCACCGAAAGAGCAAGUCGGUCCCACCGAUUUUGCCUGACCAACUCUCUGGAUAGCUAAUUGCCGAACUUGGUCUCACCGAGAUUACGUUAUGCCCAAACCCUAACCGAAUCGGUCCUACCGAGUUGCAUCUCAGUCCCACCGAAAUUCCUAAUGGUCACUAGGUUUACCAUUUCGGUCCGACCGAGUUUGAUUAUUUGGUCCCACCGAGAUUGGAAAACUGUGUGUAACGGUUGGAUUUUGUGUGGAGGCUAUAUAUACCCCUCCACCACCUCUUCAUUCGAAGAGAGAGCAAGCAAAACACAUACAUCAUUCCUACUCAUAUGUUCUGAGAAAGAACCACCUACUCAUGUGUUGAGACAAAGAUAUUCCAUUCCUACCUUAUGAAUCUUGAUCUCUAGCCUUUCCCAAGUUGCUUUCCACUCAAAUCUUCUUUCCACCAGAUCCAAAUCCUAUGAGAGAGAGUUGAGUGUUGGGGAGACUAUCAUUUGAAGCACAAGAGCAAGGAGUUCAUCAUCAACACACCAUUUGUUACUUCUUGGAGAGUGGUGUCUCCUAGAUUGGCUAGGUGUCACUUGGGAGCCUCCGACAAGAUUGUGGAGUUGAACCAAGGUGUUUGUAAGGGCAAGGAGAUCGCCUACUUCGUGAAGAUCUACUGCUAGUGAGGCAAGUCCUUCGUGGGCGAUGGCCAUGGUGGAAUAGACAAGGUUGCUUCUUCAUGGACCCUUCGUGGGUGGAGCCCUCCGUGGACUCGCGCAACCGUUACCCUCCGUGGGUUGAAGUCUCCAUCAACGUGGAUGUAGGAUAGCACCACCUAUCCGAACCACGGGAAAACAUCCAUGUCUCCAAUUGCGUUUGAAUCCUCCAAACCCUUACCUUUACAUUCUUGCAAGUUGCAUGCUUUACUUUCCACUGCCAAUAAACUCUUUGCAUGCUUGCUUGAAUUGUGUGAUGAUUGCUUGACUUGCUCUAAGAUAGCUAAAAUCUGCCAAGAACUAAAAUUGGGAAAAGGCUAAGUUUUUAAUUAGUCAAGUAGUCUAAUCACCCCCCCUCUAGACAUACUUUCAAUCCUACAAGUGGUAUCAGAGCUUUGGUCUCCAUUUGGCUUGAUCUUCAUAGCUUUUGGUGGUCAUAGCCUUGGUUUCACAACCUAGGAGAGUAUGGCAUCUAGCGAGGGAAAUUAUCACCGUAGAGGUCCUUACUUUGAUGGCACUAAUUUUGCUAGUUGGAAGCAUAAAAUGAAAAUGCAUAUUCUUGGACAUAACCCCGCCGUAUGGGCUAUUGUUUGUGUUGGCUUGCAAGGUGAGUUCUUCGAUGGGAGGGAACCAAACCGUGAAGCUACCGCGGAUGAGUUGAAGAUGUUGCAAUACAAUGCUCAAGCUUGUGAUAUUCUCUUCAACGGAUUGUGCCCCGAAGAAUUCAACAAAAUCAGCGGCCUUGAGAAUGCAAAGGAGAUUUGGGAUACUUUGAUUGAUAUGCACGAAGGUACCGACUCCGUCAAGGAAUCCAAGUUGGAUGUGCUCCAAAGUCAACUUGACAAGUUCAAGAUGAAGGAUGGUGAAGGUGUCGCUGAAAUGUACUCCAGGCUUGCUCUCAUCACAAAUGAGAUUGCCGGCUUAGGAAGUGAAGAGAUGACCGAUAGAUUCAUCAUCAAGAAGAUCCUAAGAGCCUUGGAUGGGAAAUAUGAUACCGUGUGCACAUUAAUCCAAAUGAUGCCCAACUACAAAAUCUCAAGCCAACGGAAGUAAUUGGAAGGAUUGUUGCUCAUGAGAUGUCACUCAAGGAUAAAGAGGAACUUCACAAUAAAUCAAGUGGUGCCUACAAAGCGUCAUGUGAAGCCCCCGCAUCAUCAAGUGAGAAACAAAACUUCAAUGAAGAAUUGAGCUUAAUGGUGAAGAACUUCAACAAGUUCUACAAGAGUAGAAGCAAAGAUAGAAGCUUCAAGUCAAGGUCCUACAAUGACAAAAGAUCUUCUAGUCGAGAGCGAAACUGCUAUAAUUGUGGAAGACCCGGACACUAUUCCAAUGAGUGUACGACUCCCUACAAGAGAAGAGAAGAUUCUCCAAAAAGAAGAAGCAAAGAAUCUCCACCAAGAGAGAGAAGGAGUAGAGAUGAUCGUUAUGAACGAAGAUACUCACGGAGAAGCAAGGACUCGGAAAGGAAGGAAAAAUCAUCAAGGAGCUAUACAAAACAAAGACAUCAAGCUCAUGUUGAUGAAUGGGUAUCCGGCUUCGACUCCGACAGCCACUCAGAGAGAAGUUAUCACUCCGACUCCGAAGAUACUCAAGAUGAAGGUGUUGCCGGUCUAGCACUUGUGUCAACCAACUCCUACGACAUAUUUGACUCCCCAAAUGAAGGAAUUGGAAGAUGCUUCAUGGCUAAAGGUCCUAAGGUAACACACCCCGAGUACGUUGAUUUUAAUAGUGAUGAAGAUGACUUGUUAGGUAAUGAUGAUUUGCUUGUUGACAACUCUAGUGAUGAGUACUAUGAUGAAACAUCAAUUAAUCAUGCUAAAACGAAUGACAAUGAUAAGGAGAAGAUUGAGGCUCUAACUAAAGAACUAAACACUCUUAAGUUAGCUCAUGAAACUAUCUUCGAAGAUCAUCGAGAACUUUUAAGAGCUCAUGAGAAAUUACGCUUUGAAAAGCUCAAUCUUGAGCAAGAGCAUGAGUUCUUAAAAGCAAUCAACGAUGAUCUCCGCAAGAAUAGUUCUUCUUACAUUGCCAAGCGUUUACUAUUAUCCACUUACAUGCCUCAAGUCAAGACUAGUAACAAGAAUAAGAAAGAUUCUUCCUCUAGUAGUGACAAUGAUCAUGCUAAAUCCAAUAUUGUUGCUUCUAGUAGUUCUCUUGAUUCCACUAAUGAUUCUCUUAGCCAAGUUACACUUGAGCAAGAAAAUAGCUUAUUGAAGGGAAUUAUAGAGAAAGGUGUUUACAAGAGCCUUGCCGGAAGUAAGCAAUUCGAGGAAAUUGUGCACAAGCAAGGAAUGCACCGGAAGAAUCAAGGUGUUGGUUUUGAACGAAAGUUCAAUGCCAAUGGAGUUGAAUGGGAAGAAGAUCAAUACCCCAAGACAAAGUUUGUUCCUCAACAAGAGAAGUAUGACACUUCUUUCAAGGGGACACAAGCUCAAGAUGAUCUUCCACCACAAGACUACAAGCAAAAAGGCAAGGACAAGCUUCAAGAGGAGAUUGAUGCAUUUGAAGAAGCUCCCAAGACCUUAGUCAAGUGGAUUCCCAAGACUACUUCAAGUUCCACUACACCAAGUACGACUACAACUCCAAGGAUUCCCAUCAAGAUGGUGUGGAUCCAAAAGAAGAAGAACUAGAGAGUUCUUGAGGGUGACUCCGCCAACAUAAUUCACUCUUAUCAUUUUGGCAAGAACAAGUGCAAUCAACUUCCACAUCUUGCACUAGUUCAAGGAGUUACAAACCCUCUUGUUGGUAAGACAAGGGACAAGGUAACCUAAAGUUUUCAUGGACAUCAUCUUGUGUGUGCAUCACUCUAUGUCUAUGGAUAUCCUUGUUUGUUCCUUGUGGGACUAACCCAUGUAGGUAUUGAAAGUGCAAUUCACUCAAAUGGAUAGCUCCAAGUGAUCUACAUCAACAUUGAGCAUCCACAUCUUCAACAUCUACAUGAAGUCAUCAUCGACAAAACCCAAGGUUAGUUCAUCCCUCUUAGGGGGGAUAUCACAUCUAGGGGGAGCUUUACUCUAAGACUUGAGCUAAAGCAACUCUAAAGAUGUGAAUACAACAAUGCUUUAUGUAAAAGUGGUAACCCCACUUGAGCUUAAACGAUGGGUAUGACCUAUGAUCAAGUGUUCUCACUUGACUCCUAAGUCAAUAUGCUCAUAUAUAGAUGACCUAGUCAUCGCAAAUUGCUUUAUAGAUGCUAGAAUUGGUUGUGCAUGCUUUGCCACAUAUUUCAUUUGCCAUCUUAUUGUGUGAGCAUGUUGGUUGCAUAUUUUACUCAUUCGAGGACAUCCACUUGUUGUUUUGAUUGUUUGGCUUUCUUUUUUUGCCAAGUGGAUGGACAAGAAUGCCUAAGAACCUCCUCUAGCUAUCUAUGCUUUUCUCGUCUCAAACUCUAUUCAUGCUGCAUCACAAAACUUGAUCAAGUCAGAUUCGAACCACUCUGUGUGAGGAGCGCUCGGAGUCCCCGAUUCGUCAUAGACUUAAACUUCCAAAACCUCUUUAUGAAUCUCGGUCUGACCGAUACUCCAUUUUCGGUCCUACCGAGUUCAUUAAGUUGAUCUAGGUUUUCGAUCUCGGUGCAACCGAUUUGAACUUUUCGGUCACACCGAGUUGCAAUAACUGCACACAGUUUUGCAUCUCGGUGCCACCGAGUUGUUCCACUCGGUCACACCGACAGGGUCGGGCUAUAUAUAGUGACGGGAAAUUUUUUGGAAAUUUCUCCGAAACCCCUUCGCCCGCGCGAUAGCCUGCUCUGCCUUCGUGGUCUCCGGAUCGUCUUCUCGUCGCCAGCAGCCUCCAGUCACUGGUCUCCGCCGCCGUCAACGGAUUUCUGCCCCGCCGUUGCCGCCGUAGCGAGUCUCCGCCGAACUAGGGGUCAGCAGUCAGUUUGCAACAUGUCUGAUCAAAGUGACAGCCAGAAUGUGUCUGAGCAGCAAGUUGUGAUGAGUGAGGGCACUAGCCCCUCAAGCUCUUCUGAUGAUGGCAGCAGGAGCACCCCCAGCAAUCUGCCCAAGGCCGCCACACGUCAAAGGAAGAAGAGAACGUCUGAUUCUGAGGAUGAAGACUAUGUGGCAGAGGAAGAGGCCACAUCAAAGAGAGCUGAACCAGCUCAAGGAACCAAGCCAGGGCUGAAGAUCAAAAGGCCAACAGGCAGGCAGCCCAUGUCAAAGGCUAGGGCUUCAACUGUGAAGCCUGCUCCCACUGAGCCCGUUGCUGCUGAGGGCAAGAAAAGGAAAGAAAGGGUGAAAAAGACUGUAGCCAGAGUGCUUGGAAAGGCCUCCAUCAUGGUCGAUGAGGAGGAAGAAGAAGAGGUUGCUGCACUAGCACCCAAGGCAGCCAAACUCAUGGGAGAUGCUAUAAGGUCAGGAACAGCUGCAUCCAAGCCCAAGGAUGCACCUAAGGCUGCAACUAAGCCUAAGAGUGCACCCAAGAGAAACACACGAAGCAUCCCAGCUGCAGAAAAGAACAAGGCCCCAACGCCUGAAGCUAUUGAAGAAGAGGAAGAGAGUGUCCUUAGGAAGAUCAAGCCUGAGCGUCGACUUAGCACUAUGCAUUUUCUAGGAACUUUUUGGUAACUUGUUGCCAAAGGGGGAGAAGAUGUAUAGAUCAUAGGCUUCGAGAGAGAGUGUGUUGCUUUUCUCUCUUGUUUUUAUUUGGUGGUUUUUCGAACUUUGUUUGCUUGUGUGUGAGAUACUAUGUCGUUAUUCGUGAGACAUCGAUGAUCAUGUGUUUGAUCAUAAGCUACACUUAAUGUUUGCUUAAUGCUUGCUAUAUAUUAUCAUUCCAUCUAUCGUUUGUGAUCAUUCACUAUUCUUGGUGAUGAGUGCAUGUAUUUCAAUCUUAUCAUUUUUGAGCGCUCCACCAAGAUGUAUGUGACAUGGAAGAGUAACCCAUGAUUCUAACUCCAUGUGCAUUUGCAGUCCAAAGCAAAUUUUAAAUACGCACAAAUUUAGGGGGAGCUCUUAUUUGUCACAUACUUCUGAAAGCGACGAUAUAUUUCAUGCUUAUUAUCAUUUGUCGAAGCUUUGAUCUAUAUGUUGUCAUCAAUUACCAAAAAGGGGGAGAUUGAAAGUGCAACUAUCCCUAGGUGGUUUUGGUAAUUCAUAACAACAUAUAGCUCAUUGAGCUAAUGCUAUUUCAAGAUGAUUAUUUCAGGAAAGCUCAAUGAUUGGCAUGGCAUGGAUGUGAAAGUGGAACCCUCAAAAUGCUAAGGAAAAAGAAUUGGCUCAAGCUCAAAAGUUCAAGACUCUUCAUUUUAUAUUUUAGUGAUCCAAGAUCACAUUGAGUCUUUAGGAAAAGCCAAUACUAUUAAGGAGGGAUGAGGUGUUGCUUAAUGAGCCUCUUGCUCUAUGUGCUUAGUGAUAUGCUCCAAAAUCCUCAACCACUUUUCCAUAUCCACAAAUGACCUAAACCCUAAGCCAAACUCGGUCUUACCGAUUCUGUCAAUCCGGCGCCACCGAGUUUCACUUGUCAUUUGCCACUGCCAAACCCUAGCAAUUCAGUCCUACCGAUAAGGUUCUCGGUCUCACCGAGAUGGGCUUGCAAACUCUCUGUUUCCCUUUUGUAACUUUUCGGUCUCACCGAAAGAGCGAAUCAGUCCCACCGAGAAUGCAAGGUAAACUCUAUGUUUCCUCUUGUAACAUUUCGGUCUCACCGAAAGAGCAAGUCGGUCCCACCGAGUUUGCCUGACCAACUCUCUCGUUAGCUAAUUGCCGAACUCGGUCUCACCGAGUUUGUGCGAUCGGUCUCACCGAGAUUACGUUAUGCCCAAACCCUAACCGAAUCGGUCCUACCGAGUUGCAUCUCAGUCCCACCGAAAUUCCUAACGGUCACUAGGUUUACCAUUUCGGUCCGACCGAGUUUGAUUAUUCGGUCCCACCGAGAUUGGAAAACUGUGUGUAACGGUUGGAUUUUGUGUGGAGGCUAUAUAUACCCCUCCACCACCUCUUCAUUCGAAGAGAGAGCAAUCAGAACACAUACAUCAUUCCUACUCAUAUGUUCUGAGAAAGAACCACCUACUCAUGUGUUGAGACCAAGAUAUUCCAUUCCUACCUUAUGAAUCUUGAUCUCUAGCCUUUCCCAAGUUGCUUUCCACUCAAAUCUUCUUUCCACCAGAUCCAAAUCCUAUGAGAGAGAGUUGAGUGUUGGGGAGACUAUCAUUUGAAGCACAAGAGCAAGGAGUUCAUCAUCAACACACCAUUUUUUACUUCUUGGAGAGUGGUGUCUCCUAGAUUGGCUAGGUGUCACUUGGGAGCCUCCGACAAGAUUGUGGAGUUGAACCAAGGUGUUUGUAAGGGCAAGGAGAUCGCCUACUUCGUGAAGAUCUACUGCUAGUGAGGCAAGUCCUUCGUGGGUGAUGGCCAUGGUGGAAUAGACAAGGUUGCUUCUUCGUGGACCCUUCGUGGGUGGAGCCCUCCGUGGACUCGCGCAACCGUUACCCUCCGUGGGUUGAAGUCUCCAUCAACGUGGAUGUAGGAUAGCACCACCUAUCCGAACCACGGGAAAACAUCCGUGUCUCCAAUUGCGUUUGAAUCCUCCAAACCCUUACCUUUACAUUCUUGCAAGUUGCAUGCUUUACUUUCCGCUGCCAAUAAACUCUUUGCAUGCUUGCUUGAAUUGUGUGAUGAUUGCUUGACUUGCUCUAAGAUAGCUAAAAUCUGCCAAGAACUAAAAUUGGGAAAAGGCUAAGUUUUUAAUUGGUCAAGUAGUCUAAUCACCCCCCCUCUAGACAUACUUUCGAUCCUACAAUGACGAAAUCGAGGAGCUCUUCGAGGAGAACGCCAUAAAGGAGUUCGACCUAGAUAGCAGGAAGGGCAGCGACUUCGACGAGGAUGCCAUCGACGACCUAUCUGAGGUAGUACUCUGUUUUUGCUCUGUUUUUUUCAUGACAUUGGGGUUUUUCUUGUUAACUACAUGAGCAUCAAUUUCACUUGGGCGUGCUAGUUGUACGUAUGUAGGAUUGUAGGGAUCUAGCAUAGAUCUUCAUGUUGGAUGUGGUUUUUUAAAUCUGAUUGACAUUCUGAUUCCAGCAAAUACUUUGGGUUUUUUUCAUGGCAUUGGGGUUUGUCUUGUUAACUAGAUGAGCAUAAGUUCCACAAGGGAUACAUUAAUGAAAGAAGUGGGGUAAUGAACCCAACUACAAGAUAAUGUUCAUGGCAGGGAUACAUUAAUGGAAAAAGUGGGUUAAACAAUGGAUAUAUGGCAGGAUUCUCCAUUGGCUUCCCCAGGACAGUGACAAAAUGCUGCAGUUCCUGAUUCAUUUUAGUUUAUGUAGAUGAAUUAAUUUGCACACAUGUUCAUAGAUGAUUAGUUUGCACACAUGUUCAUAGAUGAUCCAUUUGCAAAUUCUAUACAGCUUUCCAUUUUGCAAAGGAAGUGAUCGCUCCCUUAAUAAUUAUGGGCUGACAGUACAUAUCCACUGGAUACCAAAAAAUCAAAACAUUUCAUCUAGCCAAUUUUCCACAGUAUGUUAUCUAGAUGAUCACAGCCACAUCUCUCAUCAAUAUGAGCAGUGAGACACCCCAUAGCUCCUUUACCAAUUUCCUUCUGAAACUUAUCAGGGUCUAACAAUGUUGGACAAGCAGUAUUGCCGGUGUCAGAAAGAAUAAUGGUUUCUUCAUUCCAGUAGAUAGAACAAACCCCCCUUGUGUGAAACAUGGAGGAGUACAAUGAAGCCAUUUUUCUGAUUCCAAUAAGAAUUACACCUGUAACAAGUAUCAAAUAUCAUUAAACCAAGCCACUUCAUGAAGUCUUUCAUGUGUUAAUUAUGUACUACUUGUGCACUAAUCUAUAAAUGCAACUAUUCCACCAUCCGUAUUUAUGCAUGUCAGUUUCUUUGGCUCAAUUAUGUAUGUGCACAUACGCCUUGUUUCUAGCAAAUAGAUAGUUGCCAUGUUACACGUGUGUACUUUCAAAACAUUGUAAUUAAAGUCAAUGUACCAUAAUGGAUUAGCUGAGUUCUUCUAUGUGUACUAAUUCACUAAUUCACAGGAGGAUGACGACGAUGUGGACUACUGCAUGGACAGCAGGCACAACAAGAGCCGGUACACCCUGAGGCAUCUGAUUGCUGGGAAGAUCAAGUACCGUUUCUUUGGCAAGAUUGGGUGCCCUUUCUGUUGCAAGGUGAUCGGUGGCGGCAUAGAUGGCAUGAUCCAGCAUGCCUUCAGCACUGGCAAUGGACAUGGUAAGAAGCAUAAAGCCAGUACUUUGGCUAAACAUGCUGCCUACGCACGCUUCCUCGAGAUUGUGAAAGUCAAUGAGCCCUACAACAUGCAUUGAACAAGGGAGAGAAGUGAUGUGCUGCUAGAGUGCUGCUGCUGCCCCAGGACCCCCGUGUCCUGUUAUGUUAUGUAUGUUUGUUUGUUGUUGGAGUCUAAAACUGAUGUCCUAUGGUGUGUCUGAACCUAUGCUGAGCGGUGGUUGAUCUGCCGUUUAUGUUAAGAGUUUGCUGCUACUCUAGUUUAGUGUUCCUAGUUGUUAAUACUAUUUUGGUGAUGCAUGUUUAAGCCUUGUACAAUGCUAGAUGCUUAGGGUGGUGCUUAGAAAAAUAAACAGGGUUUUUUUGAAGCACCAGUGCCUAUUUCUACAGGAGAGACGCCUAGUUAUGCGUCUACCCUGUACAAAUAAGCACCUGUGCUUAAGAAAAGCCUAGUUUAUUUCUAUAAGCAACUCCCCUAAGCGCCUUGCAUUGUACAAGGCCUUAGCAACUCAAGUAUCGUACGGUGGUCUACGUUAUGGUUGCUGUGUUAUUCUGCCGUACGGUGAUGCAUGCUAGGAACUGUCAUAAUAUGACUAUGGUAGUUAUAGCUUCGCAUGAUUAUGUUUAGUGUAUAACUCAGCAUGUUCCUACCAUAUCUAUGGGUAAUUACAACUGAACUAUGCAUUAAUUUUUGACAAAAUGAAAGCAUGCAAAUGAUUGCCGAUUCCACCUAUUGGAAAAUCAAGCUUUGGACUGAUGAUGCAUUAUAUAUUGCAAUAAGUAGAGGAUGCUCAUGAUUGCCAAAAGUACCUAUUUCCACUUUCUGAUAAGAACUAAACGUGUAUCAAAUGAUGCUAAAAGUAGAGCAUGAGCAUAAGCAUGUAUCAAUGCAUUAGAUAUUGCAAUAAGUAGAGGAUGCUCAUGAUUGCCAAAAGUACCUAUUUCCACUUUCUGAUAAGAACUAAACGUGUAUCAAAUGAUGCUAAAAGUAGAGCAUGAGCAUGAGCAUGUAUCAAUUGAUGCUACCUAUUUGUGUUUGAAUGGGCUCAAUAAAGCUGGUGCUGGUUUAUGCUCUCUGCGUGACCGUGAUGGUAACGAAGACACUUGGUUGGCUAUGGUCUUGCUGUCAAAUUUAAGUUUCAGUUCUUUAAGAUUCUUUGUUUUUGCUGCUUGCUCGGGAUCGACUAGCUUUCUCGGGCGUCCACGUGCUCUCUUCCUUUUGGGGGAGUUGGGUGCACCAUUUUUGGGGGAGUUGGCUGCACCGGUAUCCUUCUGGGAGUUGGAUGUGUCAGGUUCGUUGGAACCAUCGGGAUUGUUGACUAAUUGUACGUCCUCUUCUGAAGCAUCAGGUAGAACUGCUUGCUGGGCAUCGUACACCUCCUUCUGUAUAAGAGAGAGUGCUGCGUUAGUUCUAAUCAUGAGACUUAUGAAAUAAAUGAUAUAUUCUUCAUGUAGCGCUAACCGUUAUGGGGAACUUAUAUGAUUCGAGACGAAGCGCAUUGCAAUUUGAAUGCAGUAAGGCUGUACAUAUUUUCCACCUGAAAAUAUCUAUCCUUGCCUAUAUUGGAUAACCGACACUGACGUCAGCAUAGCUUUCAAGCUAAACAAAUUACAAAUUUAAAUUAGGCAUUCAAUUACCUGGUUCAAAAUAUCGGUCAUUUCAUCCCCGUUCCAUGACAACAUGUACUGCAGUGUCCAAACCGCACAGGAAGUCUUGCAAUGUUUAGUUAAAGAUCAGUAAUCUUAUUCGUGUACGCAAAUAAUAAUUUAUGAGGCCAUGCGUACCCAUCGGUCUGUUGUGGUAUGUUCUCAUAGUGUUUUUUGGUCCAUUUGGCAAAAUUGAUGUUAUUAGCUGGUGAUAUCAACCCUUUCUUGACCGCUUCGUCAAUGCAGAACUGAAUCGAGUCCACCUAGGUUACGACAAGUUAUACAUAGGGUUACGGUACUUUGGGAGCUCAUGUUCCAUGCGGAUCAAGAGAGGCAGCAAGAGAACACUUACAAGAGAAUCUUCCUUGGUCUUGUUGCAAUGAUAAUUCAUGGAGUUCAGAGUCUGAAUUUCUUUUUUGUCAAAAUUAAACAUCAUUAGCAUCCAAUGGUUUUGGUGUACAUUGAGUGGGACAUGCACCUGCAGUAAAAUUUGGGUUGGGUUGAGAACCGAAAUUUGUCGUGUACAGUGUGUACGUAAACUAUAAAAGUGUGGAAAACGUGUACCUUUCGGCGCCCUACAAAUUUUCCUGCUACACGAGCUAACCAUGAUGCUGCACGUCCAACAGGAACCACCCCCUUCAUUUGUAACAGCUUUUCGGUUUCUUGAGGGGAUAUGAUUGAGGUAGUAUCAUUCUCAAUUUGGCUAAUGAGAGCAUAUGCCAUAAUAACCUGCCAAAUUUUCAAUCAUACAAUAAUAAGACAGUUGUUGCAGUAAUGAUGUACAAUAGAGUAUAAUGGGCUUACAUCACCAUAAAUGUAUUUCUCGUCCAAAUUUCGCUUCAGAUUUUCUGCUGUGAGGGAAAUGUCUCCGAUUCUAGCUAUUUCAACAGGGUCAUAUGUUCCGCGGGUGUAAACGGCUGUCUCUAUGUCCUCAUCCGUGAACUUGUAAUCAUUACCAAAGACAGGCUUCAUCGGAGUUAAUUGUGGUUCCUCAUUGUUUUCCCUCACAUGUCUUGCACUUGGUGUACUCAAAGUCCCUGUCGUGAUUUGGCUAGCCCUAGGAGUUCCUGUCAGGGAUGAAUUGCACACAUUGACUUGAUCCUACAAUGAACAAAGGUAGUUCAUCAUUAGUUUGUUACUUUUAGAUAUUAACGUGUUGGGCCAAUUUUGAUCACCUGCACGCCUCCUUUCUGUGACACUGAUUGUCGGUUCCUUGUAAAUUCGUAUUUUAAGUCCUGUAACAAUGCAAACAAUAAUGAACAUGAAGGAACAUAUUCAUAAAAAAUACAAAAUGCACAGUAUGACAUACAUGGAGUUCCCUCCUUAAGUCUUUAAUUUCGUCCUCGGCCUUCGACAACCUAGGAUUAGUGCCAGUUUUAGUCUUCAUGUCGAUCAAGUCUUCACCUAGAGUCUGGUAUUUGACAUCAAAUCUGUGCUCAAUUUCCAUUAACUUCCUGCAUACCUUCUUUUCAUGAUCAGCAAUGCGUGCAUUCAUGACUUCAACUACCAUUUCAAUCUGUGUAAACAAAAUAAAACCCCAUUGGUAACAAUAGCUAAAUGAAUGAGGUUCCAUGACACCUAUUUGUGAUAUUGCAAAAACAAAUAGUCUUUGGAGUACAUACUUGCUGGCUACUAAAUUGCUGUCCUUGUGAUGGUGCUCGAUACGAAUCAUGUUGAUGCACAUGUUCAUCUUUUUUUCUUGGAAAAUUAUUAGAAUUAUCGGACGGUCGUUGAGGAGCACAAAUUUCCAUGACAACCUAUUUUUUUAAAAUAUAAUGAACCAUUAGUACCAAAUAAAAAAUCGAAUAUAGAAAGUUCAAUUGUAGAUAGGUACCAGCCCGUUAUGAAGACCUCCUUUCUCGUAAGCAUCGCUUCUUAAAGUAGCCAUCAUUUCGUCCCAUCGUGCGAUCAAUGGAGGGGGUCUAGAAGCAUACAUUAAUCGGCCACUACGCACGUGCUCCCAGUACCAAUACUACACAAUAAAUUAGUUCAUCACCAUACAGAUAUGCAACAGAACAAUAAUUAAAGGACAUUAAGUAGUGAUCUAUCACUAACCUAGAGCAGAAUUAGAUUUCAUUGUAGAUUUACGUGAUCUCGAUUUCUAAACUUGUGAACGGACUUGAAGAAGUGAUUAAGUGUGAAACAUCCCCAGUUAAAUUUCCGAAGGUUUUCAAGAUCUGUAACGAGGUUGAGAAAUUUCGAGUCCACAUAAUGUUGUGCUGUUGGUGCUAGAACAGUACCAAUUGCGUACAGAAUGAACCGCCUCAGGAAAUCGCCGUCUGGGGCUUUGGAAGCUCGGAUCAUUGUUUCAAGGUCAGAAAUCAAAAUUUGCCCAUUGUUUGCAUAGGCGGUAAACAAUUCUGUGUCGGUUUGCAUUUCCAGAUGUGGCUCUAUAUCCUCCCCUUCUAUCGGAAUGCCAAAUAUACCUUGCACGUCCUCUUUUGUUAUAGGAAUUGGCGUUUUACCGAUGGUAAUGGAUUGCGUGUCCAUAUCUAUGCUCUUGGCUAGUCUAACCAACAUUAUGCGCCGUAGAGUCACUUCAUGCAUCUGGGUCAGACCGCCAAGACUGGUUUCUGAUAUGAUGUACUUUCUGUGGUCUUAUGAAAACAGUUUCAUGGUUUUUCCGAACCUUGUCUGUGAGCAUACUAACUUCAUAUGACCAUGCUUUUCGGCGAGUUCCUGUUACAUGCCAUUAAAUAUUACUGAGUACACAUGAAUUAUGUGUACGAAACGAUUGUACACAAACAGUAAAUUACUUACCACAUCGGUAAUUUCGGAGAUGGGCUUUUCUCCAUUAUUAAGGUUCGUAUCUGAAACUGACAUUGCUGCCUCGUAUGCAAUGAUAAAAUCAGGCUCAAUUAAUCUGAACAAAAUUGGAAAAUCUAUAACAAAAUUAGCAGAGAAUUAAUUUUAACAAAAUUAACUGGGUCAUUUAACAUAUGAUCCACUUAUGGGUUUAAGCACAGAACCUACUUGGGUGCAAAACCUAUGAGGGUUCAACAACUAAAGCAUCGGCGAACAACGAUUAUAAAGAGUUACAAUCAGCUAAGACCUUACCUCGGAGAUGGUGCCACCGAGUAGAUGGCGGCGGUUAGUGCGUCGGAAACUAUAAGUGCCGGUAUAGCGCGGUCGACGGCGCAAAGGAAAAACGGCACGUUCACGCGAGGAGGAGGCGGCGAGAAGAACACUGACGUCCGAGCCCUUAGAUCACGUUGGCGGUGGGCGGCGAGUGGUGGUCGCCGACUCCUGUAUUCCAUGGGCGACCGGCGUCUCCGAUCUGAUCUUGCAGCGGUCGUGGGAGGUGCAGACGACCCGGGUGGUUAGAAUGCGGAGCUGUAAUCGCGGGAUUUAGGGAGGGGUGGGCCGCGUGAGUUAUGUGAGAUUUGGAUAAAUGAUAUAAAGAAAUAAGAAAAUCUUGUGAACUCGGUGUGGGGUUUAUGGGCUUUAGGGUUUAGGGGUUUAGGGUUAUUAGGGUUUAGGGAUUUAGGGGUUUAGGGUUAUCAGGGGUUAGGGUUAUCAGGGUUUAGGGUUGAGUGUUUACAUGCAAGCCCGGAAAUGCGCGUGUCAGAGAACAUACUUGCAUGUGUAUGUACUAAUGAUCCCAAACUUUCUUAAUGGCAUCCCAUGACCACAUAGAGAAUGAAUGCAUAAUGGUUUCCAUGUUGGGCAAAAUUUUGAAUGUUUUUACGGUUUAGUGGGGGGGGUGGGGUUAGGGUUAUCAGGGUUUAGGGUUUAAGGGUUCUAGGGUUGACGGAACUAUGUUUGUCUUACGGUGGACGUAGCACACACACCGGACAUUGGUGGAGCGUUGGUCUACAAUGGAUUCCCUCUGGUAGCAUCGAUCCGAUCCAUUGAAUGGCUCGGCCAACAAACUUCGUGCCACAUAGAGCAUGCAUCCAUCCACUGGACCGGAUCAAUGUUGGGUUGGUUUCAUACAGGUGAGGAAAGCAGCUAGUGCUUUCGGGGUGUUGACAUGCUAGGCCGGAAAUGCGCGUGUCAGAGAUCGUACUUGCAUGUAUAACCCCAAACUUUUUUCAUGGCAUCCCAUGACCCCAUAGAGAAUGCAUGCAUAAUGGUUUCCAUGUGGGGCAAAAAUUUGAAUGUUUUUACGGUUUAGUGGGGGGUGGUGGUUAGGGUUAUCAGGGUUUAGGUUUUAAGGGUUUUAGGGUUAACGGAACUAUGUUUUUCUUACGGUGGACUUAGCACACACACCGGACAUUGAUGGAGCGUUGGUCUACAAUGAAUUCCCUCCGGUACCAUCGAUCCGGUCCGUUGACUGGCUCGGCCGACAAACUUCGUGCCACAUAGAGCAUGCAUCCAUCCACUGGACCGGAUCGAUGUUUGCUUGGUUUCAUACAGGUGAGGAACCCAGCUAGUGCUUUCGGGGUGUUGACAUGCUAGGCUGGAAAUGUGCGUGUCAGAGAUCAUACUUGCGUGUAUAAUCCCAAAAAUCUUUCAUGGCAUCCCAUGACCACAUAGAGAAAUUUUGAAUGUUUUUACGGUUUAGUGGGGGGGAGGGGGUGGGGUUAGGGUUAUCAGGGUUUAGGGUUUACGGGCUCUAGGGUUGACGGAACUAUGUUUGUCUUACGGUGGACGUAGCACACACACCGGACAUUGGUGGAGCGUUGGUCUACAAUGGAUUCCCUCUGGUAGCAUCGAUCCGAUCCGUUGAAUGGCUCGGCCGACAAACUUCGUGCCACAUAGAGCAUGCAUCCAUCCACUGGACAGAAUCAAUGUUGGGUUGGUUUCAUACAGGUGAGGAAAGUAGCUAGUGCUUUCGGGGUGUUGACAUGCUAGGCCGGAAAUGUGCGUGUCAGAGAUCGUACUUGCAUGUAUAAUCCCAAACUUUUUUCAUGGCAUCCCAUGACCCCAUAGAGAAUGCAUGCAUAAUGCUUUCCAUGUGGGGCAAAAAUUUGAAUGUUUUUAUGGUUUAGUGGGGGGGGGGUGGUUAGGGUUAUCAGGGUUUAGGUUUUAAGGGUUUUAGGGUUAACGGAACUAUGUUUGUCUUACGGUGGACUUAGCACACACACCGGACAUUGAUGGAGCGUUGGUCUACAAUGGAUUCCCUCUGGUAGCAUCGAUCCGAUCCGUUGAAUGGCUCGGCCGACAAACUUCGUGCCACAUAGAGCAUGCAUCCAUCCACUGGACCGGAUCGAUGUUUGGUUGGUUUCAUACAUGUGAGGAACCCAGCUAGUGCUUUCGGGGUGUUGACAUGCUAGGCCGGAAAUGUGCGUGUUAGAGAUCGUACUUGUGUGUAUAAUCCCCAAAAAUCUUUCAUGGCAUCCCAUGACCACAUAGAGAAUGCAUGCAUAAUGGUUUCCAUGUGGGGCAAAAAUUUGAAUGUUUUUACGGUUUAGUGNNNNNNNNNNNNNNNNNNNNNNNNNNNNNNNNNNNNNNNNNNNNNNNNNNNNNNNNNNNNNNNNNNNNNNNNNNNNNNNNNNNNNNNNNNNNNNNNNNNNNNNNNNNNNNNNNNNNNNNNNNNNNNNNNNNNNNNNNNNNNNNNNNGGUUUUAGGGUUGACGGAGCACACACAUCGGACAUUGAUGGAGCGUUGGUCUACAAUGGAGUCCCUCCUGUAGCAUCGAUCUGGUCCGUCGACUGGCUCGGCCGACAUACUUUGUGCCACAUAGAGCAUGCAUGCAUCCACUGAACCGGAUCAAUGUUGGGUUGGUUUACAUGUACAUGUACAGGGACCCGAAAUGCGCGUGUUAGAGAUCGUACUUGCGUGUACAUGUACCAUCCUUCCAUCCACUGGCUGGGCCGACAACCUUCGUGCCACAUUGUUCACAUUGUCCAAUUAACACUUUGUAUAGAUUUUUUUCAUAAAAAAUGAACGAAAUAAUGCAACUAAUCUGAACGUAACGUUUGGCAUGUAUCAAACCAAGUUGCCACUAUUCCUCAAAAAAAGAACCCAGUUAGCCACUAAUUGCGCCAAACAUAUCUCGUAAUUACGAACGAAAAUGGGUUGACAAUUAUAUCUGGAAAUUCUUGGACUGAAUUUAUUGCUCUUCGUUUUUUAGAGAACAAUAAGUUAGAAUGGUGGGCGGCGGGUUGGCAUGGGCACGACCAUGGCUCGGGCUUGUGUCAUAUGUGGUUCGACCCGCGGUCAGUGCACAUGUUUUCGAAGCCCCGAAAAGAUCGUGCUCGUUAAAAAAAAAACUUGCAUCGACGCGCAUUACUUCAAAAUAACUAAUUAACCCUACAAUCACGGAUAUAGACCUUCCCAUUCUACCGCAUAUCUACCCUAUCCUAACCACCCCCAUCUACCUUGUUUCUCCUCACAUAGCCAUCGCCGGGAUCGCGCCAUCACUUCUCAAGCGACCACGCCGACGCCGGAUUACAAAAGGUCUCUUCCACGGCUUCUCUCAUCUUCGAUUGCAGUGAUGAUUAUUUUUUCCAUUGAUUCGACCAACAAGUAAUUUCCGAAGAGAUUAGAAAAUCCAGCUUUUACUAUGGUUGAGUAGUUCUGUUGUGAUUCGAGUACAGGAUGUCAUGCAAGAGCUUUUUGAUUGAUAGUUUGUACUAGUUGAUCGUGUGAACUUAUUAUGAAUAUUUUUUCACAGUCGUAUUGUUUCGAAUUAGUUGGAUGAGGGUGUGGAUACAGUUUUCAUACUAUGGGUAUAUGUGUUGCUGUAGGGACCAUGGUCUCAGAGGCGCAUAACAACCGUGCGGAGUACGACAAGUCUUUGCAUGAAGCGCGUCGGGAGAUCGACUUGAAGGUGCAAAAGGAUCGCGCUGAGGUAGAUAAGAAACAGAAAAAAGAACGUUCAUACGUGGACAGGAUGAUAAAGGAGGAGCGUGAGGAGUUUUCCCUUAAGAUGGCGAAGAUGCGUCUUGAGAUUGAAGAAAAGUAUAAGAGGGACUGUGAGCACAUGGAAAAAAAGUUUGUCUUAGGCUACAAGGAAAUGCAUCAAAUGUUGCAGAAGGACCGGAAGCUUGUGGACAGUAUUAUACAGACAGAGCGAGUCAGGAUGGAUGCCUAUGUGUUGCAGGCAUGUGCGGAUAUGGACAGUAAGCUGCUACAGGAGCGGUCGGACAUGGAUUAUAAGGCCAUGCUGGAGAAGGUCCGCUUGGAAGGACAUAUGUUAGAAGACCGUGCGAUCUCACGGCCACCCCGACAACAUGUCUUCAAUUAUUCUCCCCCUGUCAGUAUCUCGCACCGAUUCUAUAUAUUAAGGACCUACGUAUUCUAUGAUAUAAACAUCUUCAAUUUGUGGCAACCUUAUGUCGGCGAUUGUAUGUAGGCUAAGCAUCAUGACACGACACAGUCGCCAUUCACUCGACACAUUGCGAUAGAGUCACCCGUUCAAUGCCACAUCAGUCCACCCCAACAACAUAUCGUCAAUUCUCCCCUUGUAAGUACCCCGCAACAAUGCAUACCCAAUAUAUGGUAUGACCUUUCAAAACUUGUGUGUAAACCCACUAUCGACGUUUCAUACGCAGGAUAAGAAACCUGUGAUGGCAGAGUCCCCAGUCACACCACAUGAAGGAUACAUUCCACAUAAUAAGGUGAGAAGGUUUGAGAUGGCACAACCCCCAGUCACUCCACAUGAAGGAUACAUUCCACAAAAGCAGGUAACAACGCCGCAAUGUUGCUAUGCACAUAAAAAAUUAUGUUUGCCCCUUUACUCAUUGAAUGUAUUAACUCCGAUGUGAGAUACUAGGUGCUGGUCAUGGAAUUUUUUGUUAGUAGGGAUCAUGAGAUGUCACAUGUCCCGAGAGCAUACUUUGAUGAACACCCGGCAGAAGUCAGAAUUUUUGAACCCGCCAAAGUUACCUACGAUCUCAUUAUGAGUGAAAUGAGAGAUACUUUUGGUUGCAAACUGGGAGCAGAACUGUACUACUUCUUACCCGGGUCUGCGUGGAAGCUGCCAGAAGGAAUGUUCUUGAUUGCAGGACCAGAUGAUGUACAAAAAAUGCUUUCUGAUCUGAAUGGCAGCAAGACAUGUCACCUGUACAUUGUGUACAAUAGAACUACGGGUUGUUUUCCCGAGGAUGACGUUGAUUCCGAGGUUCAAAUUUUACAUGUUACAUGCAUCUAGUUUAUGGCUACGUCUUUUUUGAGUUCUUCCUAAUACAAUUCCUAUGGUUUUCUACAGGAAGUGAGAAUCCAAGAAAUGGAGUGUCUUGCUAGAGAGUUGGCAGAGAAAGACCAAGAACAACUUAAGUUGUAUGGUUACAUUGAUGUUAAAGAGAAAAAGAUUGAAGCACGUGGGUCGUCGCCAAGCCCGACGCAAUCUCCAACGACGCAACGCAAGAGGUCACUGGAUUUUGGUAGUGCAGAAGACAAUAUGGAGUAGGCUCAAUUGUUUUUCAACCAGUUAAAGCUUCAAACCAGGAUUAUUUAGUUGCAAACAAACAUUUUGUUUUCUGUUUCACACUAUGUUCGCAAUUAUGGUACAAUUUAUUCAUGAGACAUUUCGUUGAACAACAAUGCAUGUGUUUUAUGAUCAAUCAUACAGUUGUUUCUGAGUUGUUUUUGAGAUGGCAUUGUGUCUAAAGAAGUUUCCAUCUAUAAAACUUGCCACGCAGUCGCAUCGGAAUCGCGUAUCACGCGAGAGGCGUGCGUCGCACGGGAGAGCGUCGCACGCGAGCUUGUUUUCGGGUAGAAAUCAUAACAUAUUUCGGAUAGAUAAAGUUCACGUCCUCCACCCGCGCAUGCAAACCCACGUCGCCGCCAUUCCCAUGCACGCAUGCCUCAGGCGCAGACAACGAGACGGCCCAUCCGAAUUAGGCCCAUCCGAAGUAGGACAUUAGAACCCUCCCCCCACUCCACCUAUUCCCCUCGCACUGUGGCCUCCCUCCCUCCAUCGCCAGAUCCCCCACUCGUCCCCCUCUGUCCGCCGCCCCUGCAUGCCGUCAGCGACUUCACCUCCGCCGCCCCCGCACCCCCCGAACGAGAUCGGCCAGAUCCAUCUCCUCAACCAUCGCAGGACAACGCAGGUACCCCAGUUUCUGUUGACGUCUCAAUGGUAUCCAUGCUGAUAAUGCUAGGUAGAUCGACUGAGUGUAGCAAUUUUGUGCCACCAUCUGAAACUUGUGAUGCUUCCUACUGUACAAUAUAGGACUUUUCAAAGUUCUGUUAUGAUGGCACUUUUUGACACAUACAGUAGAGCUGCGUUUUUAGUUGUUAUACUUUCAGUUACCAUCACUGCUUGGGAAAGGACGAAUUGGAUGCAUUCAGGUCUGCAGUUGAUAGUGUAUCAUCAUAAUAUAGGUGCUGUGUUGUGUGAUUCUUCAUGCUGAGAACUUCAGCUUUUUCAGUUAUAGUGAAAGGCUUCUGUAUAAAAAAAACUACUAAAUGAUCACAAAAACUUCUAGACAACAUUUUGUAUGAUCUGACCAAAACUUGAACUAAAUGAUCACCAAAAGUUGAAGGAUUUUGCAUCACAUCACAACCAUAAGUCUUCUGCACCAGCAUCAUAACAAUCACAUAACUACAUAACAAAAGCAAACUUGUUCAUCAUUACAAAAGAAAACUUGUUCAACAUAAGAAAAGCUAACUUGUUCAGCAUUACAAAAGCAAACUUGUUCAACAUAACAAAAGCUAACUUGUUCAGCAUUACAAACGCAAACUUGUUCAACCACAUAACUGCAAACUGAGACACAUAAUACCACAAACAACUCAAUAUCCCAGUAGUAGGGGUCAUCCCAAUGAUCCUCCACCUCUUGCCAGUACUCCAAACCUUCUUUGACGAUAUCGAUUUUCUUCCAUGCCUCGUAGGUGACGUACGCAUCUUUCGCUGCGUACUCGAUGAGGUUGUUUGGCAGUGGGCUGUCCCCCCAUAGUUUGUGGUCCAAUUCCUUGUUGAUCUUCUUCUUCAUUUCCUUGUACGAUGGGUGGAUGAGGCUGGCUGCAAACUCAGCCAAAGCCUGCCACUUCUUUCCAUUCCUUGGAACUCUCCAUUUGCGCUGCAUGUCGACGUACUUGUCGGGGUUGAUCUCCAAACCAGACAAUUUCAGCUUCUCCUUGUCACCUCCAAUGGAGAAGCCAACAAAGGUGUAGAGCUUCUUCUCCUGCAGGAGUGGGCGGAGUUCCUUAGGCCUGCAUCAAAUUAAUCUGGUGCAUCAAAUUCAUCCACUUCAAAAACUUCAGAAACUACUAAUUAGACAUAAAAUUCAGAACUAGUAUUGCAUCUACUCCAGAACUUCAGAACUAGUAUUGCAUCUACUUCAGAACUUCAGAACUAUUGCAUCUACUUGAGAAACUUCUGAAACUUCAGAACUAUUGCAUCUACUUGAGAAACUUCAGAAACUACUAAUUAGACAGAAACUUCAGAACUUCAGAACUAGUAUUGCAUCUACUUCAGAACUUCAGAACUAUUGCAUCUACUUCAGAAACUACAGAAACUACUAAUUAGACAGAAAGUUCAGAACUUCAGAACUAGUAUUGCAUCUACUUCAGAACUACAGAACUAUUGCGUCUACUUCAGAAACUUCAGAAAUUACUAAUUAGACAGAAACGUCAGAACUUCAGAAACUUCAGAACUGGAUGUUUUUACCAUUUGGUUGCCGCGGUGAUGUGGUAUACCAGGACGAGAUCCUCCACGCAUAACUGUAGAACUGCAGCCUUUUGCGGAGGUUCAUCUUCCCUCGUAUACUCGACAUCAACGCCGAUCGACUGAGGAAACAUGCCGCCGAGCCUCCUCCUGAUCUCGCGGAUCCUCUUGUCGGCUUCGUAUGGAUUGCUGGUGCAUACGACAUCCAGCUUCUCCUUCAGGUGGAUAUCAACCAUGAGCUUCACGGUGUAGUCCUGCUUCUGCCCAGGGAUCGGAACGUCGUCGUCGACCACCAGCGGCUCCUUGCCAGACGCCUCACCUUGGUGAUGCUUGCCAGAUGGAGGGGAGUUGCUCCACGAUGCCUCCGCCAUUCUCUUGGCAGACGGAGGGGAGUUGCUCCACGAUUCCUCCGCCAUUGCCCUCCUGGCCAGCGAUGGUGGAGGCAGAGGGGAGUUGCUUGAUGGUGGAGGCAGAGGGAGGAAGAUGGAGCGGCAAUGGAAUAAGGAGGGAGGCAGAGGGAGGCAGAUUGAGCGGCAAUGGAAUAGGAGGGGAGUUCCCUGCGUCGUGGGGAGUUGCCAGUGGAGGGGAGUCGUGGGGAGUUGCCAGUGGAAGGGAGGCGUGGGGAGUUGCCUCGAAAACUCAAACGUCCUGCCCUUUGGCCCUCGAAAAAUCUGGAGGGGAGACGUGGGCUCUUUGGUUUGUCCCGUUUCUGAAACAAAAAAAAAAUAACAGCCAUAUUUUGCUCUCACUGCAACCAUAUUAAGAGAUGAAAAAUGGCACCAAAAAGUCACUGCAGCCAUCCUCAAUGGCACGAAAACAGCACCAAAACAACAUCAGCCAAAACAACAAAAAAUGCAUCCAUUGAUCGUUCUUUAUUUCUUCUAACAUUCCGUGUUCUGUGCAGUGAGAUAGACACAACACUACAAAUGCAGGCUGACAACGCCCGCGAUUUCAUGACCAUCAGGACAGACGGCGGCUUCAUCCACGCUCCGGUCCCAUGAGUCGAGUCGAAAGUAGUGAUGCUAUGUGUAGUUCUGAAACAUUGAUUGGCUCAUGUUGUAAUUAAACUUUAAUGAAUUGUAUGUCUCUUUGGUUUGGACAGUCGUUAAACUUAGAUGUACUCGAUGCUAUUUAUUACUAGGACCAUGAAUUGUGCUAUUAAUGUCUUGCUUUUCUCUUCCGAUCCUUUUGUUGCAUACUUAUUUAUUGCUUAUGUAUUGUCUGUUGUUUGGCUUGUGCAUAGAGAUGCCGUCGUAUGUCGUGUACAAGGUAAGGUUCCCGGAGUCUACGAUGACUGGGAGGAGUGUCGGAGACAGGUUCACCGUUUCAGCGGUAACAGUUACAAAGGGUACACCACUAGGGUGGAGGCGGAAUCUAGAUAUGCCCGCUAUCUAGCGGGAGAGAGGAGGGAGCGUUGGAGGAAACGGAUGAAGACCAAUUUCAUCGCGAUGAUGCUCAUCGUGAUGACCGCAACUCUCUUCUAUGUGAUGGUAGUUUAGAUGAUCGAUAUCGACUUGUAAUGUGAAGACAAACUCGCUACUCGCGGUCUCGAGACUUGUAAUGUUCUAUCUUUGUUCGGUCUUGUGAAUUCAGAGACUAAUAUGAUGAAUUGUAUUCGGAGAGCUAUCUUCUAUUGUAUUGGAUGAAUGUGCUGUUGCUGUGUGGUGUUGUCUAUAUUCUCUCCAAUAAUAUAUUUUGUAACCUGUGAAAAUAUCAGAAAUGUGCAUUUUUUCGACCACCUCCAAAUCACCUCAGUUUUGGAACACAUGAUCUCUUCCACAAACAAAACUAGGUUUCCAAGUUUUUGUAUUUUUUUAAAUUUUUUUGAAUUUAUAAUGCCCUCUAGACUGACUGCUGAAAACAUCGGUCUAUGCCUCAAGGGGGCAUUGUAAAAUAUUUUUUUUAAAAUUUUCUUGCAUACACAUGUUUUGCACAUGUGGGUCACCAUGUACAAGAAAAUUUGGGUGAUUUGGAGGUGGUGGAAAAAUUCACAUUUUUUCAAAAACUGACUUAAGUUAAGACCAAAUGGUCCCUCCGGGAAUGCGGGCAUUUUUUCGACCACCUCCAAAUCACCUCAGUUUUGGCACACAUGAUCUCUUCCACAAACAAAACUAGGUUUCCAAGUUUUUGUAUUUUUUUAAUUUUUUUUGAAUUUAUAAUGCCCUCUAGACUGACUCCUGAAAACAUCGGUCUAUGCCUCAAGGGGGCAUUGUAAAAUAAAUUUUUUCAAAAUUUUCUUGCAUACACAUGUUUUGCACAUGUGGGUCACCAUGUAUAAGAAAUUUUGGGUGAUUUGGAGGUGGUGGAAAAAUUCAUGCAAGACUCGGGGACCUGCAUGCAAGACUCGGGGACCUGCAUGCAAGAGUCGGGGACCUGCAUGUGAAUAGUGAUUCAUCAAGGCCAUGACAGCUAUUGGCACAGCGGCUGCCGCCCGAUUUGUAUGCAGCGAAGAUGAACGUGCAUGGAGGUUUUUCAAAGAUUUCCAAGCACACCCCAGUGGGCCCCGCUUAUUUAAAAAAGACGUCAGUCAUUAUUGCUCUGUAAAUGAAGAAUAUGCAUGAUGAUUAUGAAUACGCAUGACAACCAUAGUAAGGGUGAAGAAUCAUAGUGCCCAAUUUGUCGAAAUACAUCAUCAUUCUUAAAGUUGGACAUCAAAUGAUACACACAGAAAAUGGAAACGAAAGAUGUCGAACUAAUAUAGUAACAUGCCAGUACAACUGCACUUCACUAAAUUACUGUCACGAUGAAAUAGAAUGUAAAGACCACGUCACACAAACAUGAAUGACACACGACUUUCUCUGGCUCAUCGUCGGUUCAUGCUGUAUGUAGAUAUCACAGUUCAGCCUCGAUAUCCUACACAGAAGAAUAGAAUAAAUCACAUGGACAUCAAUUAUGAGUAAAACACAUGCAAAAAAAAUAUGAAAAUAUUUUGUACCUCUAGCAAUUUAGCGCAUUUACGUCGAUUGUGACCUGGUUUCUUGCAAUAGCCACAGAUAUUCUGUGAUGUUGACUUCUUUGUCUUUGCCUGCAGCCUUUUCUUCGGUGCACCUCGUCCUGGCACAUGCACGGGAUCCAGAACCUUAUCAACUUUCUGUGAGUGUGGCAUCAACGGGCCAAACCUAAUGCUGUUAUGCUGAGCAUUAGUUGACUCCUUGCUGUCAGCUUGUUCAAAACUUGAUUGCUUGCCAUGAUGUUGUGCUUGCAAAAGCAUCUUUAGACGGUGAUAGUCCUCAUCAGAGUGGCAUGCCUGGAAACUUGCGGCGUGACUACAAUUCCGCAACUCGCGGUACCUCUGCAGGCUUAGCGAAUAGUCAUACAUCUGGUUUUUUCUGGUAGGUGCGUAUGCACAUUUUGCAUUCAUAGUCCACCUAGUGGGAACGCAACAACCGGGCAGAAUUGUUUGUUUUAAAAUCCCCAAUAUGUAAAAAAAUGUGGGAACAUGGUGUGCCUGCGCAUUCCAGCUUAUGGCAAGAACAACUCACCCUGUGCAAAAGACCUCCUUGCUCUUCAAUGCGCACUCCAAACUUUUUAUCCAUUCUUUCCUGCUUGGACACAACAUAAGUGGAAUCUUCUGAUCCAUCUAGUAUCUCUCUAAUCUGACAUUUGCUGACAGAAUCUAUGCUCCAUAAGACCAUCUUAAAGACACUAGGUGUGAAAACUGUUGCGGCGUGUUUCUCAAGCGGCGAAGCAUUUUCCUCUGUAAAUGGAACGGACUGCAAGGCUUCAACGUCAUGGAGAGCUUCGUUAAUCCGUCGCGACGCAAGGCAACGCUCAUAGUGCUCUAGCCUUUCAAACAACGACAUCUUACCCUCAAGAUGCGUAUGUAGCACAGAGUUCAAGCUCUCACUCCUCUGAUUACUGCUCAAUCCUAGGAAACAACGCCCCUCAAGAUAUGGAGCACACCACAACUUUCUCAUCUGAUACAUCUGAUGCAGCCAAGACUCCUCACUGGUUACUUUAUUCCGUUGUAAGAAUUGUAUUCAUUUUAUCUCAUGCUCUUCAAUGGAAGAAGUAUCAUAAAUGAAAGAUCUGAAUUCCUCCUUUACGUCGUCAUCAUGCAGAUGGCGUACAAUGUUCUGCUGAAUGUGCCAUAUACAUAGUCUAUGGUUUGAGUCUGGCCAGACCACCCUUAUUGCUCUCUGCAUUGCAAGGUCCCCAUCUGUGAUCACAGAUAUCGGAUGCUUCUGUGCCAUGCAAUCAGAAAAGGUCCGCAACAUCCACUCGUAUGCCUGGCUUGUUUCAUGAGAAAUUAAUUAUACCACAGCCAAAUAUAACAGUGCUGCGGUGGUGAUUCAACCCGACAAAAGGCACGAAUGGCAGAUUGUAUUUUUUGGUUCUGUAUGUGCUAUCGAAAACAAUGACGUCUCCGAAAGCCUCGUAGUCAAGUCGCGAUUGACUGUCAGCCCAGAACAGUCCCUUCAGAUGGCCAUGCUCGUCUACCAAGUACUUGAAGAAAAAAAUCCACAUCUCGCUCUCGCCUCGCCAUCAUAUGCAUGAUCACCGUUUUAGCAUCACCGGCACUGAUUGUCUCUUGCUUAUUAGCAUGGCAGAAAUUAUAAACGUCCCUCUUUAUGCAUCCAACCUUAUCAAAUCCACCGUAUUGGAAGCACAAAAUAUCCAUAAUACGGUAUUUGUGGAUCCCACAUUUUCCAUGUCCGCAAUGUCCGCUUUCUGCUCAUCGCUAAUUCGUCUGUGCAAACGCAACAGACAAGAAAGAUCCCAUGGGGCUAGAGGAUGGUUGUGCUCAUCGAUGAAAUCCUUGACAAACCACCGACCGGUUUCCUCUUGUCUCGUAAUGACCAAUUUAGCAUUACAUCCAACACGAGUUAAACUUUGUGGCCUCCUUUUUCUAUCUUCCAUCUUUCUUUUCAUGUGCUUAUCUUCGCGAAACCCUUGACGACUACACACAAUUUUCCUUAAAAUUAUGUAUUUGUUGGAUCCAUCCCACUCAACGUAGCUUUUCCUCACACUAAAACCUUUUUCAAGAGCAUAUUUGUUGUAGAAUUCAUAGCCUUCAGCCUCACUAUCAAACAUCUUGCUGACAACAUUUACAUACUCGAACAUACUCUCAUCACUUGCAUACGCCAUGUCUUCCUGCAUAUGACAUGUGAGGGAAACCAAUCAUCAACAUCUUUCUGUUUAUCAAUGUUGCAGGUGUAAAAUAGCUCAUAGGCAAAGACAAGUGCAUGGAAAAGACUUUGCUGGUUUGACAUGUGAGGGAAACCAAUCAUCAACGUCCAACAAGUACUAUCCUAGCAUGGAUGAUGACUCUAAUAAACUGGAUUCAUACCUGGUACGCGCGAAGAGAUGGGAUCGCCCGCCGCCGUCGCCGCCUAUUCCGUCGGCACAGAUCCGGCCUUCUUCUUCUUCGGUGACAGCGUGGGGGGCUGGGGUUGGUUGGGUGGAGGACGAGGACGAUGAAUUUAUUCCUCUCACCAGGCAGGUCGAGGACGGAGAAGGUCAGGAGCGGCGACGAAUAGAUCGGAGGAGGUUUCUGAUCUGGAUCGAGUAUACAUGGAUCUGGUCUUCGGGUGAUCGGUUCAAGAAAAGAUUUUUGUCCCUGGACCAUUAUGCCCUUAUCGCUUAAAUUUAAUCAAGUUUAAUUCCCUGCAAGAUCGGUUUUCUAAUAAUAAUCAGACGUCACCAGACAUGUAAGUACUGCUAAGUACUCCGAGUACUAACCUAAUCACCGUAAAACUGCUCCCAAAUAGGAUGACCGCUUUAGAGAAAGCAAUAAGGGAAUUCAUGGACAAUCAAACUGAGAAUGUAAUUGUAUUUGUACCGAUGAUGGGAACGAGUUCACAGAUUCUCUGACUUAGCCGAGACUAUGGCAGAGGGAUGUCAAAUUCAUAUAACUGUUCAUGCACCAUCCGACGGCAGCAAGCAAAGCCCAUGGACACACAGCAUUAUCGACCUAGAAGGGUGAUGCUGCCCAGUCCAACGCAUAGGCGAAGCAGGAAAAACGGUGCGAGGCAGCCGAAGUAUGAAUGAAGGAACCGAUCACCAAGCUGCCGAAGGAUGAGCUGCUCUGCUCUUGUGAGAGAUGUUAAAUUUUGUAGUGUUCAUUUUACCAUUCUGUAAUGUGCACUUAUGUUGCUGCUCAAUUCAGUUCCCUUCUCCCACUUGCAUUUCACAGUCAUGUCCAGUUCAGUGAGCAAAGUCUCUAAAAUUCAGCUCAUUCAAUUAUAGCAUUCAUUCACAACAACCACACUGAGAGAUCUCAACCCCUUCUGCCACUGAGUGAUCUCAACCCCUUUUGCCAUACUCAAUUCUGUUAUCAAUUUUACAACAUCAAGUGAUAUGCUCACAAAUUGACAAUGUCAAUGACCUGCUCUUAAUUUACAACAUCAUUGAUAUGCUAAAAAAUGAUAAUGUCAAUGAUCUGCUCUCAAAGUACUUCCUCUGUCCCAUAAUAUAAGAGCGUUUUUGACACUGUCUGAAACUCUCUUGUUGUUUUGUGUAAAUCAGUUUACAAUCUGAAACUCAACUGAUGUUUGCUUGUAAAUCAGUUAAUAAUGUGCUCUCAAUUUCCAGGCUAGCUUCGCCGGCGCCUGCUCGACGGAGUGGUGCAUCGAUGGCAGCCACGGCCGUCCUCCUCUUGCGAUGGUGCGGGGUCAGCGAUAUGGUGCUUGCUUAGUGCCUCCAGCAACAGCGGCGCGACCUCGCGGCGUGAUACAACCAUGACUUGUAGCCAAGGCAGCGGCAGUCGUCCUCCCAGGGCGAUCGCGAGCAAUGGCGACGGUGAGCGAUGGGUUGUUUAUGGGCUGCACAGCAUUGUUGUUAUUCUUAUUUGUUUUCACCUUGCUGCUGUCGAAUGACGCAUGUGAUUUGGAUUAGACGUCCGUCUAGCGUAAAAAUAAUACUCGAUGCUAUACAGCCCAGGUCGGGAAUCUCGAAGUGAGUUCACGAUGGAGAUAGCGAGAGUAUCUGAGCUCGUGCUCAGAACAUCACUUUCCUUAGGAAAGGGGGAACCAGGAUCGAUUCCUGGUCUCAAAGGUGACAGCGGGUGCUGCUACCAGUCCGAUCAAGUUCCGUUCGUGAUAAGUUGUAGGUGCGCGUCGUACUUGAGCCGAUUCAAGCCGGUUUUCUUUGAGUUUUUUUCCUUCUUCAUUUUUUUCAUUCUUUUUUGCACUCGUUUCUUCAUUUUUUUUCAUUUUUUUCUUUUGUUUAUUUUCUUUGUUCUUUUGGUUAUUAUUGUGCAUUUUUUGUAUACGUCAACAAUAUUUUUUUAAUACACGUCUAACAUUUUUCAAAUACAAAUCAACAAUUUUUGCAAUACAUGGCCUACAUUUUUGUAUACACAUUUUUUAAAUGCUUGAUUAUCAUUUUUCAAAUACAAUAUUAACAAUUUUAAUACAUGGUUAACAUUUUUUUAUCAUUUUUACAAAAAAAUAUAUUAAAUGCUUGAUUAACAUUUUCUUAAUAGAUGGUCAACCUUUUUUUCAUACACAUUUAACAUUUUUUCCAAACGCUUGAUUAACUUUUUCAGACCCUUGUUCGACAUUUCUUUCAAAUGCUGGAUUACAUUUCUAUAUACUUAAUCAAAUAUUUCUAUCAUUUUUAAUACAUGGUCAACAUUAUUAACAUACACAUUUAACAAUUUCCCAAUUCUUGAUUAAUAUUUUUUAAAUACUCGUUUAACAUUUCCCAAUUUUAGCUAGUUAUGGUGCAAACUAAGUGUUGUGCCUCGUCUUAAUCUAUCUAUAUAUCCUAUCUUCUAUUCGGCGACGUGGUUGCGCCCGUGGCGGAUGUGGUCGCCGCCAUGACUUGGUCGAUCUCCCUCUUCUGUAUUCGAGAAAAAAAGAUCUCCGUCUUCUCUUUAGAUGAGAUGGGGAGGAGAUGGUGAGAGAUGAGGUCAACGGCAUUGGGGAGAGGAUAAGGGUAGACGCCAGUGGUGAGGCGGCGUGAGGAAGACGAGGUGGUUGGCGGCUAGGACGCAUGAGGGGAGGGGAAGGGUGGGGAGUGGUGCGUGGAGGGAAGUGGGUGUGCGGCGUGCCCAAUUCACGAGAGAGGAGAGAGGUCGGCAAGGGAGCGACCCAUGGGAGUUUUUUUUCUUCUGAGUGAGCCUAGUUGGGCUAUCUGCUGCGUCCAAGGCCCAAUGCACCACAUGUCUUCAAAUUGGCCACCAGUAGCAGCCCUUAGAACAGACAUGGCCAUUUUGCAAAUUUAAAGACAUAAGUUUUUUGCACGCAUGAAAAACAUAACACGUAUCUUUUCACACAUAAUGAACUAUAGGUACUACCCAAAAAAACAUAAUGAACUAUAGGUUGUCACAAGAACUCAUGCCAUCCCACAACCUCCCUCUGACCCUGCCAACAUUGUUGCAACUGCACUCGCAAGUGUUAUCGUAGAUGAUCAUUUGCAUGAUUUCCCGUAAAACAAAAUAAGAUCUACAAACGAAUAGAAGCUACACAUACCUUGGCAUGCACACACAUUGCAAGCCAUACUAAGCAGAUAAGUGUUAAAAACUUGUACUCCCUCAUCUCAGUUUACAAGUCUUCCACGUGUAUCUAGGUCGUCAAUUUAAUUAUAUAAAAUAAAUUGUUUGACAUAAAUUAUAUCAUUAGAAAAUAGAAAUAUAUAUUUUGUAAUGUAUGCCUCUUAUUAAGUUGGUCAAAUUAACAAUCUAGGUACACAUGCAAGACUUUUAAACUAAGAUGGAGGGAGUACAACAUAUACAACACUUACGACAAGUAAAAGCAAUUUGAUGAGUCAUGGUCUAUCAAAGCAAGCUACAUUACUAAUCUAAUCUAUGUUAACAUGUCACACAUGAUUACAAUCUUUUUUGUGUGCAAGUCAAGCCUAUCUAGUCUACAUGUAACAACUUGUAGAACAUUACAAAAUUGAUGUUUGCUAAUAACUUUUAGAACACUACAACACUUGACAUGUAAAAAGAGUUUGAUGAGUCAUGACCUACUAAAGCAAGUUACAUUACUAGUCUCAUCUAUCUUAACAGGUCACACAAGAUUAAAAACUAAGUUCUGUGCAAGCAAUGCUUAUCUAUUUUACACAUAACAACUUGCAUAACAUUACAAACUUAGUUUUAGAAAAUUAGGCAACCUAGAUUAGUGUUUAGUUGUAAAGUGAAUAAGAUGAGUCAUGUGUGUUAUCACACCUUUUUAUGGUGGAAUGAUAGUGCCACCAAACACAACAUACCAAAAUAUGAUUUUGGGAAGCAUCCAAGCACUUUCCAGACAAGCAAAUGCCAAUUGUGAAAGAGAUAAUGCCAUGGCAGCUAUAAAUAGGCCUGUUGCAUGAUGAUCAUCCUUCCUCAUUCAUCAUUCUCAUAAGUAGAGUGCAUCAUUCAAGCCAAGCAAGCACUGGUCAAUACAAAUCCAUCAUGAAGACAUUUCUCAUCAUUUCCCUCCUUGCUAUCGUGGCGACCACCGCCACAACUGCAGUUAGAGUUCCAGUGCCACAAUUGCAGCCGCAAAAUCCAUCUCUGCAACAACCACAAGAGCAAGUUCCAUUGGUGCAACAACAACAAUUUCCAGGGCAGCAACAAACAUUUCCACCACAACAACCAUAUCCGCAGCCGCAACCAUUUCCAGGACAACAACCAUAUCCGCAGCCGCAACUAUUUCCACAGCCGCAACCUUUUCCGCCACAACUUCCAUAUCCGCAGCCGCAACCAUUUCCCCCACAACAACCAUAUCCACAACCGCAAACACAUCAUCUGCAACCACAACAACCAAUUUCGCAGCAACAAGUACAACAACAACAACAACAACAACAACAACAACAACAACAACAACAACAACAACAACAACAACAACAACAACUACUACUACAACAACAAAUCCUUCAACAAAUUCUGCAACAACAACAACUGAUUCCAUGCAGGGAUGUCAUCGUCUUGCAACAACACAACAUAGCGCAUGAAAGCUCACAAGUAUUGCAGCAAAGUAGUUACCAAGUGUUGCAACAAUUAUGUUGUCAGCAGCUGCGGCUGAUCCCCGAGCAGUCGCGGUGCCAAGCCAUCCACAAUGUCGUUCAUGCUAUUAUUCUACAUCAACAACAACAACAACAACAACAACAACAACAACAAGGACAACAUCAACCGUCGAGCCAGGUCUCCUACCAGCAGCCUCAGCAACAAUAUCCAUCAGGCCAGGGCUCCUUCCAGCCAUCUCAGCAAAAUCCACAGGCCCAGGGCUUUGUCCAACCUCAACAUCUGCCCCAACUCGAGGAAAUAAGUAACCUAGCGCUGCAGACGCUACCAGCAAUGUGCAAUGUCUACAUCCCUCCAUAUUGCUCGACCACCAUUGCGCCAUUUGGCAUCUUCGGUACUAACUGAGAAGAGAAGAACUCUAGUACUAGAUAUAUGAAACACCGUGUUCUUAGUCCAUGGUUUGGUCGUUGUACCGUUGAAAAUAUAAGGUGACAUGCACUAUCAUGUAAGAACCCGAACUAUACUAGUUCAAACAUGGGAAUAAAAGACAAACACAUGUCUUGUCUGCAUAUGAUUGUUUAUUUGAGUUCCAUUCCUAUGCCCAUUCACAAGUUCACCCGUAAUUAUAUAUAUUACACAUUAAGUAGAUAUUUAUGUUGCAUUAAUAUGAAGAUAACAAAAUGAGUCUGAAACUUGAAUUAAAUUGAAGUAUUUUCUUGGACUUUCAAAUUGUGUAUUAUUAAAGUAGUAAGGAUUAUCCACAUCCUUGGCUUGCCCUUCAUCAAUUAUUCCCAGAGAAGCUUUCAGUUCAUAAAUCAAUUACAUUGAUUUUUGUGAAUGGUACAUCUCCUCAUCACGAGUAUCAUUACGGCUACUCCAAAUCGCUCACAUAACCGAAGCAUUAAUAGCGCCCUUCUUGCAUCCGGAAAUAUGGAUCGAAGAUAUCACUUGACCAUGUUUCCAGGUGCAACCUUGGGAUUUUUAUGUCAAAAUAUUCUCAAGCAAAAUCCAAGAAUAAACUUGCAUGCUCACGUGUGAUGAGGGCAGAUGAAGUAACAUUUCCUCCCCAUGGCCACACAUAGGGCACACACAUAACCCCAUCACAUGCCUUUUUAGUUAUGCAUAUGAAAGGUAGGAUGUUUUUAAUUACUCUCUACCAAAAUACUCUUAACUUGGCUUGUACCCUAAUAUUUCGUUGCCUUUUCAAUUGUUCUUCCCCAUUAGACAAAGUAGACAGUCCAUCUACCACACCGUACCUUGUGUCCAUCAUUGCUCUGUACAACAAUUGAACAGAACAAAUGUCAUUUCUUUACGAUACCCACGACCAAAUGUCCUUUGCUGGAUUGUUUGGUCGUGGCAUAUUAAGGAUGGCCACCUCAUCUCAUGGGGUAAACACCUAAUGAAUGAAAGGAUUGUUCUAGUCGCCCGUGUUUUUCAUCGAUAAGAUCAUCUACAAGUUGGACCGAAGUUUCUCACAUGCAUCAUAGUGGUUUCAUUAGCGGCGUGCCCUGCACCCAUUUAUCACGUCGUAUCUCUGUAGUAUGUGCAUUCCCAAUUUGUCACAGCAUACCCUCCUUCAAACCUUCUUUCCCUUUCAGAUUAGCACGCCAAGUUAGCUAUGCACUAUGCGGGAACCAGCAUUUGAAAAAAAAGAAUCUCAUUUCAUGGUAUCUUCCAUGAAGGACCCUCGUACAUUAGCUAUCUAGGUAGAAAUAGCCAUGUAUGUUUGGCAAACUUUGCAUAAGUGAAUAGAUCAAGGUCGUGGAACCCCAAGCCUCCAAUUACACACGGCCUCUCUACCAAUAAGAUCUCCAAAGACAUCAAGGAUACAGACAGCCAAAAAAGAAAAUAAAAAGAAAAAAAAUAAAAAAUACCCUGCCAUGGUGAUCAAUCACAAGCAUCAGCAGCACUCUAACCACCACCAAAGACAAUGCCCAGAUUACAAAAAAAAAUUAUCCAAAAACAAUGCCCCCAAGAAGGAAACAAUACACAAGCGUUGUCGUUGCCCGAUCGAAGAUCGUGGGUUUUCACCCUGGAAAAUUUUUGAGUUCACCCAAAAACAAUGCCUUCAACAAGGCCAUUGCCAAGUACAACAAAUAUGGUCGAGACCUUGGGUUUUCACCCUAGGAAUUGAGACUCGAUGCUCGAGGAGUACCAGCAAAAAUGCAGUCCACUAGUGUUGCCGCCCCCACUUGGCAAGGCCACUGUUGCAAGUCACCAAACACCUGGCAUAUAGUUGUCAUCGCAUCCAAUACACCCUUCGGCCGAAGCUUCAAGACCUUGAUCCGUCUCCAGCGUAUCUAUAAUUUUUGAUUGUUCCAUGCUAUUAUAUUAUCUGUUUUGGAUGUUUUAUAUGAUUAUUAUGGUAUUUUAUAUGAUUUUUGGGACUAACCUAUUAAACUAGAGCCCAGUGUCAGUUCCUGUUUUUUCCUUGUUUUAGAGUUUCGUAGAAAAGGAGUACCAAACGGAGUCCAAACGGAAUUAAACUUUUGCGAUGAUUUUUCUUAGACCAGAAGACAUCUAGAGGACUUGGAGUGCAUGUUAGGAAAGCCACGAGGCUGCCACAACGACAGAGGUGCGCCCCCACCCUUGUGGGCCCCUCGUGACUCUACCGACAUAUUUCUUCCGCCUAUAUAUUCUCAAAUAUUCCAAAACAUACUAGGAGAGCCACAAAAACACUUUUCCACCGCCGCAACCUUCUGUACCCGUGAGAUCCAAUGUAGGGGCCUUUCCCGGCAUCCUGUCGGCGGGGGAUUCGAUCACUUAGGGCUUCUACAUCAACACCAUUGCCUCUCCGAUGAAGCGUGAGUAGUUUACCACAGACCUAUGGGUCCAUAGCUAGUAUCUAGAUGGCUUCUUCUCUCUCUUUGAUUCUCAAUACCAUGUUCUCCUCGAUGUUCUUGGAGAUCUAUUCGAUGUAAUACUCUUUUUGCGGUGUGUUUGCCAAGAUCCAAUGAAUUGUGGAUUUAUGAUCAGGUUAUCUAUGAGUAUUAUUUGAAUCUCCUAUGAAUUCUUAUAUGCAUGAUUUGAUAUCUUUGCAAGUCUCUUCGAACUAUCGAUUUGGUUUGGCCAACUAGAUUGGUUUUUCUUGCAAUGGGAGAAGUGCUUAACUUUGGGUUCAAUCUUGCGGUGCUCGAUCCCAGUGACAGAAGGGGAUGAUACGUCCCCAACGUAUCUAUAAUUUUUGAUUGUUCCAUGCUAUUAUAUUAUCAACCUUGGAUGUUUUAUAUGCAUUUAUAUGCUAUUUUAUAUGAUUUUUGGGACUAACCUAUUAACCCAGAGCCCAGUGCUAGUGCCAGUUUCUGUUUUUUCCUUGUUUUAGGGUUUCGAAGAAAAGGAAUAUCAAAUGGAGUCCAAACGGAAUGAAACCUUCAGAAAAUUUAUUUUUGGAAAGAAAGUAAUACGGGAGACUUGGAGUGCACGUCCGGGGAUCAACGAGGAAGCCACGAGGCAGGGGGCGCGCCCACCCCUCUUGGGCGCGCCCUCCACCCUCGUGGGCCCCUCGUGGCUCCCCAAAUGUAUUUCUUCCGCCUAUAUAUAUCCAUAUACCCCAAAACGACCGGGGAGCACAAUAGAUCGGGAGUUUCUCCGCCAGAAGCCUCCGUAGCCACCGAAAGCUAAUCUAGACCCGUUCCGGCACCCUGCCGGAGGGGGAAUCCCUCUCCGGUGGCCAUCUUCAUCAUCCCGGUGCUCUCGAUGACGAGGAGGGAGUAGUUCUCCCUCGGGGCUAAGGGUAUGUACCAGUAGCUAUGUGUUUGAUCUCUCUCUCUCUCUCUCUCUCUCUCUCUCGUGUUCUUGAGGUGAUACGAUCUUGAUGUAUCGCGAGCUUUGCUAUUAGAGUUGGAUCUUAUGUUGCUUCUCCCCCUCUACUCUCUUGUAAUGGAUUGAGUUUCCCCUUCGAAGUUAUCUUAUCGGAUUGAGUCUUUAAAAAUUUGAGAACACUUGAUGUAUGUCUUGCCGCGUGUAUCUGUGGUGACAAUGGGAUAUCACGUGAUUCACUUGAUGUAUGUUUUCGUGAUCAACUUGCGGGUUCCGCCCAUGAACCUAUGCAUAGGGGUUGGCACACGUUUUCGUCGUGAUUCUUUGGUAGAAACUUUGGUGCACUCUUUGAGGUUCUAUGUGUUGGUUGAAUAGAUGAACUUGAGAUUGUGUGAUCCAUAUCAUAUAAUCAUACCCACGGAUACUUCAGGUGACAAUGGAGUAUCUAGGUGACAUUAGGGUUUUGGUUGAUUUGUGUCUUAAGGUGUUAUUCUAGUACGAACUCUAGGGCUGUUUGUGACACUUAUAGGAAUAGCCCAACGGAUUGAUUGGAAAGAAUAACUUUGAGGUGGUUUCGUACCCUACCAUAAUCUCUUCGUUCGUUCUCUGCUAUUAGUGACUUUGGAGUGACUCUUUGUUGCAUGUUGAGGGAUAAUUAUGUGAUCCAAAUAUGUUAUUAUUGUCGAGAGAACUUGCACUAGUGAAAGUAUGAACCCUAGGCCUUGUUUCGACGCAUUGCAAUACCGUUUACGCUCACUUUUAUCAUUAGUUACCUUGCUGUUUUUAUAUUUUCAAAUUACAAAAACCUUUAUCUACCAUCCAUAUACCACUUGUAUCACCAUCUCUUCACCUAUACAAUUUACCAUUGUAUUGGGUGUGUUGGGGACACAAGAGACUCUUUGUUAUUUGGUUGCAGGGUUGCUUGAGAGAGACCAUCUUCAUCCUACGCCUCCUACGGAUUGAUAAACCUUAGGUCAUCCACUUGAGGGAAAUUUGCUACUGUCCUACAAACCUCUGUACUUGGAGGCCCAACAACGUCUACAAGAAGAAGGUUGUGUAGUAGACAUCAAGCUCUUUUCUGGCGCAGUUGCCGGGAAGGUGAGUGCUUGAAGUUAUAUCUUUAGAUCUUGCAAUCGAAUCUUUUUGUUUCUUGUUUUAGCACUAGUUUAGUUUAUAAAAGAAAACUACAAAAAAACGGAAUUGAGUUUACCUCACACGCUUCAUCUUUUUAAUAUCUUUCGUGAGUAUGAUGGAAAGAAAAAUUGUGCCAAAGUGUUAGAAGAAGAAUGCAUUAAACUGUUUGGCAUUAAAUAUUUGAAUGAUGAGCAUUAUUGCAAUGUUGUUAGUAUGAAUUCCUUGAAUAUCCAUAGUACUAAUGAUGAUUGCACUAGUUAUGAUGAAAAUGUCUCAUGUAAACAUGUCAAUUUUUGUGGAGUGCAUUGGGUUUGCAAGUACACACCAAUUAGGGAAGAUAGAUUUUGCAAGAGGCAUAAGUACUUAGAAACUAAAUUGUUGCAAGAAAGGCUAGAUGAAUGUGCUGAAAAUUUAAAUUUUCUUGGCCAUACUUGUGAGCUUUGCAAUGAACAUGGUUAUUUAACCAUCCGAUGCAAAUUGUUUCAUGAUCUAAUCGUUUCCAAAAAUUGUGAUGACUUGAUUUCCCUUGCACAUCAUAAUGAACUUAGUUUGCUUAUGGGUUAUGAGGAAAUGAAAUGUAUAACUAACUAUCUUCCAGUAUUUUCCCAUGAUAAACUUCUUGGAUUUGACCUAGAGGAAAUUUAUAUGUAUUGUGCGGUGAAUUGCAUUGAAAACCCCUAUAUUGUCAAUUACAUAAAGAAAAGAAAACAAAUAGAGGAUGAACAGAAUACUAAUGAAAGGGAAGAGACCUCCCAAUAUCCUCCUAUUAUUUCUUAUGAUGAACCAGGUAACGAGGAGGAGCCUCCUAUUCAACCAAUCUCAUUAAUAAGGAGCUCCAAAAAGAGGAUUGAACCCACACACGAUGUAGUGAAGAAGAAGAAAAGAAAGAGGAAGAGAGGUAAAAAGAUAUCUCUCCCAAAUAAUGCUGCUCCUAUUACUAUUGUGCCUCAUGAAAAUAUAAUUGUGGAAAAUAAUGAUACUUCUUAUGAUCUUGAAAAUCCUUUUGUCACUUGCUUGGAAGAAUAUGAUAAUUGCUAUACUAUUGGUGCUAUCCAUACUAUUAAUGAUGAGAGUGAUUAUGCUUAUGAUAUGAAAAGGCCCAAGCUUUGGGAUGCUAUGUUUGAUGAAGAUGAUGUUUUUGAGAAUAUAUUUGCUACAAUUAAUGUUUGUCCCAAGCUUGGGGAUGCUAUGUUUAAUCAAGAUGAUAUUUUUAGUCUCCCAAGUUUUGAUAUGCAAAUUUAUAAUGAUGAUAGCAUGCCUCCUACUUAUGAUGAUUAUUGUGAUGAUACUUAUGCUAUAAAAAGUAAUGAUUAUAUUUAUAAAACUUGUCAUGAUUAUGGUUACCCCUUUUCUGAACAUUACUCUUUUAAUGUGGAAACAAUUUAUAGUAUUCGAGUUUCUUAUGAUACUCCCACUAUUCCGAAUGAGAAGAAUUUUGCUUGUGUAGAGAGUAAUAAAAUUUCUAUGCUUGUAGAUCAUGAAAAGAAUGCUUUAGGUGCUGGUUAUAUUUUUGAAUUCAUUCAUGAUGCUACUGAAAAUUAUUAUGAGGGAGGAACAUAUGCUUGUAGGAAUUGCAAUAAUAUCAAGUUUCCUCUCUAUGUGCUUAAAGUUUUGAAGUUAUGCUUGUUUUGCCCUCCUAUGCUAGUUGAUUAUUGUUCCCAUAAGUUGUUUGCUCACAAAAUUCCUACACAUAGGAAGUGGGUUAGACUUACAUGUUCUAGUCAUAUGCUUCAUGAUGCUCUCUUUAUGUUUCAAUUCUUAUCUUUUAUGUGAGCAUCAUUGAAAUCGUCAUGCCUAGCUAGGGGCGUUAAACGAUAGCGCUUGUUGAGAGGAAACCCAACUUUAUUUUUGUUCCUUGAUUUUUGCUCCUGUCUAGCAAUAAAUAAUUUAUCUAGCAUCUGUUAUGAUUGAGUUUUUAUGUUAGAACCGUUGGGAAGACUUGGGGAAAGUCUUGGCGAUCAUGCUGUAAAAAAACAGAAACUUUAGCGCUCACGAGAAUUGCUGACAUUUUUUAUUGGAGAGUGCUAUUUGGUUAAUUAUUUUUGCAGAUGAUUAAUAGAUAAAUUCCUCACGUCCAGCAAUUUAUUUUAGAAUUUUUGAGGCUCCAGAAGUUUGCGUUAGUUACAGAUUACUACAGACUGUUCUGUUUUUGACAGAUUCUGUUUUUCGUGUGUUGUUUGCUUAUUUUGAUGAAUCUAUGGCUAGUAAAAUAGUUUAUAAACCAUAGAGAAGUUUUAAUACAGUAGGUUUAACACCAAUAUAAAUAAAUAAUGAGUUCAUUACAGUACCUUUAAGUGGUGUUUUAUUUUCUUUCGCUAACGGAGCUCACGAGUUUUCCAUUUUAAGUUUUGUGUUGUGAAGUUUUCAAGUUUUGGGUAAAGAUUUGAUGGAUUAUGGAAUAAGGAGUGGCAAGAGAAUAAGCUUGGGGAUGCCGAAGGCACCCCAAGGUAAUAUUCAAGGACAACCAAAAGCCUAAGCUUGGGGAUGCCCCGGAAGGCAUCCCCUCUUUCGUCUUCGUUCAUCGGUAACUUUACUUGGAGCUAUAUUUUUAUUCACCACAUGUUACGUGUUUUGCUUGGAGCGUCAUUUUAUUUCAUUUUUUUGCUUGCUGUUUGAAUAAAGUAUCAAGAUAUGAAAUUAUUAAGUGGGAGAGUCUUCACAUAGUUGCAUAAGUAUUCGACUACUCAUUGAUCUUCACUUACAUCUUUCAGAGUAGUUUGUCAUUUUCUCUAGUGCUUCACUUAUAUCUUUUGAGAGCACGGUGGUGGUUUUAUUUUGUAGAAAUAGAUGAACUCUCGUGCUUCACUAAUAUUAUUUUGAGAGUCCUCAGAACAGCAUGGUAAUUUGCUUUGGUUAUGAAUUUAGUCCUAAUAAGAUGGGCAUCCAAGAGGGAUAUAAUAAAAACUUUCAUAUAAGUGCAUUGAAUACUAAGAGAAGUUUGAUACUUGAUGAUUGUUUUGAGAUAUGGAGAUAGUGAUAUUAAAGUUGUGCUAUUUGACACUACUAGGAAAAGGCCUACUAAUGGCGCACCAGUUUUGCCUACUAAUGGCGCAUCACUGGUGCGCCAUUACUAGCACGCCAUUAGUAAUUUUUAGUAAUGGCGCACCACUGGUGCGCCAUUAGUAUCGGCCACGGUGCGCCAUUCGUAUAGGCCACUGGUGCGCCAUUAGUAUAGGCCACGGUGCGCCAUUAGUAUUUUUGGAUUUUGAAGGCGGGAAAAUAGUAGUGGCGCACCGUCUAACCCCCACCGUGCGCCAUUACUAUUUUUGAAUUUUGAAUUUGGAUCUGGAUCGUGAUUUUUUUGCCCAUUUUUUGCUCGUUUUUUUGCUCGUUUUUUGGCACAAUAUUAUUUCAAAUUUUGUUCUUGUUUUUGGAUCUUGUACGUUCUUUUGCCGUGUUCUUUUGCCGGAGAGGAGUUCGCCGGAGAGGAGGAGGAGGAGGUCACCGGAGAGGCGCUCGCCUACAUCGCCGGAGAGGAGGAGGAGGUCGCCGGAGAGGAGUUCACCGAAGCAUCGGAGAGGAGGAAGGAGAAACCAUGAGGGAAUGGGAGGAGAGGAGGGAGGAGAAACCAUGAGGGGAGGGGAGGAGAGGAGGGAGNNNNNNNNNNNNNNNNNNNNNNNNNNNNNNNNNNNNNNNNNNNNNNNNNNNNNNNNNNNNNNNNNNNNNNNNNNNNNNNNNNNNNNNNNNNNNNNNNNNNNNNNNNNNNNNNNNNNNNNNNNNNNNNNNNNNNNNNNNNNNNNNNNNNNNNNNNNNNNNNNNNNNNNNNNNNNNNNNNNNNNNNNNNNNNNNNNNNNNNNNNNNNNNNNNNNNNNNNNNNNNNNNNNNNNNNNNNNNNNNNNNNNNNNNNNNNNNNNNNNNNNNNGGAGAGGAGAAGGAGGUCGCCGGAGAGGAGGAGAUGGAGUGGAGGAGAGGAGGAGAUGGAGUGGAGGAGAGGAGAGGAGGAGAUGGAAUGGAGGAGAGGUGGAGUGGAGGAGGUGCGCCCAGCCAUGUAUACGACAUAGUAAUGGCGCACCGUGGGCAGGUGCGCCAUUACUAACUUUUUUUAUUUUUUGAUUUAUUUUGAAUUUUGAAGGCGGGAAGAUACUAAUGGCGCACCGUGGGCAGGUGCGCCAUUAGUAACUUUUUUUUUAUUUUUGACUAAUUUUGAAUUUUGAAGGCGGGAAGAUACUAAUGGCGCACCGUGGGCAGGUGCGCCAUUAGUAACUUUUUUUGACUAAUUUUGAAUUUUGAAGGUGGGAAGAUACUAAUGGCGCACCACGGGGUGGUGCGCCAUUAGUAACUUUUUUUUAUUUUGUUGACUUAUUUUGAAUUUUGAAGGCGGGAAGAUACUAAUGGCGCACCAUGGGCAGGUGCGCCAUUAGUAAGUUUGAAUUAUUUUUAAUUUUUUUGCCUCUCCAGAUCUUAAAAGCCCCAUAUAUUUUUUUCUGUUAGGUUUUUGAGGAUUUUAAAAAUGUUUAACGGAUUCCCCGGUUAAAUUUGGAUGUAACUUUUCGAGUAGAUGAUUUUUCAUAUAAAAAACUUUUUCAUCCGAGUUAGUAUGCAAAAGUUAUGCCCAUUUUUACAAAUUNNNNNNNNNNNNNNNNNNNNNNNNNNNNNNNNNNNNNNNNNNNNNNNNNNNNNNNNNNNNNNNNNNNNNNNNNNNNNNNNNNNNNNNNNNNNNNNNNNNNNNNNNNNNNNNNNNNNNNNNNNNNNNNNNNNNNNNNNNNNNNNNNNNNNNNNNNNNNNNNNNNNNNNNNNNNNNNNNNNNNNNNNNNNNNNNNNNNNNNNNNNNNNNNNNNNNNNNNNNNNNNNNNNNNNNNNNNNNNNNNNNNNNNNNNNNNNNNNNNNNNNNNNNNNNNNNNNNNNNNNNNNNNNNNNNNNNNNNNNNNNNNNNNNNNNNNNNNNNNNNNNNNNNNNNNNNNNNNNNNNNNNNNNNNNNNNNNNNNNNNNNNNNNNNNNNNNNNNNNNNNNNNNNNNNNNNNNNNNNNNNNNNNNNNNNNNNNNNNNNNNNNNNNNNNNNNNNNNNNNNNNNNNNNNNNNNNNNNNNNNNNNNNNNNNNNNNNNNNNNNNNNNNNNNNNNNNNNNNNNNNNNNNNNNNNNNNNNNNNNNNNNNNNNNNNNNNNNNNNNNNNNNNNNNNNNNNNNNNNNNNNNNNNNNNNNNNNNNNNNNNNNNNNNNNNNNNNNNNNNNNNNNNNNNNNNNNNNNNNNNNNNNNNNNNNNNNNNNNNNNNNNNNNNNNNNNNNNNNNNNNNNNNNNNNNNNNNNAAUUUUUUUACUAAUGGCGCACCGUGGAUGUGGUGCGCCAUUACUAGUUCAACUAGUAAUGGCGCACCACCCCCACGGUGCGCCAUUAGUAGUUUUGAAAAAAAUUAAAUUUUUUUACCAAUGGCGCACCGUGGAUGUGGUGCGCCAUUAGUAUUUGGACACUAAUGGCGUACCAACACAUGGUGCGCCAUUAGUAUAUAGUAAUGGCGCACCACAUGUCUGGUGCGCCAUUAGUGUCAAUUCCAUCUAUAGCCCUUUUCCUAGUAGUGUGAGUAGUUGUGAAUUUGAGAAAUACUUGUGUUGAAGUUUGCAAGUCCCGUAGCAUGCACGUAUGGUAAACGUUAUGUAACAAAUUUGAAACAUGAGGUGUUCUUUGAUUGUCCUCCUUAUGAAUGGCGGUCGGGGACGAGCGAUGGUCUUUUCCUACCAAUCUAUCCCCCUAGGAGCAUGCGUGUAGUGCUUGGUUUUUGAUGACUUGUAGAUUUUUGCAAUAAGUAUAUGAGUUCUUUAUGACUAAUAUUGAGUCCAUGGAUUAUAUGCAUUCUCACCCUUCCAUCAUUGCUAGCCUCUUCGGUACCGUGCAUUGCCCUUUCUCACAUUGAGAGUUGGUGCAAACUUCGCUGGUGCAUCCAAACCCCGUGAUAUGAUACACUCUUUCACACAUAAACCUCCUUAUAUCUUCCUCAAAACAGCCACCAUACCUACCUAUUAUGGCAUUUCCGUAGCCAUUCUGAGAUAUAUUGCCAUGCAACUUUCCACCAUUCUGUUUGUCAUGACACAUUCAUCAUUGUCAUAUUGCUUAGCAUGAUCAUGUAGUUGACAUAGUAUUUGUGGCAAAGCCACCGUUCAUAAUUAUUUCAUACAUGUCACUCUUGGUUCAUUGCAUAUCCCGGUACACCGCCGGAGGCAUUCAUAUAGAGUCAUAUCUUGUUCUAGUAUCGAGUUGUAAAUAAAUAGAAGUGUGAUGAUCAUCAUUAAUAGAGCAUUGUCCCAAAAAAAGGAAGAGAACGACCAAAUAAAAAAGGGAAGCCCCCCACCCAAAAAAGAAAAGAAAGGCCAGAUAAAAAAUAAAAAAAAUAAAAAAAAUAAAAGGGACAAUGCUACUAUCCUUUUUCCACACUUGUGCUUCAAAGUAGCACCAUGAUCUUUAUGAUAGAGAGUCUCUUGUUUUGUCACUUUCAUAUACUAGUGGGAAUUUUUUAUUAUAGAACUUGGCUUGUAUAUUCCAACAAUGGGCCUCCUCAAGUGCCCUAGGUCUUUGUGAGCAAGCAAGUUGGAUGCACACCCACUUAGUUUCUUUUGUUGAGCUUUCAUACAUUUAUGGCUCUAGUGCAUCCGUUGCAUGGCAAUCCCUAAUCCUUGCAUUGACAUCAAUUGAUGGGCAUCUCCCUAGCCCAUUGAUUAGCCGCGUCGAUGUGAGACUUUCGCCUUUUGGUCUUCUCCACAUAACCCCCUCAUUAUAUUCUAUUCCACCCAUAGUGCUAUAUCCAUGGCUCACGCUCAUGUAUUGCGUGAAAGUUGAAAAAAGUUUGAGAUUACUAAAGUAUGAAACAAUUACUUGGCUUGUCAUCGGGGUUGUGCACAAUGAGAGCAUUCUUGUGUGACGAAAAUGGAGCAUGGCCAAACUAUAUGAUUUUGUAGGGAUGAACUUUCUUUGGCCAUGUUAUUUUGAGAAGACAUGAUUGCUUAGUUAGUAUACUUGAAGUAUUAUUAUUUUUAUGUCACUAUUAAACUUUUGUCUUGAAUCUUAUGGAUCUGAAUAUUCUUGCCACAAUAAAGAGAACUACAUGGAUAAAUAUGUUAGGUGGCAUUCUACAUCAAAAAUUCUGUUUUUAUCUUUUAGCUACUCCAGGACGAGCAGGAAUUAAGCUUGGGGAUGCUGAUACGCCUCCAACGUAUCUAUAAUUUUUAUUGUUCCAUGCUAUUAUAUUAUCAACCUUGGAUGUUUUAUAUGCAUCUUUAUGCUAUUUUAUAUCAUUUUUGGGACUAACCUAUUAACCUAGAGCCCAGUGCCAGUUUCUGUUUUUUCCUUGUUCUAGGGUUUCGAAGAAAAGGAAUAUCAAAUGGAGUCCAAACGGAAUGAAACCUUCGGAAAAGUUGUUUUUGGAAAGAAAGCAAUACAGGAGACUUGGAGUGCACGUCAGCGGAUCAACGAGGAAGCCACGAGGCAGGGGGCGCGCCCACCCCCUGGGCGCGCCCUCCACCCUCGUAGGCCCCUCGUGGCUCCCCUAAUGUAUUUCUUCCGCCUGUAUGUACCAAUAUACCCUAAAACGAUCGGGGAGCACAAUAGAUUGGGAGUUCCGCCGCCAGAAGCCUCUGUAGCCACUAAAAGUGAAUCUAGACCCGUUCCGGCACCCUGCCGGAGGGUGAAUCCCUCUCCGGUGGCCAUCUUCAUCAUCCCGGUGCUCUCCAUGACGAGGAGGGAGUAGUUCUCCCUUGGGGCUGAGGGUAUGUACCAGUAGCUAUGUGUUUAAUCUCUCUCUCUCUCUCUCUCGUGUUCUUGAGGUGAUACGAUCUUGAUGUAUCGCGAGCUUUGCUAUUAUAGUUGUAUCUUAUGUUUCUUCUCCUCCUCUACUCUCUUGUAAUGGAUUGAGUUUCCCCUUCGAAGUUAUCUUAUCGGAUUGAGUCUUUAAAGAUUUGAGAACACUUGAUGUAUGUCUUGCCGCGUGUAUCUGUGGUGACAAUGGGAUAUCACGUGAUUCACUUGAUGUAUGUUUUCGUGAUCAACUUGCGGGUUCCGCCCAUGAACCUAUGCAUAGGGGUUGGCACACGUUUUCGUCGUGAUUCUUUGGUAGAAACUUUGGUGCACUCUUUGAGGUUCUAUGUGUUGGUUGAAUAGAUGAACUUGAGAUUGUGUGAUGCAUAUCGUAUAAUCAUACCCACAGAUACUUGAGGUGACAAUGGUUUGCUCACAAAAUCCCUAUGCAUAGGAAGUGGGUUAGACUUAAAUGUUCUAGUCAUAUGCUUCAUGAUGCUCUCUUUAUGUUUCAGUUCUUAUCUUUUAUGUGAGCAUCAUUGAAAUCAUCAUGCCUAGCUAGGGGCGUUAAACGAUAGCGCUUGUUGGGAGGAAACCCAACUUUAUUCUUGUUCCUUGCUUUUUGCUCCUGUUUAGCAAUAAAUAACUUAUCUAGCCUCUGUUAUGAUUGAGUUUUUAUGUUUUAAUUAGUGUUUGUGCCAAGUAGAACCGUUGGGAAGACUUGGGGAAAGUCUUUGCGAUCAUACUGUAAAAAACAGAAACUUCAGCGCUCACGAGAAUUGAUGGGCAUCUCCUUAACCCAUUGAUUAGCCGCGUCGAUGUGAGACUUUCUCCUUUUUGUCUUCUCCACAUAACCCCCUCAUUAUAUUCUAUUCCACCCAUAGUGCUAUAUCCAUGGCUCACGCUCAUGUAUUGCGUGAAAGUUGAAAAAAGUUUGAGAUUACUAAAGUAUGAAACAAUUGUUUGGCUUGUCAUCGGGGUUGUGCAUGAUGAGAGCAUUCUUGUGUGACGAAAAUGGAGCAUGACCAAACUAUAUGAUUUUGUAGGGAUGAACUUUCUUUGGCCAUGUUAUUUUGAGAAGACAUGAUUGCUUAGUUAGUAUGCUUGAAGUAUUAUUAUUUUUAUGUCAAUAUUAAACUUUUUUCUUGAAUCUUAUGUAUUUGAAUAUUCUUGCCGGAAUAAAGAGAACUACAUGGAUAAAUAUGUUAGGUAGCAUUCCACAUCAAAAAUUCGGUUUCAUUAGCGGCGUGCCCUGCACCCAUUUAUCACGUCGUAUCUCUGUAGUAUGCGCAUUCCCAAUUUGUCACGGCAUACCCUCCUUCAAACCUUCUUGCCCUUUCAGAUUAGCACGCCAAGCUAGCUAUGCACUAUGCGGGAACCUGCAUUUGAAAAAAAAGAAUCUCAUUUCAUGGUAUCUUCCAUGAAGGACCCUCGUACAUGAGCUAUCUAGAUAGAAAUAGCCAUGUAUGUUUAGCAAACUUUGCAUAAGUGAAUAGAUCAAGGUCGUGGAACCCCAAGCCUCCAAUUACACACGGCCUCUCUACCAAUAAGAUCUCCAAAGACAUCAAGGAUACAGACAGCCAAAAAAGAAAAUAAAAAGGAAAAAAAUAAAAAAUACCCCACCAUGGUGAUCAAUCACAAGCAUCAGCAGCACUCUAACCACCACCUAAGACAACGCCCAGAUUACAAAAAAAAUUCUCCAAAAGCAAUGCCCCCAAGAAGGAAACAAUACACAAGCGUUGUCGUUGCCCGAUCGAAGAUCGUGGGUUUUCACACUGGAAAAUUUUUGAGUUCACCCAAAAACAAUGCCUUCAACAAGGCCAUUGCCAAGUACAACAAAUAUGGCUGAGACCUUGGGUUUUCACCCUAGGAAUUGAGAGUCGAUGCUCGAGGAGUACCACCAAAAAUGCAGUCCACUAGUGUUGCCGCCCCCACUUGGCGAGGCCGCUGUUGCAAGUCACCAAACACCUGGCAUAUAGUUGUCAUCGCAUCCAAUACACCCUUCGGCCGAAGCUUCAAGACCUUGAUCCGUCUCCAACGUAUCUAUAAUUUUUGAUUGUUCCAUGCUAUUAUAUUAUCUGUUUUGGAUGUUUUAUAUGAGUAGGGCGUUUUGGUGCCCAGGCUCAUCUGCACCCGGUUAGAAAAAAUUCAUAAAAAAUUUAAACAAAUUCAAAAAAUUCCAAAUAAAAUUUGUAUGGUAGACAAUUUGAUGCGUGAGGCCCGCCUCAAAUUUCAAGUCAUUUGGAUAUAUGAGAAGCUCUCAGCAAAAAAGACAAAUCGGACUAAAACAGUACAUGAACAGUAAACAUUUUUACAGACCCUCAAUUUGUCUUUUUUGCUGAGAGCUGCUCAUAUGUUCAAAUGACUUGAAAUUUGGAGCGUGCCUCACGCAUCAAAAUUUCUAUCACACAAAUUUUAUUUGGAAUUUUUCGAAUUUUUCUAGUAUUUGUUUUGAUUUUUUUCGUCGGCACAGGUGCAGAUGAGCUCAGGUGCAGAAAUGGAUUUUCGGUUUUAUUUGCACUAUUAUGCUAUUUUAUAUGAUUUUUGCGACUAACCUAUUAAACUAGAGCCCAGUGCCAGUUCCUGUUUUUUCCUUGUUUUAGAGUUUCACAGAAAAGGAAUACCAAACGGAGUCCAAACGGAAUGAAACUUUUGCGAUGAUGUUUCUUAGACCAGAAGACAUCUAGAGGACUUGGAGUGCACGUUAGGAAAGCCAUGAGGUGGCCACAAUGACGGAGGGCACGCCCCCACCCUUGUGGGCUCCUCGUGACUCUACCGACCUAUUUCGUCCGCAUAUAUAUUCUCAAAUAUUCCAAAACCUACUAGGAGAGCCACAAAAAAACUUUUCCACCGUCGCAACCUUCUGUACCCAUGAGUUCCCAUCUAGGGGCCUUUUCCGGCAUCCCGUCGGAGGGGGAUUCGAUCACGGAGGGCUUCUACAUCAACACCAUUGCCUCUCCGAUGAAGCGUGAGUAGUUUACCACAGACCUAUGAGUCCAUAGCUAGUAUCUAAACGGCUUCUUCUCUCUCUUUGAUUCUCAAUACCAUGUUCUCUUCGAUGUUCUUGGAGAUCUAUUCGUUGUAAUACUCUUUUUGCGGUGUGUUUGCCGAGAUCCGGUGAAUUGUGGAUAUAUGAUCAGGUUAUCUAUGAAUAUUAUUUGAAUCUCCUAUGAAUUCUUAUAUGCAUGAUUUGAUAUAUUUGCAAGUCUCUUCGAACUAUCGAUUUGGUUUGGCCAACUAGAUUGGUUUUUCUUGCAAUGGGAGAAGUGCUUAACUUUGGGUUCAAUCUUGCGGUGCUCGAUCCCAGUGACAGAAGGGGAUGAUACGUCUCCAACGUAUCUAUAAUUUUUGAUUGUUCCAUGCUAUUAUAUUAUCAACCUUGGAUGUUUUAUAUGCAUUUAUAUGCUAUUUUAUAUGAUUUUUGGGACUAACCUAUUAACCUAGAGCCCAGUGCCAGUGCCAGUUUCUGUUUUUUCCUUGUUUUAGGGUUUCAAAGAAAAGGAAUAUCAAACAGAGUCCAAACGGAAUGAAACCUUCGGAAAAGUUAUUUUUGGAAAGAAAGCAAUACGAGAGACUUGGAGUGCACGUCAGGGGAUCAACGAGGAAGCCACGAGGCAGGGGCACGCCCUCCACCCUCGUGGCUCCCCUAAUGUAUUUCUUCCGCCUAUAUAUAUCCAUAUACCCUAAAAUGAUCGGGGAGCACAAUAGAUCGGGAGUUCCGCCACCAGAAGCCUCCGUAGCCACCGAAAGCCAAUCUAGACCCGUUCCGGCACCCUGCCGGAGGAGGAAUCCCUCUUCGGUGUCCAUCUUCAUCAUCCCGGUGCUCUCCAUGACGAGGAGGGAGUAGUUCUCCCUCAGGGCUGAGGGUAUGUACCAGUAGCUAUGUGUUUGAUCUCUCUCUCUCUCUCUCUCUCUCUCUCUCGUGUUCUUGAGGUGAUACGAUCUUGAUGUAUCGCGAGCUUUGCUAUUAGAGUUGGAUCUUAUGUUUCUUCUCCCCCUCUACUCUCUUGUAAUGGAUUGAGUUUCCCCUUCGAAGUUAUCUUAUCGGAUUGAGUCUUUAAAGAUUUGAGAACACAUGAUGUAUGUCUUGCCGUGCGUAUCUGUGGUGACAAUGGGAUAUCACGUGAUUCAUUUGAUGUAUGUUUUGGUGAUCAAGUUGCGGGUUCCACCCAUGAACCUAUGCAUAGGGGUUGGCACACAUUUUCGUCAUGAUUCUCCGGCAGAAACUUUGGGGCACUCUUUGAGGUUCUAUGUGUUGGUUGAAUAGAUGAAUCUGAGAUUGUGUGAUGCAUAUCGGAUAAUCAUACCCACGGAUACUUGAGGUGACAAUGGAGUAUCUAGGUGACAUUAGGGUUUUGGUUGAUUUGUGUCUUAAGGUGUUAUUCUAGUACGAACUCUAGGGCUGUUUGUGACACUUAUAGGAAUAGCCCAAUGGAUUGAUUGGAAAGAAUAACUUGGAGGUGGUUUCGUACCCUACCAUAAUCUCUUCGUUCGUUCUCCGCUAUUAGUGACUUUGGAGUGAUUCUUUGUUGCAUGUUGAGGGAUAGUUAUGUGAUCCAAUUAUGUUAUUAUUGUUGAGAGAACUUGCACUAGUGAAAGUAUGAACCCUAGGUCUUGUUUCAACGCAUUGCAAUACCGUUUACGCUCACUUUUAUCAUUAGUUACCUUGCUGUUUUUAUAUUUUCAGAUUACAAAAACCUUUAUCUACCAUCCAUAUACCACUUGUAUCACCAUCUCUUCGCCGAACUAGUGCACCGAUACAAUUUACCAUUGUAUUGGGUGUGUUGGGGACACAAGAGACUCUUUGUUAUUUGGUUGCAGGGUUGGUUGAGAGAGACCAUCUUCAUCCUACGCCUCCUACAGAUUGAUAAACCUUGGGUCAUCCACUUGAGGAAAAUUUGCUACUGUCCUACAAACCUUUGCACUUGGAGGCCCAACAACGUCUACAAGAAGAAGGUUGUGUAGUAGACAUCAGGGGAACCGACACAUAUUGUAGUGUUUCCAUCGAGGAUAACAAGAUGGGGUUUUCGUCAUAUUGCUUGAGUUUAUCCCGCUACAUCAAGUCAUCUUACUUAAUGCGUUAUCCUGUUCUUAUGAACUUAGUACUCUAGGUGCAGGCAGGAGUCAGUGGACGUGUGGAGUAAUAGUAGUAGAUGCAAGCAGGAGUCCGUCUACUUGAUACAAACAUGAUGCUUAUGUUCAUGAUCAUUGCCUUAGAUAUCGUCAUAAGUUUGCACUUUUCUAUCAAUUGCUCAGCAGUAAUUUGUUCACCCACCGUAAGAUUUUCUAUCUUGAGAGAAGCCUCUAGUGAAACCUAUGGCCCCGGGGUCUACUUUCCAUCAUAUAAGUUUCUGAUCUACAAUUGUGUUGGUUGAAUAGAUGAAUCUGAGAUUGUGUGAUGCAUAUCGUAUAAUCAUACCCACGGAUACUUGAGGUGACAAUGGAGUACCUAGGUGACAUUAGUGUUUUGGUUGAUUUGUGUCUUAAGGUGUUAUUCUAGUACGAACUCUAGGGCUGUUUGUGACACUUAUAGGAAUAGCCCAACGGAUUGAUUGGAAAGAAUAACUUUGAGGUGGUUUCGUACCCUACCAUAAUCUCUUCGUUCGUUCUCCGCUAUUAAUGACUUUGGAGUGACUCUUUGUUGCAUGUUGAGGGAUAGUUAUGUGAUCCAAUUAUGUUAUUAUUGUUGAGAGAACUUGCACUAGUGAAAGUAUGAACCCUAGGCCUUGUUUCAACGCAUUACAAUACCGUUUACGCUCAGUUUUAUCAUUAGUUACCUUGCUGUUUUUAUAUUUUCAGAUUACAAAAACCUUUAUCUACCAUCCAUAUACCACUUGUAUCACCAUCUCUUCGCUGAACUAGUGCACCUAUACAAUUUACCAUUGUAUUGGGUGUGUUGGGGACACAAGAGACUCUUUGUUAUUUGGUUGCAGGGUUGCUUGAGAGAGACCAUCUUCAUCCUACACCUCCUACGGAUUGAUAAACCUUAGGUCAUCCACUUGAGGGAAAUUUGCUACUGUCCUACAAACCUCUGCACUUGGAGGCCCAACAACGUCUACAAGAAGAAGGUUGUGUAGUAGACAUCAGGGGAACCGACACAUAUUGUAUUGUUUCCAUCGAGGAUAACAAGAUGGGGUUUUCGUCAUAUUGCUUGAGUUUACCCCGCUACAUCAAGUCAUCUUACUUAAUGCGUUAUCCUGUUCUUAUGAACUUAAUACUCUAGAUGUAGGCAGGAGUCGGUGGACGUGUGGAGUAAUAGUAGUAGAUGCAAGCAGGAGUCAGUCUAGUUGAUACAAACGUGAUGCUUAUGUUCAUGAUCAUUGCCUUAGAUAUCGUCAUAACUUUGCGCUUUUAUAUCAAUUGCUCAACAGUAAUUUGUACACCCACUGUAAGAUUUUCUAUCUUGAGAGAAGCCUCUAGUGAAACUAUGGCCCCGGGGUCUACUUUCCAUCAUAUAAGUUUCCGAUCUACAAUUUUAGUUUCCUAUCACUUCCUUUGCAAUCUUUUACUUUCCAUUCCAUAAACCAAAAAUACCAAAAAUAUUACUUUACCGAUUAUCCAUCUCUAUCAGAUCUCACCUUGCAAAUAACCAUGAAGGAUUGACAACCCCUUUGUCGCAUUAGGUGUAAGUUGCUAUUUGUUUGAGCAUGUAUUCAGUGACUUGUGCAUUGUCUCCUACUGGAUUGAUACCUUGGUUCUCAAAACUGAGGGAAAUACUUACUCUACUUUGCUGCAUCACCCUUUCCACUUCAAGGGAAAAACCAACGCAAGCUCAAGAGGAAGUAGGAAGAAUUUCUGGCACCGUUGCCGGGGACAUCUACGCCAAGUCAAGACAUACCAAGUACCCAUCAUAAACUCUCAUCUCUUGCAUUAUAUUAUUUGCCAUUCGCCUCUCGUUUUCCUCUCCCCCACUUCUAAAAUGAUUUGCCUUUUCUUCGCCCUCUUCCAUUCAUCUUCUUCGCUUGCUUUUUGUGUGCUCAUGUGUUGGAUUGCUUGCUUUGUCACGAUGUCUCAAGAGAAUACCAAAUUGUGUGACUUUUCCAAUACCAACAACAAUGAUUUUAUUAGUACCCCGAUUGCUCCCGCUACUAAUGCGGAAUCUUGUGAAAUUAAUGCUGCUUUGCUGAGUCUUGUUAUGAAAGAUCAAUUUUCCGGCCUUCCCAAUGAAGAUGCCGCAUCCCAUCUAAACAAUUUCGUUGAUUUGUGUGAUAUGAAAAAGAAAAAAGAUAUGGAUAAUGAUAUUGUUAAAUUGAAGCUAUUUCCGUUGUCACUUCGAGAUCGUGCUAAAACUAGGUUUUCAUCUUUGCCUAAAAAUAGCGAGUGUCAUUUUUUAAUGCGAGUGAUUAGUUUUUAAAGAAUGAUUGGCAUUCUUUCUUAAUUGCUCAUCUACUAAUCGUUUGGCGUGUUUUCUUAUCUUGUCAAAAUCAUAUCCCCUGGCUGUAAAUAUCAAAGAAUAAUUUCAUUUGUUGGGCUUGGACUGUACUGUCCGAGAGUCAGAGUAUAAAUACCAUACGAUUUCAAGAGCAAUAGCAACGGGGCAACCAUUAGUCCAUACUCUACACCAUAUGGCUAGAAAUUUUAUAUUAUAUAUAACAAAGUUGUGACAAAUUGGAAAUGGAAAGCAAUAAAAUGAAUAUGUUGCUAUAGGUUAUUAUUAUUACACAUGCACGUGUACCUUGAUCCUUGCUUGGACAUAGGGUCCGAGGAAGUUACAUUGCUUUGACUACUGAUAUUGUUUGUGUUAAAGUGUGCCACAAUGGCAUAAAUAUUGUCGUUGCAUAAUGGGAAACCACGUCAUAUUUAUCGAUGAUAUGUGGAAAUAGGGAUAAGCUACUUUAUGAAGAUAUAUAAGGAUGUAUGGGUUACGUUGGUGGAAAAUGUUGUUAUGAACACAAAUGCAGUUGCAUUUAUCAUGCAUUCGCGGUGAAGUGCGCUAUUGUGGCAUAUAUCUUCCUUUUUGCCACAGAAGCAUGGUAGAAUUAUAAAGAGAGUAUGUUUCUAUAGACAUUUCAAAAAAGAGAUUUGUGUAUACUCUCAUUAUACUGUAAUCACCAUAGAUUAUUCAGAUUAGAAGUUGUUGUCUCUACCACAUAUUUAGAUUUUCUAUACAUACUAAUAUCUAUAUCGCAUAGAAAAUCAUGUAUUUAUAUGAGAUCUUUGUGGUGCAUGAUAAAGCAAGAUUCCUUUUGUUAUUGCAGCAAUUUAUAAGUAUUUAAAUAUAUACUAAUAGCUAGUUUCUUCUGUGUUAUAAGGACAAAAUAAGACAUGCAUAGACAUGCAAAUACGUAUUAGAAAUCUGCUACUCCAAAUGUAUCAUGUUAAUCCAUGUAAGCCACGAAUCGCGUGCAUAUCAGGCAAAGCAGUUUUUUUUGUAAAAACAAUACAUAAUACUAAUCGAUGGUAUAGACGAUUCAAUACAUAUGCAUCAAGACACCGCUACCUUGCACAUAGUGAUAUAGGAUGGAAUUGAAUCUGAUCCGCUCCUUUCCAACUUAAUCGAGUAAUGUGUACUUCUCAUAAAUAGGCAUGUAUAUAGUAAUUGUUCUUUUGACCAAACGCUUGGUAUAUUAAUGAUCACAUUAUACAUUUAUGUAACAUUUCUUACUUGCGAAAUCUUUUACAAAUUGGAAUAUGGGAAUUUUAUUAAUACCUAGAAGAAAUACUACUAUUUAGAACAUAUAAUAACUGGUACUAUACUUUUUCUUAAUAUUGGUACUAUACUUAAUUGGACCAAAAGUUGCACAUAUUUUUGAUUAGUUCAUUUUUUUCUACAGAUUUAUCGGCGCCAUUAUUUCUCUAUGGUUGACAUGUAUAUGAACUACUGUCUGUAUAUAUUGAUCUGCAUUUAGACAAAUAUCAGGGACAAACACACAUACUGUUUAGCAUGUGUAGUUGUAAAGGUAGAAUACUGAUUUGUAGUAUUAAGAAAAUAUAUUUAUAAGAUCUUACUACAAUGUAUAUGGAUUGAGAAUCAGAGAAAUAACCAAGUGUUGUGCAAGGAUCAUUCUGACUAUCCAGUGGCAGAAUAAAAAUAGGAUGCUAAGCGCGGGGAGAAUACUUAUGUCCUAUAAACCUGCAAAUAAGAAGCAUGCAUUCACCAUAUAUUAGAAUUCCAAAUUUUAUAGUUCCUUUGCAUGUUGGAAAUAAGCUUUGCCCCUUGUGAUAUGGAUUAUCACGUAGAAUGGAAAGAGGAGAAAAAAAUUAUGGCUUAGCAGAAUCAAUGAGGAAAAGCACUACAUGUGAAGUAUCAAAACGUUGUGAUAGCACGAACCCCACCAGAUUUGAACUCGUGCUCUUAGUAUGACAUGAAAAGAGGGGCUACUCUCCAAUCGAAGUGAAAAUAGUAGAACUUUGAACUUAUAUAUAUAUACGCUUAAAAAUUCUAAAAGCAAAUGGUCAAAAACUCAGAAUAGCUUGAGCGGGCACUACUUGCUAACUCAAGCACAUGGCAACACAGUAUUAAGUCAAGAUUUUGCAACCGAGAGGGAAAGUCAAAUAAAUAAAUAAAUAAAUAAGGAUUCUCAUCAAACCUGUGAAUCCAAGCUAGUAUCUAACUAUUGUAUUGCUCAUAGUUUUGCAUACACCAUGGAACGUACGAUACAUAGCAUGUUGAAAAAUUAUAACCAAUUAAAUAGAAGAUAAAGGCAUAGUGCUAGGAGAUCAUCUCUCAGAGCAAUCAUCGCUGACAUAAACCUUCGGUUAAAUCACAUGUCUAAUUAGAACCUAGAGGUCUUUUACUUUUCCUUUAUAUGGAACCUUUAUUUUGACCUUUGGGGACUAUAGCCGCCUCAAAUAUGCAACUUUUUUUCGAAAUUUUAGUAUAGUGUAGUUGGAGCUUUUCCUGGUGUUCCAUAAAAAUAGCAAAGGGCAUAUUUCCUUUAGCCUACUUAUAUAUAAAAAAACGGCGUUCCUUAAUUAUUAUUCAAACUGAAAACACAUGCUAUCUUUAAAAGCAAAGAUGUACCUUAUGUGAGAAUCAUGCAUGUGUUAUUUCUAAUUAGUUAGGCAAUAAAAUAAUAGCAUCGUAUCAUUAGAUAAAUUAUUUUUCAACUGAAUCAGACAUGUGGGGUUUGACAAAAUUGAAAGUAUAUGCGAAGAUGUUAAGGAGAAAAUGUCAAUAUAAAAAAACUGUUUCUAUAGGCAGAUGUGAAUUACGUACAAAAAUAGGUCUGUUCGCUUUACAAAAGUUCUGGUGAAACCAAACUCCUGAGUUACUACAUGUAGAGCUCAAAAAUACCAGAUAUAGAGUAUAAAAUGAGAAUGGAAUACUAAGUGCAUCUUACAGAAAUUAUAAGAUCUUUUUAAUAGCUUCCUCAAUAUUACAUAGCAUACACAACAAUGAGGCAUCAAAUGAAUCAGUAUUCUAAAUAUGUAAAGAAGAAUAAGAAACACAAAGUAGCUGCUGCUCGAGCAACUACUACAUGCAAAUACAAUGCUUGAGAAUUUUCAAGCGUUCUGUUCGCUUUUUACCCUGAUUCAGCAUGGAUUAAAAAACCACAGUACUUAAUUCCGUGUAUCCUAAAUUCAAGCGUCAUGUUCGACGAAUUUCACCAUAGAUUUACAUGCCUGUGGACUUGUAGAACCAACAGCGCACUCUACAACAUCCGACAGAUAAAUCGAUCUGCUUUCCGUUCGCUGUAGGUUGUUCAUUGGGAAGCAGCACGAUCCACUUUAGACCACCAUCAGUAGACCUGAUCCUACGCUGCAUCGCAUUGUUAUAUUGCAGUCAGCUCGGAACUUAUGUCAAGGAGAAUAGUUAGACGAUGGAUUUGAUAUUUGGCCUUUUUGAGAUCUGAAACGUGUGUGUACUUCGUAGCUGUCAGCAGGUGGAAGGCCGUCCUGACAAAGAGGCAUAUUGCAUCCUAAAUUCAAGCACCAUGUUCGAAAAAAAAUCAGUAUGGGUUUACUUGCCUGUGGACUUGUAGAACCAACAUCAAACCCGACAAAAUCGGACAGAUAAAUCGAUCUGCUUUCCGUUCGUAGUAGGUUCUCCAAUGGGCAGCAGCACGAUCCACUUUAGACCACCUGAUCCUACGCUGCAUCUUGCAGUCAGCUCCGAACUUAACCCAGAAGAAUAGUUAGACGAUGGAUUUGAUAGUUGGCCUUUUUUUAGAUCAGAAUUGUAGGUGCAGGGUGGCUCGGCGAUCCUGACAAAGAUGAGAUUGAUCGGGGUCGCUAAUAAUCCCUUGUAGCACCUGCCGGGAUCCUUUGUGGUUCGCCGAGUGCACUUGAUGGCGAUGGGAUCAAGGGAAGAGAAGAAUUGAAGGAGGUGGGGUCGAGGGACAUGUUUUUCCUAUUUUAGGGGGAGAUAUCUUUCCUUUCUGUUUUUGCGUGAUUGUUUUCGUUUUUCAAUCGGCCGAAGAUUUUAUUGACAGAUCUAUUUUCUUUUUCUUUUCAUCACGGGAUUUUACAUGAAAGGAGGCUAUCUUUUUUUAGCAUGGAAGGAAGAUAUCUUUUUUAAAGGAACCGAUGGAUGCUUUGUUUGUUUGUUAAGCCAAUCUUGACGGUGUCGCGUUCCUUUAUUUUUUACGGGGCCAUAUAUGCUACCAUUGAUUGCAAUUAGUUUUUUUCUCUUGGAGAUGGAUUAUUUGUUUGUUGAACGUGUCUGCCUUAAUUAUGGAUGGACCAUCUGUGUAACGCAUGUUUACUUUUUAUCUUGGACGUUAAUUCUAUAAUCUAUCGGUGUAAUUAAUUUUGAUGAUGUGGAUUAAUGAGAAGGCCUUAAAAGGUGCCUCCAAUUAGUAAAUAUAUAAGAUAUAAGAUAUUGAUUCAUGGAAUAAGUUUAAGGAUGAAUUUAUUUCCAAGUAUUUUCCUCCCGCUAAGAUCAUCUCUCUUAGGAACGACAUUAUGAAUUUUAACCAACUUGAUCAUGAACAUGUUGCACAAUCUCCGUAGAGGAUGAAAUUGAUGAUAUGAAAUUGCCCUACACAUGGUUUGAAUAUGUGGAUGAUUAUACAAUUUUUUAUGCCGGAUUGAAUUUUGCUUCUAGAAAUCUUUUAGAUUCGGCCGUGGGAGGUACUUUUAUGGAAAUUACUUUAGGAGAAGCUACUAAACUCCUAGAUAAUAUUACGGUUAAUUAUUCUCAAUGGUAUACUGAAAGAUCUUCCACUAGUAAAAAAGUGCAUGCGAUUGAUGAGUUUAAUGUUUUGAGUGGAAAGAUGGAUGACCUUAUGAAAUUAUAUGCUAGCAAGAGUGCUUCUGUUGAUCCUAAUGAUAUGCCUUUGUCUACUUUGAUUGAGAAUAAUAAUGAAUCUAUGUAUGUGAAUUUUGUUGGUAGGAACAAUUUUGGUAAUAACGCUUAUGGAGGUAAUUUUAAUCCUAGACUGCUUCCUAAUAAUUCCCCUAAUAAUUAUGGCAAUUCCUACAACAAUUCUUCACUGGUAGAAAAAGGGCCUGUAGUCCCGGUUCGUAAGGGCCUUUAGUCCCGGUUCCUGAACCGGGACUAAAGUGUCGGUACUAAUACCUCCCACCUUUAGUCCCGGUUCAAUCCAGAACCGGGACUAAAGCCCAUCCACGUGGGCAGUGUGCAGAGCCCAGUCAGGAGACCCUUUGGUCCCGGUUGGUGGCACCAACCGGGACCAAUAGGCAUCCACGCGUCAGCAUUUCUGUGNNNNNNNNNNNNNNNNNNNNNNNNNNNNNNNNNNNNNNNNNNNNNNNNNNNNNNNNNNNNNNNNNNNNNNNNNNNNNNNNNNNNNNNNNNNNNNNNNNNNNNNNNNNNNNNNNNNNNNNNNNNNNNNNNNNNNNNNNNNNNNNNNNNNNNNNNCCGGUUCAAUCCAGAACCGGGACUAAAGCCCAUCCACGUGGGCAGUGCGCAGAGCCCAGUCAGGAGACCCUUUGGUCCCGGUUGGUGGCACCAACCGGGACCAAUAGGCAUCCACGCGUCAGCAUUUCUGUGGCUAGGGUUUUUAUUUUUAUUUUUUGAAAGGGGGGGGGGGUUGGGGGUUUUGGGGGGUUAAUUUAGGUGUUUCAUAUAUUGUGUUAGCUAGCUAUAAUUAAUAUAGAGAAGUGUCCUCUCUUAUGUCCGUGCUUGGUCGACGCUACGUACUAUACAUACGUAUAGAGAGGACUAGACACGCUGGCUAGCUAGUAAAGCAAACGAAGGAAACAGAAGAUCGUCAUGAACAUAUAUGCAUACAGAGAGAAGUGAUAUCGACCACCUCUCCUUCUCCGAGAGAUUGGUCGAACAACAAGUUCUCGUAUAUCUAUCUGACAGUACCGGCUACAUAUAUACAGUAAUUAUCUCUUACAAAUAUAAUCAUACGGACUCAGGUUUAACAUAGAAUUCUCCGUCUUCAGGGAUCACGUGGUCAAAAAAGAAUGCCGCCAAUUCCUCUUGAAUUGCUCGCAUGCGAGCUGGUGCUAGGAGUUCAUCCCGCUUCCGAAACAUCUAAUUUGAAGAAGGGGGUCAAUACAUAUAUAUAUAUAUAUGAAUGAAUGAAACUCAACACAAAUGAUGGUAAUAAAAUAAAAUUGUGAAUAUUGUUAUUUACGUACUUCAUAUUGUUCGUUAGAGUACCCGCCCCGCUCACACGUCGUGUGACGGAUGGACUCGCAGAUGUAGUAUCCACAGAAAUCAUUCCCUUGUUCCUGCCACAACCACUUUACAAGAAAUAGAGGUCAAUCAAACUGAUAAGCAAGAAUGCUAAAUGGUAUUGAUGAAACUAGCGCUUGAAUCACUAGGAGAUGCGCGGAACAUGCUACUAUAGUACUUACUUUCGGGUGUCUAAAUUCUAGCUCCUUCGGCAGUCCCGGAACUUUUUUGGUGAAUUUUCUCCAAACCAUGCCGGACAAAGAAAACAAUUACUUGAUAUCAGGAAAUGAACAAAGUUGCUGAUAUGGUGGAUAAUGAUCGAUUUAACUUACUUCUUGAGGAUUUCAGUCAUGUCUGCAUAGUCCUGCGGAUCUUUUCGUUUUGAGUCUAAGAAGGUUACUAGUCCCUGCUCAAGCUUAAUCUCUAGGAGAAUAUAGUGGAAACUGCACACGCAUGCAUAACUUAUGAAUUACAUUACUAUAACCUUGAGUAAUAUAUAAGGGAAACCGAAUACGCACAAGACAGUAGCACUCACUUGAAGUUGUAAGGAAAGAGUAUUAUAUCUUUGUUUUGAUUUAUUACGAACGAUUGUAGAAAGUUGGCCUCGGUAGCUGUGACAUGAAGUUUAACCUGAAUUGCAUCUAUGAGAUAUGUGUUAAUGAACCCAAUAUCACCGACUUGUCUUUUCUUCAAUUCGACGAUCUUCAAUCUGCAUAAUAUAGUGAGGAUGAUUAUAAAUACAUGCAAUGAAAGAGCUAAGCUAUAUAGAGAAACUUAAUGACAGAAGUAGUACUACUUACAGACAGUAGCAGGCGACCGUUGUUUUAUCGAGGGCCAAUUGAUUGAAAAACUGAUAGAACUCCUCAAAUGGAACAGGCAACAGAUCAAUUCCAACGAGGUCAUGCUCCUUUUUAACUCUCACAUACAAAGUACUCCUCCCCCAGAGUCUCUGCAGAUUUUCAAGUACCAAUCAUGCAAUCUUCGCAUCAUCGUUGAUAGAGAUCUUUCAUCUUUGACGAGAGGCUUCCCGUACUCGUAUCUUUGCAUCUGCAUGUCCAUGGGUUCAUAAUGUACUUCGUCGGGUAGGUAAUCUGCAAGAUUAUUAUAACCGGGCACCAUCCUCGGAUCAUUAGCGACUUUGUGGCUAGGCACCUUGAGCGAGGGGCAUGAUUGCUUCGCUUGUUUGCCGAGCUGGGCAAUUUGUUUCCCAGCUCGUCGUUUUUUCAGCCUUUCAUCACUGACAGUAGUUCCCGACCGCUCCGCUUCGGCAAAUUCCUUUCCAAUAAUGCGGUCAUAGUUUCCUUUCGGCGGAUCAGACUUUGGUGGUUUUGUCAGGGCAGCCAGAGUGCGCUUCACUUUCACCCCAUCUACCUUCUCCUCUGGAGGUGGAUGUUUCUUUGCUUUCACCCCUUCAAAGAAUUUCCUCACUUCUUCUCACGCGAUCUCGGCGUUCUCCUCCUGGGUCCUCUCGUAUGGUAACUUCUCUGGAGUCUUCAGAGAAGGACCGAAUCUGUAUGUCCUCCCGCCUCUGGUUGUACUGCUAGACGCCGACCGAGCAAACGAAGCGGUUGUCUUCUUUACUUGCUUAAGAGGCGGAGGAGAAGGACUACGACCCGCCGGAGCAGCUGGAGCGGCGGCAGGUCUCUUCUGCCCUUGCUGACGAGGCGGAGAAGGAGGAGGUUGGCUGCUCGGGCGCGUCGGCGCAGGCGGAGACGGAGGCGGAGUGCCGCCACGCGCCGGAGAAGGAGCCGGCCGAGGGCCCUGAUCCUCACUCGCCGGAGGAGGAGGUGGUGGAGGAGGCGGAGUGCCCUGACUCGCCGGAGGAGGAGGAGGAGGCGGAGGCGUCCAGUUCGGAAGGUUGAUGAGGUCCUUCCGCCAUAGGCAUGGAGUCUUCAGAGCAGACCCCAGCCGAGUCUCCCCUUCACCGGUAGGGUGGUCAAGCUGGAGGUCCUCAAAUCCCUCCGUUAUCUCAUCCACCAUCACCCUAGCAUAUCCUUCUGGAAUCGGCAUGCAGUGAAAAGUUGCGCCGGGUUCAGUAGGAUAAACAGAGCCAACAGCCGCCUUGACCUUCAAAUUCAUCCAUUGCGUCAUAAGGUGGCAAUUUUGAGACUCCGUUAUAGCAUCCACAGGAUAGCUGGCAGGAGCCGUCAAGGCAUGCUGCAGCUGAAGCUGCUCGGUGGAAGCCACGCUGCUUCUGCGCUGAGAUGGCGGGGUAGCUUCGGGGGAGGCUUCGGCAGUACGUUUGUUGCGAUUUGCUUCUCGUUCCUCUAUCGCUUGUACCCUUGCGUGCAGCGCCUGCAGUUCGGUCUGCUGCACUUUUUUCCUCCUCUCAUGGGAUUUGUAACCGCCUGCGUCCGGAAACCCAACCUUCCACGGAACGGAGCCUGGCGUGCCUCGUGUCCGUCCAGGGUGCUCAGGAUUCCCGAGGGCCAUUGUGAGCUCGUUGUGCUCUCUGUCUGGAAAGAACGUCCCUUCCUGCGCUGCGUCGAUAUAGUGCUUAAGCUUACUGACUGGUAUGUCCAUUUGUUCGUUCGUCCAAAUGCAGUUCCCUAUUUCAGGGUCCAAGGUUCCGCCACCCCCGAAGAACCAAGUCCGGCAACGGUCUGGCCAGUUAUUUGUCUCUGGUCCGAUCCCUUUAUGAACCAGAUCAUUCUCAACCAUGGACCACUUAGGCCGGGCUACGAGGUAGCCACCUGACCCCGUGCGAUGGUGAAGCUUCUUCUUCGCGGCAUUCUGCUUGUUUGUCGCCGACAUCUUCUUACUCUUUUCCGAUGUCUUGUAGGCCACAAAUGCGGGCCAGUGAUCUCUGAUCUUCUCAUAUCUUCCCUUGAAUUCUGGUGUCUCUUUUUUAUCGACAAACCUAUUCAGCUCUUUCUUCCACCUCCUGAAUAGAUCUGCCAUCCUCUUCAGAGAAAAAGACUUGAUUAAUUUCUCUUUAAUUGGGUUCUCUGGAUUAUCCUCUGGCGGUAGGGUGAAAUUUGACUUCAGCUCAGUCCAAAGAUCAUUUUUCUGCAUAUCAUUGACAUAAGACACCUCAGGGUCUUCUGUAGCCGGCUUAAACCAUUGCUGGAUGCUUAUCGGGAUCUUGUCCCUAACCAGAACCCCGCACUGAGCAACAAAUGCCCUCUUUGUCCGGAGGGGUUCAAUAGGUUGGCCGUCGGGCGCGAUUGCUGUGAUCUCAAGCUUUUCAUCCGAGCUCAACUUUUUCUUCGGGCCUCGUCUCUUUACCGAAGUUGUGCUCGAUCCGGAGGGCUAGAAAAAAGAACAAAGACUUAAUUAAUAUGUGUACAUACCAAAACAAUGAAUGCAUCAAUCAGCUAGUCAGCAUAGGCUUAACUAAUAUAUAUACCUGGCCGGACUCGGUUCGGUCACCGGAGCCGUCAUCACGGUCUCCUUCUUGCACCGGCAUUGGGUCACCGGCGCCGUCCUCAUGUUCUUCUUCUUGCACCGGCAUUAGGUCACCGUAGCCAGCUUGUUCACCCUCUCCUUCCGGACCAUCGAUGAUAUCGUUGAGAUAGUACGAGACGGCAUCACUUCCUUGUGCGAUUAUCUCCCUCAACAACGCUUCUUUUGUUGCUUCGUCUAGGGCGGUGUCCAUAGUUUCUACAAAUAUUUACAACAUGGCAAUUAUUAUUCAAACAUGACAGAUGGAUAUAUUAGUGCCAAACGUAGAACUACCUACCUAAUCAUAGUAAGCUAUCGGGAGGGGGUAUAUAUCGACAACGACGACACUACAUCUAUAUAUGUCCCUCGAUGACCCUCGUUCCUGAUAAAAAAAGAGGAAGAAGAAGAAAAAAAAGAGGAGAAGAAAGAAUAGAGGAGAAGAACUCCUCUAUUCUUUCUUCUCCUCUUUUUUCUUCUUCUUCCUCUUCUUUUUUUAUCCUCUUCUUCCUCUCAUGUUCGAGAGGAUCGCCUUGGGGUCGGGAGGUUGCCUAGUGUCAAAGGAUUCAACAAAACCAUGUCUUCAUCAUUAGGCGAAAGUAACAUGUGCAUGAUGGUAGGAAGCUCUUCAAAGUUGUUCUGGAACGGAGUCCCAGAUAGGAUAAUUCGCUUUUUGGUACAAAGUUCAGCAAGAGCCUUCCGAAUAUCGCUAUUUGGAAGGCCUUUGCUGAAUUCGUACCAAAAGGCGGAUUAUUCUAUCCGGGACUCCAUUCCAGAACAACUUUGCAGAACUUCAUACCAACAUGCCCUGGUUACUUCCGGCUAAUGAUGAAGGCAUGGAUUUCUUCAAUACUUUGACACUAGGAAACCUCUCUCGACCCCUCGGCGAUUCUUGACCCCUCGAACCCUCAACGACCCUGAAACCCUCGACGCUUGACCCCUUAACGACCCUCGACCCUCUACCCUAGUUCCCGACCCUCGACCAAUAGAGGAGAAGAAGAAAGGAAUAGCUAGAGGAGAAGAUCGAAGAAAAAAAAGAAGAAACAAAAGAGGAGAAGAAGAAAGGAAUAGUGGAGAAGAAGAGAAAAUAGAAUAUAUAUUCUAUUUUCUCUUCUUCUCCACUAUUCCUUUCUUCUUCUCCUCUUCUUUUUCUUCUGUUUUCUUCUUCUUAUUUAUUUCUCCUCUUCUUUUCGGUAGAGGAAACCCUAAAUAGCUAGCAAGUAUCGUGGGUGUGAGAUACAUGUGGCCUUCGGUGUCGGACACUACAUCCACGUCCCACAAGUGACGUGGGCGUCGAAACCCGCGCCACUUGUGGGAUGUGGAUGUAGUGUCCGACACCGACGGUACAUGUAUCUCACACCGACGAUACUUUCUAUUUAGGGUUUCUCCUCUACCACUCGGCGGCCCUCUCGACGACCCUCGUUCCCGAUAAUAUAAAGAGGAAGAAGAAGAAGAAAAAAGAAGAGAAGAAAGAAUAGAGGAGACGAACCCUCGAACCCUCGAACCCUAGACGACCCUCUUCUUCCUCUCAUGUUCGAGAGGAUCGCCGAGGGGUCGGGAGGUUGCCUAGUGUCAAAGGAAACCCUAAAUAGCUAGCAAGUGUCAUGGGUGUGAGAUACAUGUGGCCUUCGGUGUCGGACACUACAUCCACGUCCCACAAGUGACGUGGGCGUCGAAGCCCGCGCCACUUGUGGGAUGUGGAUGUAAUGUCCGACACCGACGGUACAUGUAUCUCACACCGACGAUACUUUCUAUUUAGGGUUUCUCCUCUACCACUCGGCGGCCCUCUCGACGACCCUCGUUCCCGAUAAAAUAAAGAGGAAGAAGAAGAAGAAAAAAGAAGAGAAGAAAGAAUAGAGGAGAAGUCUCCUCUAUUCUUUCCUCGCCUCUCUCAUGAAUGUCCGGCGUUCUCGACCCCCCCCCCUCCCCACGUGUCGAAGAAAAAAAAGAAGAAAAAAAAGAGGAGAAGAAGAAAGGAAUAGAGGAGAAAAGAGAAAAAUAGAAUAUUCNNNNNNNNNNNNNNNNNNNNNNNNNNNNNNNNNNNNNNNNNNNNNNNNNNNNNNNNNNNNNNNNNNNNNNNNNNNNNNNNNNNNNNNNNNNNNNNNNNNNNNNNNNNNNNNNNNNNNNNNNNNNNNNNNNNNNNNNNNNNNNNNNNNNNNNNNNNNNNNNNNNNNNNNNNNNNNNNNNNNNNNNNNNNNNNNNNNNNNNNNNNNNNNNNNNNNNNNNNNNNNNNNNNNNNNNNNNNNNNNNNNNNNNNNNNNNNNNNNNNNNNNNNNNNNNNNNNNNNNNNNNNNNNNNNNNNNNNNNNNNNNNNNNNNNNNNNNNNNNNNNNNNNNNNNNNNNNNNNNNNNNNNNNNNNNNNNNNNNNNNNNNNNNNNNNNNNNNNNNNNNNNNNNNNNNNNNNNNNNNNNNNNNNNNNNNNNNNNNNNNNNNNNNNNNNNNNNNNNNNNNNNNNNNNNNNNNNNNNNNNNNNNNNNNNNNNNNNNNNNNNNNNNNNNNNNNNNNNNNNNNNNNNNNNNNNNNNNNNNNNNNNNNNNNNNNNNNNNNNNNNNNNNNNNNNNNNNNNNNNNNNNNNNNNNNNNNNNNNNNNNNNNNNNNNNNNNNNNNNNNNNNNNNNNNNNNNNNNNNNNNNNNNNNNNNNNNNNNNNNNNNNNNNNNNNNNNNNNNNNNNNNNNNNNNNNNNNNNNNNNNNNNNNNNNNNNNNNNGGGACUAAAGGGGGGCAAUGGUCACGGUUGGUGCCACGAACCGUGACCAAUGCCACCUUUAGUCCCGGUUGGUGCCACCAACCGGGACCAAUGCCCUUGUGCGCCCCGCGCCCAGAAGUUUAGUCCCACAUCGCUAGCUGAAGGGCGCCGAUACUGGUUUAUAAGCGCUGCUCUGCCUCCCCUUUCGAGCUCCUCUCAAAUGCAGGCUUUCGGGCCUAAACUGCUACUGCCUGUGGGCCUAUUGGGCCUCUGCGGGCCUGAAUCCUGGCCCAUGUAGGGUUUCUAGUCGUAUUCAGGCCGUGGAGGCCCAGUAGGAGGCAUUUUUUUUGGUUUUUUCUUUUUUGUUUCUAUAUUUUUUUGGUUUUUUAUUUUUUUUAUUUCUACUUACAACUAAAUACUUACAGUUUUUUAGUGAUUUCUUUUUGCUUUUAGGUCACAAAAAUUAUAAACUUUCUAUUAGUGCCAUUAGUUUUAAAUUUUAAAUAGUUUAAAUUUGAAUUUUUAAAAAUUUGUGUGAAUCACUAGUUUAUGAAUAACUUUACUAUAAAGUUAGAAUUUGUUUUCUAUUUAUUUUUUAUUUCUACUUACAACUAAAUACUUACAGUUUUUUAGUGAUUUGUUUUUGCUUUUAGGUCACAAAAAUUAUAAACUUUCUGUUAGUGCCUUUAGUUUUAAAUUUUAAAUAGUUUAAAUUUGAAUUUUUAAAAAUUUGUGUGAAUCACUAGUUUAUGAAUUUUUUUCUUCUUUGCUAUUUAUUUUUGAUUUAUACUUACAAUUAAAUACUUAUAGUUUGCUUUUAGGUCACACAAAUUAUAUUCUUUUUGCUAUUGAAGAAUAUUAUAGUUUUAUUUUAGUUGAUCAUAACAUAAUAUUUUAAUUGAUUGUUUUUAUUUUCAUAAAAGUUUUGUAGUUCAUUCUGUUUGCUAUUAAUUCAUUCUUUGAGCUAAAUGACUCUGAAAUUGGAAAGCAUUUCAAAAUGAACUCUGAAAAGGUUGAAAGUUGGCAUGGUAUCAUCAUUUCACCCACAUAGCAUGUUCCAAAAAGUAGAGAGGGUUACGACAAAAACUUGAUGCACUUCGUGUACAAAAUGGACAAUCACUUUCGAAGUAUCAAAGUUUCAAACCAUAAGACAUGAAAGCAUUUCGAAUGAACUCUGAAAAAGUUGAAAGUUGGGAUGCAUGGUAUCAUAAUUUCACCCACAUAGCAUUUUCUUAUUGCGGGAGAAAGUCUUCACUUUUUCUUCGCUUGUGUCAUUUGCUUAUUGCGCCGUAACCAUGGAUAAUCUUCAUUGUUUUUAAGGAUGCUUGGGUCAGCCUUGACAUUGAAGGGAGGAAUUUCAUGAAACUUUUCAUAAUCUUCAGACAUGUCUGUCUUGCCGUCCACUCCCAGGAUGUCCCUUUUUCCUGAAAGAACUAUGUGGCGCUUUGGCUCAUCGUAUGAUGUAUUCGCUUCCUUAUCUUUUCUUUUUCUCGGUUUAGUAGACAUGUCCUUCACAUAGAUAACCUGUGCCACAUCAUUGGCUAGGACGAACGGUUCGUCAGUGUACCCAAGAUUUUUCAGAUCCACUGUUGUCAUUCCGUACUGUGGGUCUACUUGUACCCCACCGCCAAACAGAAUGACCCAUUUGCACUUAAACAAAGGGACCUUAAAAUCAGGUCCGUAGUCAAGUUCCCAUAUGUCCACUAUGUAACCAUAAUAUGUGUCCUUUCCUCUCUCGGUUGCUGCAUCAAAGCGGACACCGCUGUUUUGGUUGGUGCUCUUUUGAUCUUGGGCGAUCGUGUAAAAUGUAUUCCCAUUUAUCUCGUAUCCUUUGUAAGUCAAUACAGUCAAAGAUGGUCCCCUGGACAACAAGUACAACUCAUCACAAACAGUGUUGUCACCUCUGAGACGUGUUUCCAACCAACUCCUGAAAGUCCUGAUGUGUUCACAUGUAAUCCAGUCGUCGCAUUGCUCCGGGUGUUUGGAGCGCAGACUGUUCUUGUGUUCAUCGACAUACGGGGUCCCCAAGGUAGAGUUCUGUAGAACUGUGUAGUGUGCUUGAGACCAAGAAUAUCCGUCCCUGCAUAUUAUUGAGUCUCUUCCAAGAGUGCCUUUUCCAGUCAGUCUCCCCUCAUACCGCGAUUUAGGGAGACCUAUCUUGUUAAGGCCAGGAAUGAAGUCAACACAAAACCCGAUAACAUCCUCUGUUUGAUGGCCCAUGGAGAUGCUUCCUUCUGGCCUAGCGCGGUUACGGACAUAUUUCUUUAGGACUCCCAUGAACCUCUCAAAGGGGAACAUAUUGUGUAGAAAUACGGGCCCCAGGAUGACAAUCUCGUCGACUAGAUGAACUAGGACGUGCGUCAUGAUAUUGAAGAAGGAUUGUGGGAACACCAGCUCGAAACUGACAAGACAUUGCGCCACAUCACUCCUUAGCCUUGGUACCAUUUCUGGAUCGAUCACCUUCUAAGAGAUUGCAUUGAGGAAUGCACAUAGCUUCACAAUGGCUAAUCGGACGUUUUCCGGUAAAAGCCCCCUCAAUGCAACCAGAAGCAGUUGCGUCAUAAUCACGUGGCAGUCAUGAGACUUUAGGUUCUGAAACUUUUUCUCUGGCAUAUUUAUUAUUCCCUUUAUAUUCGAUGAGAAGCCAGUCAUGACCUUCAUACUAAGCAGGCAUUCAAAGAAGAUUUCUUUCUCUUCUUUCGUAAGAGUGUAGCUGGCAGGACCUUUAUACUGCUUCGGAGGCAUGUCAUCUUUUUUGUGCAAACGUUGCAGGUCCUCCCAUGCCUCCGGCGUAUCUUUUGUCUUCCCAUACACGCCCAAGAAGCCUAGCAGGUUCACGCAAAGGUUCUUCGUCACGUGCAUCACGUUGAUUGAGGAGCGGACCUCUAGGUCUUUCCAGUAGGGUAGGUCCCAAAAUAUAGAUUUCUUCUUCCACAUGGGUGUGUGUCCCUCAGCGUCAUUCGGAACAGCUAGUCCACCGGGACCCUUUCCAAAGAUGACGUAGGGUAAAUCAUUGACCAUAGCAAGCACGUGAUCACCGGUGCGCAUGGCGGGCUUCUUUCGGUGAUCUGCCUCGCCUUUGAAAUGCUUGCCUUUCUUUCGACAUUGAUGGUUGGUCGGAAGAAAUCGACGAUGGCCCAGGUGCACAUUCUUCCUGCAUUUGUCCAGGUAUAUACUUUCAGUGUCAUCUAAACAGUGCGUGCAUGCGUGGUAUCCUUUGUUUGUCUGUCCUGAAAGGUUACUGAGAGCGGGCCAAUCGUUGAUGGUCACGAACAGCAACGCCUUAAGGUUAAAUUCCUCCUGUCUGUGCUCAUCCCACGUACGUACACCAUUUUCAUUCCACAGCUGUAAAAGUUCUUCAACUAAUGGACUUAGGUACACAUCAAUUUCGUUGCCGGGUUGCUUAGGGCCUUGGAUGAGAACUGGCAUCAUAAUGAACUUCCGCUUCAUGCACAUCCAAGGAGGAAGGUUAUACAUACAUAGAGUCGCGGGCCAGGUGCUGUGAUUACUGCUCUGCUCCCCGAAAGGAUUAAUGCCAUCCGCGCUUAAAGCAAACCAUACAUUCCUAGGGUCCUUUGCAAACUCAUCCCAGUACUUUCUCUCGAUUUUUCUCCACUGCGACCCGUCAGCGGGUGCUCUCAACUUCCCAUCUUUCUUUCGUUUCUCACUGUGCCAUCGCAUCAACUUGGCAUGCUCUUCGUUUCUGAACAGACGUUUCAACCGUGGUAUUAUAGGAGCAUACCACAUCACCUUUGCAGGGACCCUCUUCCUGAGGGGCUCGCCGUCAACAUCACCGGGGUCAUCUCGUCUGAUCUUAUACCGCAACGCACCGCAUACCGGGCAUGCGUUCAGAUCCUUGUAUGCACCGCGGUAGAGGAUGCAGUCAUUAGGGCAUGCAUGUAUCUUCUCCACCUCCAAUCCUAGAGGGCAUACGACCUUCUUUGCUGCGUAUGUACUGUCGGGCAAUUCGUUAUCCUUUGGAAGCUUCUUCUUCAAUAUUUUCAGUAGCUUCUCAAAUCCUUUGUCAGCCACAGCAUUCUCUGCCUUCCACUGCAGCAAUUCUAGUACGGUACUGAGCUUUGUGUUGCCAUCUUCGCAAUUGGGGUAUAACCCUUUUUUGUGAUCCUCUAACAUGCGAUCGAACUUCAGCUUCUCCUUUUGACUAAUGCAUUGCGUCCUUGCAUCGACAAUGACCCGGCGGAGAUCAUCAUCAUCGGGCACAUCGUCUGGUUCCUCUUGAUCUUCAGCAGCUUCACCUGUGGCAGCAUCAUUGGGCACAUCAUCAUCUGGUUCCUCUUGAUCUUCACCAGCUCCCCCCGUUGCAGCAUCACCGUAUUCAGGGGGCACAUAGUUGUCAUCGUACUCUUCUUCUUCGCCGUCUUCCAUCAUAACCCCUAUUUCUCCGUGCCUCGUCCAAACAUUAUAGUGUGGCAUGAAACCCUUGUAAAGCAGGUGGGAGUGAAGGAUUUUCCGGUUAGAGUAAGACCUCGUAUUCCCACAUUCAGUGCAUGGACAACACAUAAAACCAUUCUGCUUGUUUUCCUCAGCCGCAUCGAGAAACUCAUGCACACCCUUAAUGUACUCGCGGGUGUGUCUGUCACCGUACAUCCAUUGCCGGUUCAUCUGCGUGCAUUAUAUAUAAUUAAGUGUCCAAAUUAAUAGAAGUUCAUCAUCACAUUAAAACCAAAGUGCAUACAUAGUUCUCAUCUAACAACAUAUAGCUCUCCAGAGCAUCUAAUUAAUUAAACCAUACAUUGAAACUAUGUAAAACAUUUCAAUGCGAAAACAAAUGCGAUCAUAAUCGCAACCAAGGUAACAAUUGAUCCAACGGCAUAAUGAUACCAAGCCUCGGUAUGAAUGGCAUAUUUUCUAAUCUUUCUAAUCUUCAAGCGCAUUGCAUCCAUCUUGAUCUUGUGAUCAUCGACGACAUCCGCAACAUGCAACUCCAAUAUCAUCUUCUCCUCCUCAAUUUUUUUUAUUUUUUCCUUCAACAAAUUGUUUUCUUCUUCAACUAAAUUUAACCUCUCGACAAUAGGGUCGGUUGGCAUUUCCGAUUCACAUACAUCCUAGAUAAAUAAAAUCUAUGUCACGUUGGUCAGCAUAAUUUUCAUAAACAAUAAAUGAACCAAUAGUUAUAAAGAUAAUAUACAUACCACAUCCGAAUCAUAGACAGGACGAGGGCCGACGGGGGCGGAUACCAAAACCAUCGCACUAUAUAAGAUGCAAUAAUAAAUGUAAGAAAAUGAUACAAGUAUCUAUCUAAACAUACAAGUAAGAAUAUUUUUCCUUUCAGAAAGAAGAUAAGAACAAGAGGCUCACCACGGUGGUGUCGGUGAUGAGAUCGGCGCGGGUGAUCGACGGCAGUGAAGACGGGGACGGGGCGUGACGGACCGCUAAAUCUAGACAAAUCUCGAGGAAAAUGGAGCUUGGAGGUCGAGCUUCGAGAGGAGAAAGCUUAAGUAGUGUGGCUCGGGCAUUCCAUCGAACACCUCAUGUGCAUAGGAGGUGAGCUAGAGCACCACAAAGCCCUCUCCCCCUCGGCCAGAGAAAACAGAGCACUGGGGUGCUCUGCUCACGAGCGAGGGGUAUAUAUAGGCACCUCAUUGGUCCCGGUUGGUGGCAUGAGCCGGGACUAAAGGGAAGCCUUUGGUCCCGGUUCGGGCCACCAACCGGGACCAAUGAUGGUGGGCCAGGAGGGAGGCCCAUUGGUCCCGGUUCGUCCCACCAACCGGGACCAAAAGGUCCAUACGAACCAGGACCAAUGGCCCACGUGGCCCGGCCGGCCCCCUGGGCUCACGAACCGGGACCAAUUCCCACAUUGGUCCCGGUUCAAGACUGAACCGGGACUAAUGGGCUGAGGCGGCCUGGACCAUAGCCCCUUUUUCUACUAGUGCUUAUGGAAAUUAUAAUAAGAUGCCCUCUAAUUUUGAGAAUAGUGUUAAAUAAUUUAUGAGUUCGCAAAAGAAUUUCAAUGCUUUGAUUGAAGAAAAAUUGCUUAAGAUUGGUGAUUUGGCUAGGAACGUGGAUAGAACUACCCUUGAUGUCGAUUCUUUGAAACUUAGAUCUAUUUCACAUAAGCAUGAUAUCAAUGAGUCUCUCAAGGCUAUGAGAAUUCCCAUUGAUGAGUGCAAGGAAAGAACCGCUAAGAUGCGUGCUAAAAAAGAUUGGUUUAUAAAAGCGUGUUCUUCUAGCUAGUUUCCGUGAAAAUAAUGAUGAAGAUCUUAAAGUGAUUGAUGUGACUCCUAUUGAAUUUUUGUUUUCCAAUAUAAAUCUUGAGAAAGAUGGGACUGGAUAUGAGUCAACUUUAGUUAGAAGGCGUCCCAAUGAUUCGGAGUUUUUAGAUAUUAAUGCAAAAAUUGAUAAAAGUGGGAUUGGAGAGGUUAAAACUUUAGGUAGUAAUGAACCCACUCUUUUGGAUUUCAAGGAAUUUAAUUAUAAUAAUUUCUCUUUAAUAGAUUGUAUUUCCUUGUUGCAAUCCAUGUUGAAUUUUCCUCAUGCUUAUAAUCAAAACAAAGCUUUUACUAAACAUAUCAUUGAUGCUAUGAUGCAAUCCUUUGAAGAAAAGCUUGAAUUGGAAGUUUCUAUUCCUACACUAGUAGACAAAGGGUCAAACAUGAAGCACAUUAGUGCCGGUUUGAAUUUGAGCCGGCACUAAUGUGUGCAUUAGUGCCGGUUCCAACGGCUAGCCGGCCGCUCUCAUUAGUACCGGUUCAUGGCGAACCUUUAGCACCGGUUCGUGCCACGAACCGGUACUAAAGUGAGUGGUGGCAGGAUGUUGUCACUCCGGGGCCCCUCCAGCACCUUUAGUACCGGGUCGUAUCACGAACCGGUCCUAAAGGCCGUCCUACAUAGACCCUUCGUCCACCCGAGCUCGCUCUGUUCUUCCCCUUUCCCCUCUCCUCUUUGUACUUUUCCCUCUUCCUCUCAAUCUCAUCACACAUUUUGCCCAAAAUUUGUCAAGAUUUGAAGGCCCCCAUCCAUUCAAAUGAUCACAAAGGUUAGCAACUUUUUCCUUUCAUCUCUCAUUGCUAGAUUAGCUCGUGCAAUGCUUUAUAUAGUGAUUGAUUUUUGAGUUUAGUAAUUUGGGAGGAAUUAUAUAUAUGUGCUAGUAUUUGAUUUAUAUGCAAUUUUAGGUCAAAAAUAACACUUAGUUUGCAUAUGUAGGUGUGGUUUACGUAGUACCUUCUAAAUCUCCGUCGUAACCACCGUCGAUCGCUCGCAACGUCCCGUCACCAGCACCACCUUUUGGUGAGCCUCUUGUUCAUGAAGUUUUAUAUAAAAAAUUGAUGUUUGUGUGAUUUGGAUAUAUAGUUACUCGUAUAAUUAUCUUACCCAUACGUUGUUUGUUAUACAUAGUGCCAUGGUUUUGAUAUCCGUCCCCGUUGGCCCUCGUCCGGGUUAUGAUUCGGAUGUGGUAUAUUCUAUUUUAAAACUAUUCAUUGCAUUUCGUGUUUAUGACAAAUUAUGCCCAUCAAGUUGACAUAGAUAUUUGUAUGUAGGAGGUAGUUGAAACGGAAAUUCCAACCGACCCUAUUGUCGAGAGGUUAAAUUUAGUUGAAAGAGAAAACGAGGAUUUGAAGGAAAAAUUGAAAAGAAUUGAGGGGGAGAAGAUGGAAUUGGAGUUGCAUGUUGCCGAUGUCGUCGAUGAUCACAAGAUUAAGAUGGAGAAAAUGCGCUUGAAGAUUAGAAAGAUUAGAAAAUAUGCCAUUCAUAGUGAGGCUUGGUAGCAUUAUGCUGUUGGAUCAAUUGUUACCUUAGUUGCGAUCUUGAUCGCAUUUGUUGUUGCAUUUAAAUUCUUUAGCUAGGGACUUAUUUGUUUGUUGCAUUUAAGUGUUGUAUGAUCUUUAUGUAUGAACCUUAUGUAUUGUAUUAAUUUGAUGUUUUCGGUGUUGUGUAUUGAAGAUGAGCCGGCAAUGGAUGUACGAUGACUGAUGCUCUCCCAAGUUCAUUAAUGGCGUGCGUACUUUUCUGCUUGCGGCUGAGGCAAACAAGCGAGCGGAUGGUUGUAUGCCUUGUCCAUGUGCUGGCUGUAAGAAUGGUCACAGUUACUCUACGUCAAGAACCAUUCACGUCCACCUGUUUGAGUCUGGUUUCAUGCCCCACUAUAAUGUUUGGACCAAGCAUGGAGAAAGAGGGGUUAUGAUGGAAGACAAUGAAGAAGAAGAGGACGACGAAAGCUAUCCUGGCCAUGGGUUCCCUGAAUACGGUGAUACAACAAUGAGGGAAGAAGCUGAGCCGGUAAUGCGGGAAGAAGCUGAGCCGGCAAUGCGGGAAGAAGCUGAACAAGAGGCACGGAUGAGCCCGUUGAUGAUCUAGGUCGGGCCAUUGCCGAUGCAAAGAGAAACCGCGCUAGUGAUUUGGAGAAGAAGAAGUUGCAGCGCAUGUUAGAGGAUCACAAAAAUUGUUGUACCCGAAUUGCGUAGGUGACAAGAAAAAGCUAGGCACCACACUGGAAUUGCUGCAAUGGAAGGCAAAGAAUGGUGUAUCUGACAUGGGAUUUGGAAAGUUGCUGGUAAUGAUAAAGGAUAUGCUUCCAAAGGACAACAAAUUGCUCGAGAGUACGUACGAAGCAAAGAAGAUUGUCUGCCCUCUAGGGUUAGAGGUGCAGAUGAUACAUGCAUGCCCUAAUGAUUGCAUCCCCUACCACGGUGAGUAUGAGGAUUUGAAAGCUUGCCCGGUAUGAGGUGCAUUGCGCUAUAAGAUCAGCCACGAUGACCAUGGUGAUGUCGAGGGCGAGCGCCCCAGGAAGAAGAUACCUGCCAAGGUGAUGUGGUAUGCUCCUAUAAUACCAUGGCUGAAACGUUUGUUCCAAAACAAUGAGCAUGCCAAGGCGAUGUGAUGGCACAGAGAAGACCGUAAGAAAGACGGAAAGUUGAGAGUACCCGCUGACGGGUCGCAGUGGAGAAAAAUCGAAAGAAAGUACGGGAAGGAGUUUGCAGAUGACGCAAGGAACGUAUGGUUUGGUCUAAGCGCAGAUGGCAUUAAUCCUUUUGGGGAGCAGAGCAGCAACCAUAGCACCUGGCCUGUGACUCUAUGUUUGUAUAACCUUCCUCCUUGGUUGUGCAUGAAGCGGAAGUUCAUUAUGAUGCCAGUGCUCAUCCAAGGCCCUAAGUGUCAGGACCCCGAUUCCAAGUCACAUCGUUCUAGCCGGUAACACCUCAUAUCACUUUGCGGCCUCAUGCACGGUAUCCCACAGGUGUCGCCUUACCAUGGCCCGGGACCGUUUGCGCCUUUUGGCUCACGUAUAUGAUAGUGUCGCUAGCAUCCAUAUGACAGAGAACCCGGGCCGACAUGGCUAGUCGUGAACCCAAAGCGGCACAGACCUAUGGAGACAGGCAUACAUGAAUCACAUCAAGCAUGUCAGUCAUCAGUGAGUGAAUCCGGGCUGUAGCACUGGGCUAACAGGACUCCGGGGAACCCGGGCUGUAGCAGGCUAGGCAGGACUCCGGAUGUCACCGCGUGACAUUUCCCCGAAGGGACAGACAUAGGAACGACGUGAAACACAUGCCGGCCAGUCAAGUGUCCUGAGCAGUAGUGCUGGGCUAGCAGGACUCCGGUGAACCGGGCUGUAGCGGACUACUAUGGCUCGAGGAACACUAGACUACGUUUCCCCAUAAGAAAGGCUGCCAAGGAUAAACAACUAGAUUGUCGGAUCCCACUCAUACCAAGCAUUUCAAUCAUACACACAAUAUGCCCGAUAUGAGUACAUACAACAUGGCAUCACAAGAAAACUCUACAACUCAAAUACUUUAUUUAAAGGCUCCAGAGAGCCAUACAUAACAUGUUCAUACAGAUAGGGGUCACAUGACCCGACACUCAAGUCAUACAAUCAUACAAGCACAAGCGGAAGCAACUAGUCUGAGUACAGACACUAGAAAGAAAGAAGGCUUCUCGAAGCCUGUCUAUCUACAUAGGUCUCUCCAUGGCCAGGAUCACCACCUGGGUGGCUAGUCACUCGUCGACGUCAAGGUCUACGUAGAACCCAUCGGAGGGGCGGUGUUGUCAUCUGAAAACCGUAAUUAAGCAAACAUGAGUACAAAGGUACUCAGCAAGUCUUACAACAUAACCUACUAUAAAUGCUCAUUCUCAAGAAGGUGGUGGGGUUAUUGCAGCAAGCCAGCUUUGACUCUUGGCUAAGCUAUCCUACGGAACUCCACUAGUAAAAUAGUUUUCGCACACGAGUCCACUACUCACCAACAUAAUACUCCACCGGGGAUCCUCUCUCGUCAUCCUACGAGAGGGCCAUCCUCGGUACUCACACUUAUCUUGAGUCUUUUAGUAAUAACCAUUAACUUGUCUAUGAACUGUAUAGGCAACCAGGUAGUCCUUUACCGCGGACGCGGCUAUUCGAAUAGUUUUAUACCCUGCAGGGGUGUACUUCCUCAUACACGCUUUCACCACUUACCGCCGUUUACACGACAUGUACUCGGCAACCUUCAAGCCUUGGCCCAACGAGGGUGUCGGCCACGGCCUACCUAAACACUCAAAUCUCUAGUCCAGGUGCAUCGCCUAUCCAAGUUCCAUCCGCAGGGAGUCCGGCCGAGGUUUCCACAUACGGCCCCGAACGAUGUGAACAGGGUUCCCGAGACACCAAACAGGUGACUCGGUACACCGUGCCACGGUGUAUCUACCGCAACAUAGCCCACCCCUAGGGUCAGUGCUACGCACGGCCGCCAACACAUAACCUACAAACACCAGAAACUAUUUGCAACUCCUGGACAGAGUACUAGGGUAUUUAAGAAGCCGAGAGGGUCAAUUAAGGAUCCCAAUGCAUGGUAGUAGCUGAAUCUUAAAAUCACACAUACAGAUCUCAGUUCUUAGGGACGGCCUCAAUAAAACAACCCACCAUGUACUCCUACAUGGCCUCUCAUCGAUACCUUUACCAAAUCAUGUUCAUCACAUCCCUCACAUUACCGAUAUAACCAUUUCACUCUAGCCCAUCACCCAGAUGGACCAGACCUGACACAACUCUAAGCAUAGCAGGCAUAGCAAGGUAGGAAACACAUACCUGGCUCAAUCAACUCCUACACAUGCUAGUGGGUUUCAUCUAGUUACUGUGGCAAUGACAGGUCAUGCAGAGGAAAAGGGUUCAACUACCGUAGCACACAACAAUUUGAAUCGCGUUGUCUUAAUGCAGUAAACAAGAGCAGAAGCGAGAACAUGGGUUUGUAUCAGAAUGAUCAAUGGUUGUUUGCCUGUUGUAGUGGUAGUAGGGUACUGCCCUUCAGACGGAUACUCGGGGUUAUCCUCGGAGGCAGAACCUACCACGAAAGAUACACCGAACAUAAUCAACACAUGACAAUAUGCAACGGUAUGAUGCAUGCUAUGACAUGGCAAAAUGAAUGUGUCUUGGCCUAAUGCAAGCUGAAACAGGAUGGAAUGAACUCAUUUGAAUCAAAGAUUCAAAUGUUAGCUCAUUUAACAUGGCCUUAUUAGUGCAUUAUCUUAUUCUGCUUAAAUAGCAAGGUUAACUUGUUUUGUCAUGCAUGAAACCAUUACAGAUGGACAGAUUGAAUUUUUUUGAUCAUUUUUCAUAUAUAAAUCUUUGCAUUUGGAGCUAUGGUUGAUUUUCUAAGAUUUUUAGAAGUUUUGGCUAUUUACUGGAAUUUCCUAUUAAAGAAUAAAUCCAGUAAUUGAAUUAAUGCGUCAGCAUGACAUAGGUGUGAUGUCAGCGGGUCAACUGGGUUGGCCAGGUCAAACCUGACUGGCGGGCCCUGUCUGUCAGUGACUCAGCUAAUUAACAGAGUUAAAUUAACUCUAAUUAACUAAAAGUGGGGCCUGGGCCCACAUGUCAGUGACUGAACUAAUUAAAUUUAGUUAAAACAAAUCCUAAACUAAUCAGCAGGCCGGCCCCACCUGUCAUAGACUAACCUGGGCCCACACGGGGGUCAAACAGGGUAAACUCGCCGGCGUCUAGCCGCCGGCGAGGCCAGACGCGGCGGAGCAGUGCGGGAUUUGCACUCUGGCGACCAAAUGGGCGGCGGAGACUAUCUACGUGAUGCGGGGAGGAAGCCGCCUUUGGAAAUAUGCCCUAGAGGCAAUAAUAAAUUGAUUAUUACUAUAUUUCCUUGUUCAUGAUAAUCGUUUAUUAUCCAUGCUAGAAUUGUAUUGAUAGGAAACUCAGAUACAUGUGUGGAUACAUAGACAACACCAUGUCCCUAGUAAGCCUCUAGUUGACUAGCUCGUUGAUCAAUAGAUGGUUACAGUUUCCUGACCAUGGACAUUGGAUGUCAUUGAUAACGGGAUCACAUCAUUAGGAGAAUGAUGUGAUGGACAAGAACCAAUCCUAAGCCUAGCACAAGAUCAUGUAGUUCGUAUGCUAAAGCUUUUCUAAUGUCAAGUAUCAUUUCCUUAGACCAUGAGAUUGUGCAACUCCCGGAUACCGUGGGAGUGCUUUGAGUGUGCGAAACGUCACAACGUAACUGGGUGGCUAUAAAGGUACACUACAGGUAUCUCCAAAAGUGUCUAUUGGGUUGGCACGAAUCGAGACUGGGAUUUGUCACUCCGUGUAAACGGAGAGGUAUCUCUGGGCCCACUCGGUAGGACAUCAUCAUAAUGUGCACAAUGUGACCAAGGAGUUGAUCACGGGAUGAUGUGUUACGGAACGAGUAAAGAGACUUGCCGGUAACAAGAUUGAACAAGGUAUCGGCAUACCGACGAUCGAAUCUCGGGCAAGUAUCGUACCGAUGGACAAAGGGAAUUGCAUACGGGGUUGAUUAAGUCCUUGACAUCGUGGUUCAUCCGAUGAGAUCAUCGUGGAACAUGUGGGAGCCAACAUGGGUAUCCAGAUCCCGCUGUUGGUUAUUGAUCGGAGAGUCAUCUCGGUCAUGUCUGCAUGUCUCCUGAACCCGUAGGGUCUACACACUUAAGGUUCGAUGACGCUAGGGUUAUAAAGGAAGUUUGUAUGUGGUUACCGAAUGUUGUUCGGAGUCCCGGAUGAGAUCCCGAACGUCAUGAAGAGUUCCGGAAUGGUCCGGAGGUAAAGAUUUAUAUAUGGGAAGUCCUGUUUUGGUCACCGGAAAAGUUUCGGGUUUUAUCGGUAACGUACCGGGACCACCGGGAGGGUCCCGGGGGUCCACCAAGUGGGGCCACAAGCCCCGGAGGGCUGCAUGGGCCAAGUGUGGGAGGGGACCAGCCCCAGGUGGGCUGGUGCGGCCCCCCACCAAGGCCCAAGGCGCAAGGAAGAGGGGAAGGGGGCAAACCCUAGGGCAGAUGGGCCCUAAGGCCCACCCUGGUGCGCCUCCCCCUCUCCCCUCCCCUUGGCCGCCCCUAGAUGGGAUCUAGGGGGCUGCCGCCACCCCUAGGGAGGGAACCCUAGGUGGGGGCGCAACCCAUCCCCUCCCCCUAUAUAUAGUUGAGGUUUGGGCUGCCCAAUACACAUGAGUUCCUCUCUUUCUUGGCACAGCCCUAUCCCUCUCUUUCUCCUCAUAUCUCGCAGUGCUUGGUGAAGCCCUGCUGGAUCACCAUGCUCCGCCAUCACUACCACGCCGUUGUGCUGCUGUUGGAUGGAGUCUUCCUCAACCUCUCCCUCUCUCCUUGCUGGAUCAAGGCAUGGGAGACAUCGUCGGGCUGUACGUGUGUUGAACGCGGAGGUGCCGUCCGUUCGGCACUAGGAUCUCCGGUGAUUUGGAUCACAACGAGUACGACUCCUUCAACCCCGUUCUCUUGAACGCUUCCACUUAGCGAUCUACAAGGGUAUGUAGAUGCACUCUCCUUCCCCUCGUUGCUGGUUUCUCCAUAGAUAGAUCUUGGUGACACGUAGGAAACUUUUGAAUUUCUGCUACGUUCCCCAAUAGUGGCAUCAUGAGCUAGGUCUAUUGCGUAGAUUCUAUGCACGAGUAGAACACAAAGUAGUUGUGGGCGUUGAUUUUGUUCAAUAUGCUUACCGUUACUAGUCCAAUCUUGUUUCGACGGUAUUGUGGGAUGAAGCGGCCCGGACCGACCUUACACGUACUCUUACGUGAGACAGGUUCCACCGACUGACAUGCACUAGUUGCAUAAGGUGACUAGCGGGUGCCAGUCUCUCCCACUUUAGUCAGAACGGAUUCGAUGAAAAGGGUCGUUAUGAAGGGUAAAUAGCAAUUGGCAUAUCACGUUGUAUUUUUGCGUAGGUAAGAAACGUUCUUGCUAGAAACCCAUAGCAGCCACGUAAAACAUGCAAACAACAAUUAGAGGACGUCUAACUUGUUUUUGCAGGGUAUGCUAUGUGAUGUGAUAUGGCCAAGAAGAAUGUGAUGAAUGAUAUGUGAUGUAUGAGAUUGACCAUGUUCUUGUAAUAGGAAUCAUGACUUGCAUGUCGAUGAGUAUGACAACCGGCAGGAGCCAUAGGAGUUGUCUUUAUUUAUUGUAUGACCUACGUGUCAUUGAACAACGCCAUGUAAUUACUUUACUUUAUUGCUAACUGGUAGCCAUAGUGGUAGAAGUAAUAAGUUGGCGAGACAACUUCAUGGAGACACAAUGAUGGAGAUCAUGGUGUCAUGCCGGUGACGAUGAUGAUCAUGGAGCCCCGAAGAUGGAGAUCAAAAGGAGCAAUAUGAUAUUGGCCAUAUCAUGUCACUAUUUGAUUGCAUGUGAUGUUUAUAAUGUUUAUACAUCUUAUUUGCUUAGAAUGACGGUAGUAAAUAAGAUGAUCCCUCAUUAAAAUUUCAAGAAAGUGUUCCCCCUAACUGUGCACCGUUGCGAAAGUUCGUCCUUUUGAAGCACCACGUGAUGAUCGGGUGUGAUAGAUUCUUACGUUCGAAUACAACGGGUGUUGACGAGCCUAGCAUGUACAGACAUGGCCUCGGAACACAUGCAAAACACUUAGGUUGACUUGACGAGCCUAGCAUGUACAGACAUGGCCUCGGAACACAAGAGACCGAAAGGUCGAGCAUGAGUCGUAUGGUAGAUACGAUCAACAUGAAGAUGUUCACCGAUGUUGACUAGUCCGUCUCACGUGAUGAUCGGACACGGCCUAGUUGACUCGGAUCAUGUAAUCACUUAGAUGACUAGAGGGAUGUCUAUCUGAGUGGGAGUUCAUAAGAUGAACUUAAUUAUCCUGAACAUAGUCAAAAGGACUUUGCAAAUUAUGUCGUAGCUCACGCUAUAGUUCUACUGUUUAGAUAUGUUCCUAGAGAAAAUUUAGUUGAAAGUUGAUAGUAGCAAUUAUGCGGACUAGGUCCGUAAACUGAGGAUUGUCCUCAUUGCUUCAUAGAAGGUUUAUGUCCUUAAUGCACCGCUCAGUGUGCUGAACCUCGAACGUCGUCUGUGGAUGUUGCGAACAUCUGACAUACACAUUUUGAUAACUACGUGAUAGUUCAGUUAAACGGUUUAGAGUUGAGGCACCGAAGACGUUUUGAAACGUCACGAAACAUAUGAGAUGUUUCGAGGGCUGAAAUUGGGAUUUCAGGAUCGUGCCCACAUCAAGAGGUAUAAGACCUCCGACGAUUUUUCUUAGCCUGCAAACUAAGGGAGAAAAGCUCAACUGUUGAGCUUGUGCUCAGAUUGUCUGAGUACAACAAUCAUUUGAAUCGAGUGGGAGUUGAUCUUCCAGAUGAGAUAGUGAUGUUUCUCCGAAGUCAUUACCACCAAGCUGCUAGAGCUUCGUGAUGAACUAUAAUAUAUCAGGGACAUAUAUGAUGAUCCUUGAGAUAUUCGCGAUGUUUGACACCACAAAAGUAGAAAUCAAGAAGGAGCAUCAAUUGUUGAUGGUUGGUGAAACCACUAGUUUCAAGAAGGGCAAGGGCAAGAAGGGAUACUUCAUGAAAUGGCAAUUCAGCUGCUGCUCUAGUGAAGAAACCCAAGGUUGAACCCAAACCCGAGACUAAGUGCUUCUGUAAUAAGGGAAACAACCACUGGAGCAGAAUUACCCUAGAUACUUGGUAGAUGAGAAGGCUGGCAAAGUCGAUAGAAGUAUAUUGGAUAUACAUUGUGUUAAUGUGUACUUUACUAGUACUCCUAGUAGCACCAUGGUAUUAGAUACCGGUUCGGAUGCUAAAUGUUAGUAAACUCGAAAUAAAAGGCUGCAGAGUAAACGGAGACUAGCCAAAGGUGAGCUGGCAAAAUGUGUUGGAAGUUUUUCCAAGCUUGAUGUCAUCAAGCAUCGCACGCUCCCUCUACCAUCGAGAUCGGUGUUUGCGUUGAGCAUAGACAUGAUUGGAUUAUGUCUAUCGCAAUACGGUUAUUCAUUUAAGGAGAAUAAUGGUUACUCUGUUUAUUUGAAUAAUACCUUCAAUGGUCUUGCACCUAAAAUGAAUGGUUUAUUGAAUCUCGAUCGUAGUGAUACACAUGUUCAUGCCAGAAGAUAUAAGAUAGUAAUGAUAGUACCACCUACUUGUGGCACUGCCAUGUAAGUCAUAUCGGUAUAAAACGCAUGAAGAAGCUCCAUGUUGAUGGAUCUUUGGGCUCACUCGUUUUUGAAAAGUUUGAGACAUGCGAACCAUGUCUAUUGGUGUAUAUGCAUGAAGAAACUCCAUGCAAAUGGACCGUUUGGACUCACUCGAUUUUGAAUCACUUGAGACAUGCAAAUCAUACCACAUGGGCAAGAUGACUGAAAGCCUCGUUUUCAGUAAAAUGGAACUAGAAAGAAACUUGUUGGAAGUAAUACAUUUUGAUGUGUGCAGUCCAAUGAGUGCUGAGGCAUGUAGUGGAUUUCAUUAUGUUCUUACUUCACAGAUGAUUUGAGUAGAUACUGAGUAUAUUUACUUGAUGAAACAUAAGUCUGAAUUAUUGAAAGGUUCAAGUAAUUUCAGAGUGAAGUUGAACAUCGUCGUGACAAGAGGAUAAAAUGUCUAUGAUAUGAUCGUAGAGAUGAAUAUCUGAAUUACGAGUUUGGCACAAAAUUAAGACAUUAUGGAAAUUGUUUCACAACUAAUACAGUCUGGAACACCACAGUGUGAUGGUGUGUCCGAAUAUCAUAACUGCACCCUAUUGGAUAUGAUGCAUACCAUGAUGUCUCUUAUCAAAUUACCACGAUAGUUUAUGGGUUAGGCAUUAGAGACAACCACAUUCACUUUAAAUAGGGCACCACGUAAUUCCGAUGAGAUGACACCGUAUGAACUAUGGUUUAGAGAAACCUAAGCUGUCAUUUCUUAAAAGUUUGGGGCUGCGACGCUUAUGUGAAAAAGUUUUAGGCUGAUAAGCUCGAACCCAAAGCGGAUAAAUGCAUCUUCAUAGGACACCCAAAAUAGUUGGGUAUACCUCCUGUCUCAGAUCCGAAAGCAAUAAGGGAUUGUUUCUAGAAUCGAGUCCUUUCUCGAGGAAAGGUUUCUCUCGAAAGAAUUGAGUGUGAUGAUGGUGGAGAUUUGAUGAGGUUAUUGAACUGUCUCUUCAACUAGUGUGUGGCAGGGCACAGGGAGUUGUUCCUGUGGCACCUACACCAAUUGAAGUGGAAGCUUAUGAUAGUGAUCAUGAAACUUCAGAUCAAGUCACUACCAAACCUCGUGGGAUGACAAGGAUGCGUACUACUUCAGAGUGGUACGUAAUCCUAUCUUGGAAGUCAUGUUGCUAGACAACAAUGAACCUACAAGCUAUGGAGAAGCAAUGGUGGGCCUGGAUUCCAAAAUGGCUCGAAGCCAUAUAAUCCGAGAGAGGAUCCAUCUAUGAAAACAAAGUGUAGACUUUGGAAGAACUACUUGAUGGUCGUAAGGCUGUUAGGUACAUAGGGAUUUUAAAAGGAAGACGGACAAUGAUAGUAAGUAUCACCAUUAAGAAAGCUUGACUUGUCGUUAAGAUGUUUUCCGACAAGUUCAAGGAGUUGACUACGAUGAGACUUUCUCACUCGUAGCGAUGCUAAGAGUCUGUUGGAAUUAUAUUAGCGAUUACUGCAUUAUUUAUGAAAUCUUGCAGAUAGGAUAUCAAAACAUUGUUUCCUCGAUGUUUUUUUGAGGAAAGGUUGUAUGUGAUACAACCAGAAGGUUUUGUCAAUCCUGAAAGAUGCUAACAAGUAUGCAAAGCUCCAGCAAUCCUUCUAAGGACUGGAGUAAGCAUCUCGGAGUUGGAAUGUAUGCUUUGAUGAGAUGAUCAAAGUUUUGGGUGUAUACAAAGUUUAUGAGAAACUUGUAUUUCCAAAGAAGUGAGUGGGAGCACUAUAGAAUUUCUGAUGAGUAUAUGUUGUUAACAUAUUGUUGAUCGGAAAUGAUGUAGAAUUUCUGGAAAGCAUGCAGAGUUAUUUGAAAAGUGUUUUUCAAUGGAAAGCCUGGAUUAAGCUACUUGAACAUUGAGCAUGAAGAUCUAUAAGGAUAGAUCAAAACGCUUAAUGGUAAUUUCAAAUGAGCACAUACCUUGACAUGAUCUUGAAGGUGUUCAAGAUGGAUCAGUCAAAGAAGGAGUUCUUGCCUGAGUUGUAAGGUAUGAAGUUAAGACUUAAAGCUCGACCACGGAAGAAGAAAGAGGAAGGACGAAGGUCGUCCCCUAUGCUUUUGUCAUAGGCUCUCUACAGUAUGCUAUGUUGUGUGCCGCACUUGAAGUGUGCCUUGCCAUGAGUCAGUCAAGGGGUACAAGAGUGAUCCAAGAAUGGAUCACAAGACAACGGUCAAAGUUAUCCUUAGUAACUAGUGGACUAAGGAAUUUUCUCGAUUAUGGAGGUGGUAAAAGAGUUCGUCGUAAAGGGUUACGCCGAUGCAAACUUUGACACUAAUCUAGAUUAUUCUGAGUAGUAGACUGGAUUCGUAUAGUAGAACAGUUAUUUGGAAUAGCUCCAAAUAGAACGUGGUAGCUGCAUCUAGGAGAUGACAUAGAGAUUUGUAAAGCACACACGGAUCUGAAAGAUUCAGACCCGUUGACUAUAACAUCUCUCACAAGCAUAACAUGAUCAAACCCAGAACUCAUCGAGUGUUAAUCACAUGGUAAUGUGAACUAGAUUAUUGACUCUAGUAAACUCUUUGGGUGUUAGUCACAUGGGGAUGUGACCUUGAGUGUUUAUCACAUAUCGAUGUGAACUGGAUUAUUGACUCUAGUGCAAGUGGGAGACUGUUGGAAAUAUGCCCUAGAGGAAAUAAUAAAUUUAUUAUUAUUAUAUUUCCUUGUUCAUGAUAAUCGUUUAUUAUCCAUGCUAGAAUUGUAUUGAUAGGAAACUCAGAUACAUGUGUGGAUACAUAGACAACACCAUGUCCCUAGUAAGCCUCUAGUUGACUAGCUCGUUGAUCAAUAGAUGGUUACAGUUUCCUAACCAUGGACAUUGGAUGUCAUUGAUAACGGGAUCACAUCAUUAGGAGAAUGAUGUGAUGGACAAGACCCAAUCCUAAGCCUAGCACAAGAUCAUGUAGUUCGUAUGCUAAAGCUUUUCUAAUGUCAAGUAUCAUUUCCUUAGACCAUGAGAUUGUGCAACUCUCGGAUACCGUAGGAGUGCUUUGGGUGUGCCAAAUGUCACAACGUAACUGGGUGGCUAUGAAGGUACACUACAAGUAUCUCCAAAAGUGUCUGUUGGGUUGGCACGAAUCGAGACUGGGAUUUGUCACUCCGUGUAAACGGAGAGGUAUCUCUGGGCCCACUCGAUAGGACAUCAUCAUAAUGUGCACAAUGUGACCAAGGAGUUGAUCACGGGAUGAUGUGUUACGGAACGAGUAAAGAGACUUGCCGGUAACGAGAUUGAACAAGGUAUCGGCAUACCGACGAUCGAAUCUCGGGCAAGUAUCGUACCGAUGGACAAAGGGAAUUGCAUACGGGAUUAAUUAAGUCCUUGACAUCGUGGUUCAUCCGAUGAGAUCAUCGUGGAACAUGUGGGAGCCAACAUGGGUAUCCAGAUCCCGCUGUUGGUUAUUGACCGGAGAGUCAUCUCGGUCAUGUUUGCAUGUCUCCCGAACCCGUAGGGUCUACACACUUAAGGUUCGAUGACGCUAGGGUUAUAAAGGAAGUUUGUAUGUGGUUACCGAAUGUUGUUCGGAGUCCCGGAUGAGAUCCCGGACGUCAUGAGGAGUUCCGGAAUGGUCCGGAGGUAAAGAUUUAUAUAUAGGAAGUCCUGUUUUGGUCACCGGAAAAGUUUCGGGUUUUAUUGGUAACGUACCGGGACCACCGACAGGGUCCCGGGGGUCCACCAAGUGGGGCCACAAGCCCCGGAGGGCUGCAUGGGCCAAGUGUGGGAGGGGACCAGCCCCAGGUGGGCUGGUGCGCCCCCCCACCAAGGCCCAAGGCGCAAGGAAGAGGGGAAGGGGGCAAACCCUAGGGCAGAUGGGCCCUAAGGCCCACCCUAGUGCGCCUCCCCCUCUCCCCUCCCCUUGGCCGCCCCUAGAUGGGAUCUAGGGGGCUGCCGCCACCCCUAGGGAGGGAACCCUAGGUGGGGGCGCAGCCCCUCCCCUCCCCCUAUAUAUAGUUGAGGUUUGGGCUGCCCAAUACACAUGAGUUCCUCUCUUUCUUGGCGCAGCCCUAUCCCUCUCUUUCUCCUCAUAUCUCGUAGUGCUUGGCGAAGCCCUGCUGGAUCACCAUGCUCCUCCAUCACCACCACGCCAUUGUGCUACUGCUGGAUGGAGUCUUCCUCAACCUCUCCCUCUCUCCUUGCUGGAUCAAGGCAUGGGAGACGUCAUCGGGCUGUACGUGUGUUGAACGCGGAGGUGCCGUCCGUUCGGCACUAGGAUCUCCGGUGAUUUGGAUCACGAUGAGUACGACUCCUUCAACCCCGCACUACUAGGAAAAGGCCUACUAAUGGCGCACCAGUUUUGCCUACUAAUGGCGCAUCACUGGUGCGCCAUUACUAGCACGCCAUUAGUAAUUUUUACUAAUGGCGCACCACUGGUGCGCCAUUAGUAUCUGGUAUACUAAUGGCGCACCACUGGUGCGCCAUUAGUAUAGGCCACAGGUGCACCAUUAGUAUACCAGAUACUAAUGGCGCACCGCGUGGUGCGCCAUUAGUAUACCAUUCGGUGCUCCACUGGUAUUCCCUCCAGGUGCGCCACUAAUAACCUUAUAGGUGCGCCACUAGUAAUAAAGGAAGGUGCGCCACUAAUAAGGGCUUAAAUGCGCCACUACUAAUGUAUUUGGAAAACAAAAAAAAAUCUAAAUUUACAGAAAAAAACCUAUAAGGAAAAAUAAUUUAAAAACAAAAAAUGAAAUAGAAUCAUAAUUUUUAUUAUAGUAAGAAUAUUACAAUGUCUUUACAAGUUUCCAAUAAAAGGGAAAUUGCAAGGAAAUAAAAAAAAUCCUAAAGCUAAUCUUCUAGUAAUCUUCUCUUCUUUUUCUUCACUUUAUCCCUGCAAAAUGUAACAAAAUAAACACAAACACAAACAAACUAUUUAUAACAUGUCAAUACUGUCAUUUUUUCAGACCAAGUAACUAACAACUUCAGUGAGACAGGCACAGUGCAGUGUGAAUUUCAAUUGGCUAAAUCAUAUAUAGAAAUCAGUAUCUUCUCUAUGAACCUGAAACUGAGAUGACUGGACUAAUUUUGCACAUUUGAUUUAUGAAUUUAUUCUUCUUCGACAACCAACUAAACUUCGGAUCACCUACUAAGCAUCUGUACAUACUACAUAGGCUGAUUAAUCCAACAGCCACAAUGCAAAUAUUGACUAUUUCCAUUCAACUUCUUCACUUACUCAUUAUUAUCUAAUGAAACCAUUCGUAACUAAUGAAGCAGAUUGGCUAAAGUUAUUAUCAAGUCCUAAGUCCUAAUUGAAGCAGAUCUGCUAGGGUUCUUCUCGCUAGCCCCUCAUGGCCAACCGUUUCGGAACAGGCAGGCAGAGCUGCUUGGCCGGUGGCUAGGGAGUCGCUGGUGAUGUUGGGCAUCUCACACGAGCACCUGGCUAUUUGAGGAAACCGAAAUAGUAGCAUAAACAAGAUUGAUUCCGAGGAAAUGAUAGAACCUAUUCUAUCAAAGUGCUACUCCCCCCGUUCCAUAAUUCCAGUCGUGGUUUUUUAACUAAAACCAUGAAGAGAACUAUGGAAUGGAGGGAGUAGAAAACAAUAGCAUGCUUAAAAUUCUACCAUACACAGCAGCAACAGACAUUACACAAGCAUUUAUUUAUUUAUUGCAUUUGGCACAAGUUAAAAAUUCUCACAAGCAGAGGCGGUCCUAUCAGACAAAAAGAACAUGGACCGCUCAUUACAAAGCACUUCUACUGCAGUAUCAUGGAGUAGGAAAAGGGGCUUAAGCAGCAAAGAAGUAUAAUAAGAGAAAAAAACACUAUGGCGGCUGGAACUAGAAGAGCACCAUCACAGGUUCGAAACAUCACCAUGGAGUCGAUGGCCGGCAUAGCCCAUGGCAGGGCUGGAUGGGCAGCAUAAUAACACAAUAAAAGUUUGAUGUAUACUUAUUCGUUUGAAAAGAUGCAAGCUUAUUUACACCCUAGGACUGUUGAUUAGGGUCUGGAUGGUAUUUUUGUUCCUUGCGUAAGUAAGAGAAGGACUAGCAUCCAUAGUAGAAAGAAGGGUAAACAUACAUAAAGGAAAGUUUUUAUAGCGUCACGACCGAAAGAGGCUACGUGCGGCUGGGUGAAAUGGACAAGGUUUCAUGUAUGCAAUAUAUUAUAGAAAAAUAAGUGUUGACAGAAAAUGAAAGAUUUCCUGUCAAACAAACAGAGCUUCAUUUUGUAACAUUUCUGACCCACAUGAUAAUUGUACAACAUAGUAGAGGAGACCACUGUACAUACAUGUGUUGAAUGAAGCAGACUAAGAAAUAUUGGGUGGGUAUAAAGAAUACAAUAGUACGGUAGCUGAUGUAAACAAGUGCAGAGUUGCAUCCACAGAAUAGGUAACAAAUUAAAUAGCCCUGGUGCCAACAGUAGAGUUCGUGUAUCCAAUCCAUCCUUUGUUUAACACAGCAGCUCCAACUCUUGUGUAACAAAUUAAGUUUGGCAUGGGCACACAUAAAGCACUGACAUUUUCAUGGCUCGAUGGCCGUGGGCUAAGGGAGCAGAGGAGGAGGUGCGGCUCACCUCACAUGGCGGCGGAACCGAGGGAUGAAGGUGCGGCGCACCGGAGCAGGCAGAGGUGCCUUGUGUUGGCCAAACACGUGGCCAGCAGCAGAGAAGCGCUUCUCUUGCUCGACGGAUGUUGGGUGUGUGUGAGGCGUGCUCCUGCCUGCCUGCCUGCGUGAGGAACGGGAGGACCAUUAGAGAAGAGAAGGGAAGGGAAGAAGAGCAGGUAGAGGAUGGCAAGGGGAGAGGAGGGAAUCAAAAUCAAAGAUGAGAAGAUGACCUUGAGGAGGAGCAGGGGAAGAGCGGAGCAGCAGAAACAGAGGCCUUCCUCUCCCGGUGGUGAGGACCGAGGCGACCUCCGUCACGGCCUAGCCAGGUCGACGACUCUGGCGACCGUGGCUGCCAGAUCCGGUGUCACCAUGGCCGGCCUCCUCCUGUGGUGCCUGCUAGGUCGCCAUGGCCGCGGGCUCCUUGUCCGUGGCGGCUGGAUCUGGGGCCUUGGGGUGGCGGGGAGCUCCUCCUCCUGCAGCUCGGCGGCCUCCACACCCCGGAGCAACGCCGUCGCCGGAGGACGUGGUCACCUGCUCUCCUCUGGAUCCGGUGAGGAGGGUUGGGGAAGGAGCUCACCACGGCUCCAUGCCCUGGAUCUGGUGUGAGGGAGGGGGAAGGGAGCUCGCCGUGGUCAGGAGGGAGAGGAAGAGGCGGGCGGCCGGGGCUUCCCGAUCUAAAUCAAAGUCGAGGGAGGUGGGUGGGUGUGUCAGGAGGAAGGUGAGGGGGAGAGAACGUGACAAGAUGGAGGGGAUAAGGGGUGAUAGCAAUGGCGCACUGGUAGGGGUGCGCCAUACGUAUAGAUAGCAAUGGCGCAUCUCUUACUGGUGCGCCAUUACUAGUUUAAACUAGUAAUGGUGCACGGUGGAACAGUGCGCUAUUAGUAGUUUUGCAAAAAAAAGUAAUAAAAAUAUAAUAAAAAAACAACAUUAGUGGCGCACUUUUCGACAGGUGCGCCAUUACUAGUUACAACUAGUAAUGGCGCACUGUGUCUGGAUGCGCCAUUAGUAUGUUUGGACAGGCGCACUAGUUCAAAAAAAAUUGAUACUAAUGGCGCACCCUGGGCCAGGUGCGCCAUUAGUAGUUUCAACUCUAAUGGCGUAUCAGAAGGUGGUGCGCCAUUAGUAUAUACCCUUGUAGAGGACUUAGGACUUGAUAAUAACUUUAGCCAAUCUGCUUCAUUAGUUACGAAUGGUUUCAUUAGAUAAUAAUGAGUAAGUGAAGAAGUUGAAUGGAAAUAGUCAAUAUUUGCAUUGUGGCUGUUGGAUUAAUCAGCCUAUGUAGUAUGUACAGAUGCUUAGAAGGUGAUCCGAAGUUGGAGAGGUCGGGGAUGAGCUGAUGCGGCGGGGGUGGUGAAGGGGAUCUCUGGUGGCCGGAGUUGAGGACGAGCUCGGUGCAGCGUCUCCGAGGCGAGCAAGCGCUCGGGCGCGGCCUACUCGAUGUAGUCGAUGGCGGCGGAGCUCGUGGACACGAUGGCGCGGCGCGAGGACGACGGAAGGCACGGCUACGACGACGGUGCGGCGACAGAAGUGUCGGCCAUGGUGGGGAACGGCGAAGGGAUAGAGACAGGGGGGAAAUGGCGUGUCCAGGGGCUUCGGGGUGCGACGUGGAGGCGUCCAGGCGUCUAGGGGCGCGGGCGGCAAGCAGGUGACGCCGUGGUGAGCUCGGGCACGCCGGAGUCACCUCCCUGCCUGCGUGGCGGGGAAGAAGCAGCUGGCUGGCGCGAGCCAGCACAGUGCUGGGCCGCCUGGUGGGCCGGCGGGUGAGAUAGCUGGGCCGCGCCAGGUAAGCUUCUCUCUCUCUCUCUCUUUCUUAUUUGUUUUCUUUUUCUAUUUUUCUGCAACUGUUGGGCUUUAUUAAAAAUACCUAGACAUCUUUAAAAAUCCUGAAAAUAAUCAGGGGCUCUGUUUAGAUUAUUCCCAACAGCCCACACUUAUUUCUAGAAUUAUUUGAGCAUUUAAAUUAUUUUAUAGCAUUUAAAUGCCCAAAUUCAAAUACUUAUGAUUUAAUUCAAGAAAAUCCAGAAUGUCCUAGAAAAGAGUGCACCAUUUUUGCCAGGGGUUUUAGCCCAAUCCAGAAAUGAUGAACAUUUUGUGAAAGGCAUUUUGGGUUCAUUGAAAAUAAUUUUAGUAAACCCUAGUUGUUUCCAGGGGGUGCUGGGGGUUCUGUCAUCCCCAUUUCAAAUUUAAAAGGAAUUUAAACAUGAUGCACACUCUAAUGCUUGAACUAGCUAGGGUGUGACACUAAGCAACCCGGCAACGACAUAGAUGUGUACCUAAGGCCAUUAGUUGAAGAACUCUUACAACUGUGGAAUGGAACAGGUGUACGUGCGUGGGAUGAGCACAUGGGGAAAGAAUUUGACCUAAAGGCGUUGUUGUUCGUGACCAUCAAUGAUUGGCCUGCUCUCACUAACCUUUUAGGACAGACAAACAAGGGAUACCGCGCAUGCACGCACUGUUUGGACGAUGCCGACAGUAUAUAUUUGGCUAAAUGUAAGAAGAAUGUGUACCUGGGACAUCAUCGAUUUCUUCCGAGCAGGCAUCCCGUAAGAAAGAAAGGCAAGCAUUUCAAAGGUGAGGCGGAUCACCGGACGAAGCCUCGCCACCGUACUGGUGCUGAUGUACAUGAUAUGGUCAACGAUUUGAAGGUGGUCUUUGGAAAGGGUCCUGGUGGACAACCUAUUCCGAAUGACGCUGACGGACGCGCACCCAUGUGGAAGAAGAAAUCUAUAUUUUGGGACCUGCCCUAUUGGAAAGACCUAGAGGUCCGCUCCGCAAUCGACGUGAUGCACGUGACGAAAAUCUUUGUGUGACCCUGCUUGGCUUCUUGGGCGUGUAUGGGAAGACAAAAGAUACACCUGAGGCACGGGAGGACCAACAAUGUAUGCACGGAAAAGAUGGCAUACAUCAGGGUCAUGCAAGCUACGCUCUUACCAAAGAAGAGAAGGAAAUCUUCUUUGAAUGCCUGCUCAGUAUUAAGGUACCGUCUGGCUUCUCGUCUAAUAUAAAGGGAAUAAUAAACAUGGCAGACAAAAGUUCCAGAACCUAAAGUCUCAUGACUGCCACGUGAUUAUGGCGCAACUGCUUCCGGUUGCAUUGAGGGGGCUUCUACCAGAAAACGUUCGAUUAGCCAUUGUGAAGCUAUGUGCAUUUCUCAAUGCAAUCUCUCAGAAGGUAAUCGAUCCAGAAAUAAUACCAAGGUUAGAGAAUUAUUUGGUGCAAUGUCUUGUCAGUUUCGAGUUGGUGUUCCCACCAUCCUUCUUCAACAUCAUGACGCACGUCCUAGUUCACCUAUGCGAAGAGAUUAACGUUUUGGGUCAUGUAUUUCUACACAAUAUGUUCCCCUUUGAGAGGUUCAUGGGAGUCUUAAAGAAAUAUGUUCAUAACCGUGCUAGGCCAGAAGGAAGCAUCUCCAAGGCCAUGAAAAUGAGGAGGUCAUUGAGUUUUGUAUUGACUUUAUUCCUGACCUUAAGCCGAUUGGUGUUCCUGAAUCGCGGCAUAAGGGCAGACUGGAUGGAAAAGGCACGCUAGGAGGGGAACAAAUAAUAUGUAUGUACGGACAUUCUCUCACUGAAGCACACUACACAGUUCUACAGAAUUCCGCCUUGGUGGCUCCAUAUAUGGAUGAACACAAGAAUUUGCUACGCUCCAAACACCCGGAGCGGUCUGAUGACUGGAUUACACGUGAACAAACCAGAAGUUUCGCCAGCUGGUUGCAGACACGUACCAUGCAUGACACCUCUAUUGAAGAUGACCUGUACUUGCUGUCCCAGUUACCAUCUUCGAAUAUAAUGACUUUCAAAGGGUACCAGAUAAAUGGUAAUACAUUUUACACGAUCGCCCAAGAUAAGAAGAGCACCAACCAAAACAGUGGUGUCUACUUUGAUGCAGAAACCAAGACGGGAAAGGAAACAUAUUAUGGUUAUAUACCGGACAUAUGGGAACUUGACUAUCGACGUGGUUUAAAGGUCCCUUUGUUUCGGUGCAAAUGGGUCAAUAUGACACGAGGCGGGGUAACGGAAGACCCGCAGUACGGAAUGACAACAGUGGAUCUCAACAAUCUUGCGUAUGCAGACGAACCAUUCGUCCUAGCCAAUGAUGUGGCACAGGUUUUCUAUGUGAAGGACAUGUCUACCAAGCCAAGAAAAAGAAAAGAUAAGGAAGCGAAUGCAUCGUACGAUGAGCCAAAGCGGCACAUAGUUCUUUCUAGGAAGAGAAACAUCGUGGGAGUGGAUGACAAGACAGACAUGUCAGAAGAUUAUGAAAAGUUUGAUGAAAUUGCUCCAUUCACAGUGAAUAUUGACCCGAGCAUCCCGUUAAAUGAUGAAGAUUUUCCAUGGUUACGGCGCAAAGGGACGCACGCGAAGAAAAAGUUUCACACCCAAAGAUCUGGGAUGUGAUCGGCUUCACUAUCAUCACUUUCUUCUGUGUUUCACACCCAGGAGGGAAUCUCUGUAAUAGUUAGGGUAGUUAUGUGUUUUGGCAUUUGAAACGCGAAGAAAUUUUAUGUGCAAACAAAUUCUUUCAUGCCUUUACUGAUUUUUAAAGUUAAGUUAUUCACAAACUAGUGAUUCACACUAAUUUCAAAUAAUUCAAAAUUUAAACUAUUCAAAUUUGAAAACUACAGGCACUAACAGAAAGUUUGUAAUUUUUUGUACCUAAAGCAAAAAUUGAAGGAAAUAUGCCCUAGAGGCAAUAAUAAAGUUAUUAUUUAUUUCCUUAUAUCAUGAUAAAUGUUUAUUAUUCAUGCUAGAAUUGUAUUAACCGGAAACAUAAUACAUGUGUGAAUACAUAGACAAACAGAGUGUCACUAGUAUGCCUCUACUUGACUAGCUCGUUAAUCAAAGAUGGUUAUGUUUCCUAACCAUGGACAAAGAGUUGUUAUUUGAUUAACGGGAUCACAUCAUUAGGUGAAUGAUCUGAUUGACAUGACCCAUUCCAUUAGCUUAGCACCCGAUCGUUUAGUAUGUUGCUAUUGCUUUCUUCAUGACUUAUACAUGUUCCUAUGACUAUGAGAUUAUGCAACUCCCGUUUGCCGGAGGAACACUUUGUGUGCUACCAAACGUCACAACAUAACUGGGUGAUUAUAAAGGUGCUCUACAGGUGUCUCCAAAGGUACAUGUUGGGUUGGCGUAUUUCGAGAUUAGGAUUUGUCACUCCGAUCGUCGGAGAGGUAUCUCUGGGCCCUCUAAUGCACAUCACUUAAGCCUUGCAAGCAUUGCAGCUAAUGAGUUAGUUGCGGGAUGAUGUAUUACGGAACGAGUAAAGAGACUUGCCGGUAAUGAGAUUGAACUAGGUAUUGGAUACCGACGAUCGAAUCUCGGGCAAGUAACAUACCGAUGACAAAGGGAACAACGUAUGUUGUUAUGCGGUCUGACCGAUAAAAGAUCUUCGUAGAAUAUGUAGGAACCAAUAUGGGCAUCAAGGUCCCGCUAUUGGUUAUUGACCGGAGACGUGUCUCGGUCAUGUCUACAUUGUUCUCGAACCCGUAGGGUCCGCACGCUUAAGGUUUCGAUGACAGUUAUAUUAUGAGUUUAUGAGUUUUGAUGUACCAAAGGAGUUCGGAGUCCCGGCUGAGAUUGGGGACAUGACGAGGAGUCUCGAAAUGGUCGAGACGUAAAAAUCGAUAUAUUGGACGACUAUAUUCGGACAUCGGAAAGGUUCCGAGUGAUUCGAGUAUUUUUCGGAGUACCGGAGAGUUACGGGAAUUCGCCGGGAGAAGUAUUGGGCCUUAUUGGGCCAUACGGGAAAGAGAGAGGGGCUGCCUAGGGUAGGCCGCGCGCCCCCCAAGGCCUAGUCCGAAUUGGACUAGGGGGAGGGGCUGCGCCCCUUCCUUGUUUCCUACUCCUACUACAUGGAAGGACUCCUACUUGGACUAGGAAAGGGGGAAUCCUACUCCCGGUGAGAGUAGGACUUCUCUAGGCGCGCCAUAGAGAGGGCCGGCCCUCCCCUCCUGCACUCCUUGAUAUACGGGGGCAGGGGGCACCCCAUAGACACACAAGUUGAUCCACGUGAUCAUAUUCUUAGCCGUGUGCGGUGCCCCCUUCCACUAUAGUCCUCGAUAAUAUUGUAGCAGUGCUUAGGCGAAGCCCUGCGACAGUAGUACAUCAAGAUCGUCACCACGCCGUCGUGCUGACGGAACUCUUGCCCGACACUUUGCUGGAUCGGAGUCCGGGGAUCGUCAUCGAGCUGAACGUGUGCUAGAACUCGGAGGUGCCGUAGUUUCAGUGCUUGAUCGUCGGGCCGUGAAGACGUACGACUACAUCAACCGCGUUGUCAUAACGCUUUUGCUAUCGGUCUACAAGGGUACGUAGAUCACACUCUCCCCUCUCGUUGCUAUGCAUCACCAUGAUCUUGCGUGUGCGUAGGAAAUUUUUUGAAAUUACUACGUUCCCCAACAGUGGCAUCCGAGCCUAGGUUUUAUGCGUUGAUGUAAUAUGCACGAGUAGAACACAAGUGAGUUGUGGGCGAUAUAAGUCAUACUGCUUACCAGCAUGUCACAGUUUGGUUCGGCGGUAUUGUUGGAUGAAGCGGCCCGGACCGACAUUACGCGUACGCUUAUGCGAGACUGGUUCUACCGACGUGCUUUGCACACAGGUGGCUGGCGGGUGUCAGUUUCUCCAACUUUAGUUGAACCGAGUGUGGCUACGCCCGGUCCUUGCGAAGGUUAAAACAACACCAACUUGACAAACUAUCGUUGUGGUUUUUGAUGCGUAGGUAAGAACGGUUCUUGCUAAGCCCGUAGCAGCCACGUAAAACUUGCAACAACAAA